UGGCAGAGGAUGAAAACAACGUCAAAGCGCUAUUUAGGCGAGGAAAAGCCAGAGCAGAGCUUGGGCAGACAGAUGCGGCGCGGGAAGACUUUCUAAAGGCGCACAAAUUUGCACCUCAAGACAAAGCUAUUGCAAGAGAGUUACGUCUGCUUAUUGAACACGACAAGGCUGUUUAUCAGAAACAAAAAGAAAUCUACAAGGGAAUUUUCGGACCAACCCCAGAACCUAAACCCAAACGGGAUAAUUGGUUGAUCAUCUUUUGGCACUGGCUGUUGUCGUUGAUCUAUCGUCUCUUCAGGCGCGACAGGCAUAAAGCUGAGUAGUCAAAGAACUUAAGCUCUUGAAUUGUAUGAUAAAUGAAGAAAUUUGUGUAUUGAACUUGCUAAUAAACAAGACUAUGAAAUGUGACCCUGAAGGUUCACUCAUUUAGCCGGGGACGAAGAUACGGUGAUCAGAUUAAAGUCUAGGGGUAAUCUAUAAUGGGUAGAAUCUGGGGCUGUAAUGGAAUUUCAUACAAACUAAGUGUUGAUGUUUUUUUUUCAAACUUUACCUACAUGUUAUCAUAGCAUCUCUCAUUUAAAAAAAAUAAAAGAACUCACAUUUUCCCUUUUCCAUUUAUAUUUACAAAUGGCAGACAUUCUUACAAAGGCUCUACCGAUUGACAAGUUCUUGUAUUUCAAAGCAAUGCUCGGAGUAAAAUCAGCUGCAAGCUUAGGAGGGAGUGUUGAUGUCUAAUAAGCUUUGUAGCCAUGUUCAUGAAGAAAAAGGAUGCUUGAUCCAUUUAGGAAGCUUUAUAUUUCAGUUGUAAUGCUUUGUAAAUGAACGACCAAGAUUAGAAAGGGUCAUGAUGAGUAGCAUCUACCGAUCACUCACUUAAUUGACCCAUGUGCAUUGCACAUGUUUAAUUUUGUUUGUCUGGUAGUGGUGGAGGUCCAACGGCUAUAUGCUUAUAGCCUCUCACACCCAUUUGAUGCUUGAAUUCCUUCACCGAGAAUUAAGGAAGUGGAGUAACUACUCCGUCGUCUUCAACGUCUCUCACUCUCCAUUGAUCGCUGCAAUUUCUCAUUUCAAUUCCUUGUUGAAGUUUAUUGCAGCAUAAACCACCCUAAAACACCUAAAAAUACAGAAUCUAACAUUCACAACAUCCACAUGUAAGAGAAGCAGCUUGUUGAUUAGUUUUGGUCAUGAGGCAUUGCUUAGUUAUAGUGAGAUAUCAAUUAGUUCAGGAAUAAGUUGGUGUUGCAAAAAUAAUUUCAUUGUAUCCAGCCAUCAUUUCAAAUACAAACUUAAAAAAAAGAAGGCUUUUUAGCCAAAAUGGUUUCUGAGAUUUGCAUAACCCUUCACUUUGAUCCCUGACAUUUGAAAUCAAUAGAAGUGGUCUCUGAGUUUGUCCACUAUCAAUCAUUUUGGUUAUUCCUUUAAAAAUCUCUAUUAAAUAAAGAUAAAAUGACAAAAAGACCCUCAAUUUUUGUGAAAUCAUUUUGGCCCAUUGUUUAUUAAAUUGAGGGUAUUUUUGUCAUUUGGUCCUUAAUUUUUCAAGGAAUGACUAAAAUGAUUGAUGGUGGACAAACUUAGGGACCACUUCUAUUGAUUUCAAAUCUCAAGAACCAAAAUGAUGAGUUAUGCAAAUAUCAGGGACCAUUUUGGCUAAAAAGCCAAAAAAAGUUAUUUGCUCUAAUGUUGCCUCCCUCUAAUGACAUUACAGGUCCAUCGUCUUACCUUUCAAUUCUUCAUGAUUUAAUAGAAGUCAAGAACGAAAUCAAAAUAAAUAAAAAUUAGUAGGAAUUAAUUUAUCAUUUUAGGGCGUGUUUGUUUGCACUCACUAAGUAUCACUGGAUUGGACUGGCUUACUAAGAAUAUUAAUCCCGUGUUUGGUGCGAGCCAGGAUUGUGUUUAAUGGGACUACGUCGGACUCGUGCCGACUACACUCUUCACUAACCGGUCUUAGCGAGACCGCCCAAAAAGGAUGGGAUUGCUAAGACCAUCGCUUCGCUUCGUCUGCUUAGUCUUCGUCUUCCUCAACUCACUUUGUCUUUGUCUUCCUCAACUUGCUUCUUCUUUUAGAUCCCGCACCAACCGUCGCGCCCUACUCGAGUUUGCCAAGAGCUUCGCCCGGAAGAUGCGCCAGCAAGUUUGUCUCUUUCUUCUGCAAUAUUGAUUGAAGUUGAUUUCGUGAGGUCAAUUGAAAUGAAUUUGCAGAUCCGACGAUCCGACAAAGCCUCUGCAAAUUUAAAAAAAAAUGGGGAUUUUUCUGGGUUUGAUUUGAAGAGAAAGUUAGUAAAUUAAAAGAAGAAAAAUAUAGGUUUGAAUUCAAGAGAGCAAAUGCAAAGAAGAAAAAAUGUGGGUUUUUUUUUUCUGGUUUGAGUUUUACUAGGAGCGAAUCUGGGCGUGAAGAACCAAAGCAAAUGAAUGAAGAAAAGAGAGAGACAGGGAGGAAGACGCAGGGAGACGCAGGGGGGAGGGGGGUGGAGAGAAAGAGAGUCAAAUAAAAAUAGUUGUAUUUUGUUUUGUUUUUUUUUUAAGAUAAAAAAUGUGUAUUAAUAAUAGUAAAAUGAAUUAAUGAAUGACAAAAGAAGUAUUUGAACUCUAAACACUCCACUAUUCUUAUCCAGCUUAGUCUAAGCCAAGUUAGGCUAACUUAGUCUCGAAAGUUAGUCUAAUCCGAGAUAGUCCGGUACAACAAACGUAUCCUGAAUCAUGUAUGUUUCUUUCAUUGGCAAGAAAAUUUGGUUUUUAUUUUUUUAUUGAGUCUCACUCUAAUCCAAUAUUAUUAAUUUUAAUAAUAUCUUUAAUAUAAAAAGUAAUUAAAAUAGAACAAUAAUGUAGUCCUAAUCUAAGCAAACAUCAAACUGGUAAAAGUAUUGUUUUAAUUAUCCUGCUUCUUAGUUCGACACUGCACCAAACGCUUCACUAAGCUAGUCCAACUUAGUCUAGUCUAAGUCAGUCCAGCUUAGUCUCUGCAACUAGUCUAGUUCGGAAUAGUCCGAUAUAACAAACGCACCCUUAGGGUUUACGGGGAGGAUGGCAUAAAGUCCUUUAUGCGAUUACCAUGUUGGAAAAGCUUGGUCUAUUGAGGUUAAGUUCCAUGGAGUGGGCUAUUACCAAUGUUGUAAAAACUUGGUAACACCCUUUUCGGCCACUUGUUAUGCUUCCAUGAGCAAGUUGGGGCGCAAGAUGGAACGAAAAGUUUAAGCGGCCCAACUUGGUCAUCACUCGAACUGUGAAACCAAAAAAAAAAAAAAAAAAAACUUGCAUAAAUUGAUUCAUCCUUAUUGGUAAGAUCCAAAAUUUUUAAAUCACCAUUCAUCCAUCAAAAAGAACUUGAUAAGCGUCUUAGGAUUUUAGCCAAAUAGAUCGUUAGAGAAAAAUUAUGUGAUGGUAAGAUUUAAUUGUUAGCUGUGGGUUUAUUGAUAAAUUUUAGAUGGGUAAAGUACAAAAAACUAUCUCAACUAUUGAUGUCACGACACUUUCAUACCUCAUCUUUUAAAAUUGACAAUGUCAUACCUCAUCUUAGGAAUUUGUGACAAUGUCAGACCCCCGUUAGUUUUUCUGUUAAUUUCUUUGUUAAAUGCUAACGUGGCCCGACACGUGUCCCACUCACUAAUCCAACUGGAUUAAAAAAUAAUAAAAUAUAUUUUUAAUAAUUAAAUAUUCAAAAAUUAAAAAAAUUAAAAAUUAAAAAACUAAAAAAAAAUUUAAAAAAUGGCCUAAGAUCCGGCCUUCCCUUCCACCCGCAGCACCAACCCUUUUUUUUUUUCUCUCUCUCUCUCUCUCUCCUCUUUCUUCCUCCUUCUUUCUGUAGCCAUUUUUUUUUCUUUUUCUUUUUCUUUUUCUUCCUCUUCUUUUUCUUCCUUCUCCUUCUUCUUUCUGGGUUGUUUGUUUGUUUUUUUUUUCUUCUUCUUCCUCCUUCGUUCUGGGUUGCAGUGUUUUUUUUCUUCUUCUUCCUCCUCCUCCUUCUUUCUGGGUUGCAACGUUUUUUUUUUCUUCUUAUUCCUCUUCUCUUCUUCUUCCUCCUCCUUCUUCUUUCUGGGUUGCAGCGUUUUUUUUUCCCUUCUUCCUCUUCUUCUUUUUCCUCCUCCUUCUUCUUUAUGGGUUACAACAUUUUUUUUUCCUUCUUCCUCUUCUUCUUCUUCAUUAUGGGUUGCAGGGGGUGGACCUGGUCGAGCGAGGCGCUAAGGCAGAGCUCCAUAGCGAGAGCUUGGAGAAGUGGGUCUGUGGCUGGUGGCGGUGGCGGUGGCGGGUAGGGGUGGUGGGUUUGGGUGUAGCAACAUGUAUUGUAAGAGCUUUUGCAGCAAAUGGCAGUGGUGGGAGGGGGAGAUGUUGGGGCGGGUGGGAUUUGGGUUUGGGGUGGUUCUGGUUUUGGGUUGGGGUUAGGGGAAGACGGGAAAGGGAAGAAAUGGUGAGGGGAUAAAGGUGCAUAGAGAGGGAGAUGAGAGAGAGAAGAGAGAGAGGAGAGAGAGGGGUCCCAACAUCCCUUUAGGCCAUUUUUUUUUAGUUUUUUAAUUUUUAAUUUUUGAAUAUUUAAUUAUUAAAAAUAUAUUUUAUUAUUUUUUAAUCCAGUUGGAUUAGUGGGUGGGACACGUGUCGGGCCACGUCAGCAUUUAACAGAGAAAUUAACAGAAAAACUGACGGAGGUCUGACAUUGUCACAAAUUCGUAAGAUGAGGUAUGACAUUGUCAAUUUUAAAAGAUGAGGUAUGAAAGUGUCAUGACACCAAUAAUUGAGGUAGUUUUUUGUACUUGAUAGUACUUUACACAUUUUUUUUUUUAGUCAAAGGUAAUUUACACAAUAGGGUAAAAAGACAAUUCACAUUUAAUAUUUAAAUUAGGUGUAAAGUGAGGUUAUAUGAGUUUAAAUAAAUUUUCCCAUAAAUAAUUUGGUAUUGGAGACCGAUGAAAUUGCAAAUGGAUUUAAAAAAGUUAACUUUUUUCAUACAUGUUCGUUUUGUUGUUUAUUAUUAUGGGAACUGUUAUUAGCACUCCAAAAAUUUUCUUUUACACUUUUCACGAGUGUGUUUUUCUUUAUAAUUAUAAAAAAAAUUAAAGUACAAAAUGAAAAUUUUCAAGUGCUAAUAAUAAUUCCCAUCGCAAUCUUAGUUGAUAUUGAUGUAACUUUAAUGCUUUUUGCGGAUAGCUAACUAUAGUUAAGUUGUUUGUGCGAGACAUUCUUUUUCCUUCGACCGGGUUGAAUUCCCCGGCAAGAUUUGUUAUCGAAUCUCUUUUAUGCACACUAUCCUCUUACUUUGUACGUAUUCUCCUCUUUAAUGAAUAUCCUACUUAUUUCAAAAAUUCCCAUUAUUAUUCCAGCUUCUCCUCUUUAUUUUAUGCAUGGAAUGAUGAUGUAUGAGUGGUUGGAUGAAACUAUUAAUUCAUAAUAAAUUGUCGGUGGCGUUGGUUCUGGUCAAAUUAUUUUAAUGUUUCACCCACCAAGCCGGCAUUAAUAAUAUAGUGACAAUUCUUUUGUUUUUAUCCACAGAAUGCUGCAUGAGUGGUUGGAUGAGAGGGGCAUAUAAAGACUAGCAGAAGGAGCCAUCUUUCACUACGCAAAACCAUAUUCUCGGUUACAAGCUUCUACUUUAAUUCACUUCAUUUGUGUUUUACCUUGUCCUGAAUACAAGAAAUGGCGGAAGGAGUUCUUUUCAACAUUGCAGAAGGGAUCAUCGGAAGGCUAGGCUCCCUUGCUUUCCAAGAGAUUGGAUUGAUUUGGGGUGUCCAAGAUGAGUUCCAAAAGCUCAAGGAGACAGUUGCCGGAUUCCAAGCUGUUCUUCUUGACGCUGAGCAAAAGCAAGCCAACAAUGAAGUCAAACUGUGGCUGGAAUGCGUAGAAGAUGCAGUUUAUGAAGCCGAUGACGUGUUGGAUGAGUUUAAUACUGAAGUUCAGCGGAGACGUAAUACUAAGGUGUUAAAAAAGGUACGCAUGUUCUUCUCUUGCUCAAAUCAACUUGCUUUUGGGCUAAAGAUGUGUCAUAAGAUAAAAGAUAUUAACAAGUGGCUUAGUGCAGUUGCAUCUAGUAGAACCUUUUUAUAGUCACAUGAGCCUAUUGAUAUCCACCUAUUAGGAAUACAAUAGGUCUCUCAAUAACUCAUAAUUAACUGCAAUAAAUCCUAUACAUUAUUGUUUAGAAUGUUUCAUAUAACUUACCAUUACAAAACUAUAUUAACUUAAUAAUACAGUUCUAUUGAAAUAAUGAUUGUGUUUACUCAAAUUCUUGCAUGUGCGCAUCUUCUUUUCUAGCUCAAAUCAACUUGUUUUUGGGCUAAAGAUGGAUCAUAAGAUAAAAGAUAUGAAUAAUUAGGAUCCGAUCCCUAAUCACCAAUGUUUAUUAAUUGAAACAUUAUUGGUUUUAAAUUUUUUAUUGAAGUCCUUUGACUUAUGCCCACAUCAAAUUCUUAAAAUUAAUCAAAUUUUAUGUCAAAUUUUCCUUUUUAUUAAAAAAAACUCAUUAUUCAUUUCCUUUUAUGUCAUUUCAGUUUAGGAUAAUUGAUUAUGCACAUAAUUUAAGGGAUUUUAUUGCAACUAGAUAUCCCUAACAUCCUUUUAAUUUGAAAUUUAAAAAUGAAUUUUUAUACGUUCCAAUAGUUUCAUCUCGUUUUUCUUUUGACUGAAUUUAAUCCAUCUUUUAUCAUAAUCAUGGGUACGUACAUUAUAUUUCCUAGAACGCAUAUGGAUACACUUUCUUUUUUUGGGAAUAAUUAGGAUCCGAGUCCAAGUCACCAAUGUUUAAUUGUUUAUUGAUUGAAACAUUAUUGGUUUUAAAUUUUUUAUUGAAGUCCUUUGACUUGUGUCCACAUCAAAUUCUUAAAGUUAAUCAAACUCCAUGAUUUUCCUUUUCUUUAUUUAAAAAAACUCAUGUAUUCAUUUCCUUUUAUGUCAUUUCUGUUGAGGAUAAUUGAUUAUUUACAUAAUUUAAGGGAUUUUAUUGCAGCUAGAUAUCCCUAACAUCCUUUUAAUUUGAUAUUUAAAUGUGAAUUUUUAUACGUUCCAAUAGUUUCAUCUCAUUUUUCUUUUGACUGGAUUUAAUCCAUCUUUUAUCAUAAUCAUGGGUACAUUUUAUUUGCUAGAACGCAUAUGGAAACCCUUUUUUUCAAUCGAAUUGGGUACAUUCUUUUGAAAUUUAUAAUUACGUAUAAUUGUACUCAUCUAAUUAUAUGGGUACAUUCUUUUUAUAAAAAAAUAUUAGGGGUAUACACAUAUCAAAACAAUUUUCUUUUGGGAGGAUGUUGGAAUUGUACCAUAAUUUAUGUUUGCAACUGUAUGGGUACAUUCUUUUAACAAGUAACUACUAUUAUAUCAUCCGUAUCACUGUGAUAGGUACAAUUGCAAUUGUCUCCCAUAUAUAUGAGUUGAUUUUUUAGUCUCAUGUUUUCUAUGAGUUUAGAAUUUACCCACUUGAUUAUUAGUAGAUUAAUGUUGUGGUGGUUUCAAAUUUUACUAUUUUUAUACUUUUUUAUGUGUUUAGAAUGCACCCGCUUGAUUCAUGGUUUUAAUGUGUUUAGAGUGUACCCGCUUGAUUAUCAGUAGAUUAUUGUUUUGUUGGUUUCAUAUAGAAUAAUUAUUAUAAAAUUUGAGGUUCAUAAAUUAAGGAAUUUCAAAAAUAGAUAGUUGACAUGGAAAUACUUUAAUAGCAAUAUGAUGAGAUGUACAAAGUCAAAGGACAUUGAUAAAAAAUAAAAAUAAAACUAAUAAGGUUUCAGUCAAACAAUAUUGGUGAUUAGGGAUCGCAUCCAAAGUCUAUUGACUAAAAAGAUAUUGACGAGAGGCUUCAUGCUGUUGAAUCUCGUAGAACCUUUUUGUAGUCACAUAAGCUUAUUGAUAUCCACCUAUUAGGAAUACAAUAGAUCUCUAAAUAACUCAUAACUAACUGCAAUAAAUCUUCUACAUUAUUGUUUUGAAUGUUUCAUAUAACCUACCGUUACAAAACUCUAAUAACUUAAUUAAUACAAUUCUAUCUAAAUAAUGAUUAUGUCCACUCAAAUUCUUACAGGUGCGUCUUUUCUUUUCUAGCUCAAAUCAACUUGUUUUUGGGCUAAAGAUGGGUCAUAAGAUAAAAGAUAUUAACAAGAGGCUUACUGAGGUUGCAUCUCGUAGAACCUCUCUACCCUUAGAAGUAAAUCGUGAAGAUACACCAUUUAUAAUGAGAGAGAGGGUCACUCACUCAUUUAUCCCUAAGGAAAAUAUUAUUAUAGGGAGAGAUGAAGAUAAAAAGGCAAUAAUCCAACUUUUGUUGGAUCCCAUCUCAACUGAGAAUGUGUCAACCAUUUCCAUAGUUGGAUUUGGAGGAUUGGGGAAAACUGCACUUGCCCAACUGAUAUUCAACGAUGAGGAGAUUCAAAAUCAUUUUGAGUUGAAAAUAUGGACAUGUGUCUCUAACGUAUUUGAGUUGGAUAAAGUUGUAAAGAAAAUCCUUCAAUCCGAACAUAAUGGGAUAGAGCAGUUGCAAAAUGAUCUUAGAAAAAAAGUAGAUGGGAAGAAGUACCUACUUGUGUUGGAUGAUGUGUGGAAUGAGGAUCAGGAGAAAUGGCUUAGCUUGAAGUACUUGUUAAUGUGUGGUGGAAAAGGUAGUAGAAUACUAAUUACCACUCGCAGUGAAACCGUUGCGACAAUAUCAGACACAGCUAAACCAUACACCUUAAGGGGUUUGAAUAAAGAGCAAAGUUGGUAUUUAUUUAAGAAAAUGGCUUUUAAAGAUGGAAAAGAGCCAACAAAUUCAACAAUUAAGACAGUUGGGACGGAGGUUGCAAGAAAAUGUCAGGGAGUUCCACUUGCUAUUCGGACGAUAGGUGGGAUGUUGCACACCAAACUUCACGAAAUAGAAUGGUUGAAUUUCAAAGAAAAGAAACUUUCAAAAAUAAGCCAGAAAGAAAAUGAUAUUUUACCAACACUUAAACUAAGUUAUGAUGUGCUCCCAUCACAUUUGAAACAUUGUUUUGCUUAUUGUAGCUUGUUCCCACCUGAUUAUAAGAUCUCUGUACAGAGAUUGAUUAGACUUUGGGUGGCGCAAGGGUUCAUUAAGUCAUCUGAUGAAAACGAGUGUUUGGAGGAUGUUGCGUUUGGAUAUUACAGGGAAUUGUUGUGUAGAUCGUUUUUUCAAGAAGAAGAAGAAGACGAGUCUGGUAGAAUAGAAAGUUGUAAAAUGCACGAUCUCAUGAAUGAACUUGCAAUCUUAGUGUCGGGGGUUGGAAGCGCCGUAGUUGAUCUUAACCAAAAGAAUUUUCAUGAAAAGCUUCAUCAUGUGUCUUUCAAUUUUAAGGUUGAUCCGUUGGAAUGGGAAGUUCCAACUUCUUUGCUAAAUGCAAAAAGGAUACGAACUUUUCUUCUUCCUUGCCAAGAGUAUUCGAUUGAUAAAGAUGGGUCAUUAUGUAAUUCAUUUUGUGCUACAAUUGUUUCAAAUUUCAAGUCAUUGCGUAUGUUGAGUCUCAACAGAUUAGGAAUUAUAACAUUACCUAAUUGUCUUAAAAAAGUGAAACAUUUGAGGUAUCUUGAUCUUUGUGAUAAUCCCAUGGAGAGACUUCCGGAUUGGAUAGUUGGACUUUCGAAUUUGGAAACACUAGAUCUCACAGGCUGUAGUAAACUUGUGGAAUUGCCUAGAAACAUUAAAAAAAUGAUCAACUUAAGGCAUCUCAUCUUGGAAGGCUGUUGGAAGUUGACUCGAAUGCCACGUGGAUUGGGUGAGCUGACUGGUCUUCGUACAUUGAAUAAUUUUGUUUUGAGCGAAAACAAUUCCAUGUUGAGAGACAGUGCUAGUCUUGGUGAACUGGGGAGGCUUAAGGAAUUAAGGGGACAAUUAUUUAUUUCCAAUUUGAGGCACGAGAAAGAUGUGAUGUCGGAGUCAAAUGGUGGUGCAUUACUGAAGGAGAAACAGCAUCUCCAUUCGUUGGGUUUAUUCUGGAAAAAGGGAGACGAUGUGAACGCGGUUGAUGAGGAGGAUAUUAUAAUGUCAAUGGAAGCAUUGCAACCCCAUUCUAAUCUAAAACAGUUGUUCGUGUCUGAUUAUGGUGGUGUGAGGUUUGCGAGUUGGUUUUCUUCUCUCAUUAAUAUUGUUCAUCUCACAUUGGUUUCCUGUGAGAGAUGCCAACAUCUUCCACCCUUGGAUAAUUUGCCUUCCCUUAAGAUUCUUGUACUUUCAAGGUUGAAGAAGUUGGAGUACAUAUCAGCGAAUGAGAGCAGUAAUAGUAAGAGUGAUGAGAUGAUGAGGAUGUCAUUCUUUCCCUCCCUGGAGUACCUCUGCUUAGAAAGCUGCCCUGUUCUGAAGGGAUGGUGGAGGGCGCACACUCAUGACAGUGCUUCUUCUUUUCCCUGUCUUUCUGAAUUGACUAUCAUGUCUUGUCCUAAUCUAACUUCCAUGCCCCUGUAUCCGAAUGUGGUUGCAAUACUUCUCGAUCAAACCAGCUCGAAGGUUGUUCCCUCCCUUGUUAGAGGAGCAUCUGAUAUUACACAUGAUGUUGGUAUUGAUGUUUCUGUCUCUUCUUCUUCCCCUCAUCUCUCCAAAUUAACACAUCUGACACUUUAUCGAAUUGAGGAUUUGGAAUGUAUAUCGUCGGAAGGGAUGGGGAACCUCAUAUCACUCCAAUCGUUUUCCAUUCAACAUUGCCCAAAUUUGGCAUCACUGCCAGAAGGGAUCGCCAGCCUCACAGCACUCCAAUCGCUUACGAUUGAAGAUUGCCCAAACUUGGCAGCAUUACCAGAAGGGAUCGUCGGCCUCACAGCACUCCAAUCGCUUACGAUUGAAGAUUGCCCAAACUUGGCAGCACUACCAGAAGGGAUCGCCGGCCUCACAUCACUCCAAAGGCUUACGAUUAAAGAUUGCCCAAAUUUGGCAUCACUGCCUGAAGGGAUUCGUUGACUUCGCUGUUUAAAUACAUUGCAAAUUUGGGACUGCCCCAUGUUAAGUUAAACAUGCAAGAAAGAAACAGGUAAGGACUGGCCUAAGAUUGCUCACAUUCCAGACAUUCAAUUGGUUCAGGUGUGUUUUCUAACUUGUUUGAAUUUACACUUGCCUAAUUCAAUAAACUAUGAAAUGUUCAAAUGCCAUUCUCGUUUCUUAAUUUUGUUCUUCUUUCAUCAUCACCAGCAUUUCUUUUCUUUUUUCAGAUGACAUACCAUGUGGAUCGAAAAUUUCGUCGUCCACAGUUUUGCUUUCUCACCCACUAACUUCCAAGUAUUUUUUUUUAAUUUCGUUCUUUUCUAUUAUGUAGUCUUAUAUGCAGUGAAUGGGGCGUCAACCCUUUGAAUUCAAUAUGUGAUGACUAUGUUGACUACUUAGAGUGGUUGUAUACGAUUUUGCUUUUGAUCGUUAGGGUUUAGAUACUAUGCCCCCCUGCUGUAUGUUUUCUUUUUAAAUAAUAUAAUAUGGGCGUGAGGGCCUAGCCCCCCAGCUUCGACUGGGUUCCAGCCCUCUUUAAAUAUUUCUUUUUAAUAUUUGUUGAUGUAUUGGAAGUGGAAUCACCUUUCUCACGUUAUAACAUACAAGUCGCAUAAUUAUACACAAACAAUGAUAAAAGAAAAUGACGUCUAUUAAUUGUCAAUGCACUGAAGUAACCAAAUAUUCUAAGACCGAAGGAACUCCAAAAUCUACUCUGGAUGCGGCUCCUGACACAAAUAUCUGCUCCAAAACCCGAAACUAAUCACAAUAAACGCUACAUUCUCAGUAAAGCAAAUAAACUGAUUAUGUUUUGUUUAGUCAAAAGGAAAUUCAAGACAACCAUUACAAAACAAAAAUAUUUGUUGUGUUUUCUAAGUCCUCUCUCUAUAAACAAAAAUAAAAAAUAAAAUGGAUGGAGUGGAGUGGAGUGGAAGCAGAGGAAGAGACUGACCUCCGACAAGGGCGACCGUCAAAAGAGCUUCCCAGAGCAACAUGAUCUCGCUGCCAUGAUAACCUUUGUACACAGGCAAUUCUAAAACCAUAAGAUACCUAAAACAAACUUACUGAUAUAACAGAAUGGUUACACCCAAAGUUAUUUAAUUCAAACACCUAACUCAAACCAUAAGCACCAUGAUAAUCCUCAAACCCGGUAAAGAGUGUAUUCUCACAGUUGUAGAAUCCCAAAGCCACGCUUGAAAUGUCUGAAGUUGCAAAAGAUAGCAUCAUCCACCUAAACAUAUUGCAAAUGAAAAAUGUUUUAGCUCCUAAAUCCAAACAGCAAAAGAAAAAACACAGAAAAUUAAGUAAACAAAAUGGAACUGAACUUGCACAGCUCGCUUCUCAAAUUCACGAAAUGUUGCUAGAAUGUCGUAGUUGCGCGUCAAAUUCAUCAGGUAAUUUCUGUUGCCAACGAUUUUCUAUCAAAUGAAUUCAUUUUGUAUUCAAAUUCUGAGUAAUUAAUAAUAAGAAGGAUACCAUGAAUUUUAUUUACCUAAAUCUUGUAAUUAAUAAUAAGAAAAAUAUCAUGAAUUUCAUUUUGGGAAGCUGCUUUUAGCUUUAGUAGCUUCAUUUGAGAACGCAAAUAUGGCAUACCAAUUCUAUAUUUCUAAUCAGAAGAUGUUAAAUUUUUUUUUAGUCGUCUUCAAUUUGUGGCACUUCAUUCUCAAUAAAGAACAUUUCACAAAAUUCCAUAUCUAAUACAACAUCAAAGGACCGACUGAACAGGAAAACGACAUCAUUCAUUAUCCAGAUUGAAACAAAAAUCCCACUAAAAUGACUACUCAUAAGAAUCUCAUUCCACAAAACUUCUUCAGUCCAAGCCUAAACAACUGCAACCAAACAAAUCCCCAAGAUAUUUCAUCCACUGCCAUUAACAAAACCACAACCUAUAUCUUCCUUCAGCUAAGAUUAAAGCAAAAAUUGAAACCCUAAUCAUUCCCAAACAUGCUUUUGGAAUCAGAAUAGAAAGGAAACUUGAAAUUAGAGGAUCAUACAGAAUUCGACUGGGGAUUGGACUCGUGCUCGAAAUCGACCUCUUCCUUUUCCUUUUCAGAUUGAUCACCUAAUAGGUUCUGCAUCACCUGGUGCCACUUCUCCUCCCCCAUCGCUACUGCAGUGUGUUGCGGUCGGAGCCCUCAAACUACUGACAUUAAAUCGUUCAUUUGAUUAGAUCAAAGAAAAUAUCACCAUAGCAUCCUGCAAAUUUCAAGAAGUAUGUGUCGAAACAAAUCUGAAAAGAAUGAAAACCCUGUUAACCAAACACAUCAACAAUAACAUAAGCCUCACCACCAAUCCGACAUGGCAAAAUCCAGUCAACAAAACAAAAAAUACUCUGUAAUCCAUCAGCCAAUAUACAGCAAGUAGAAGCAACGCAAUUUUCUUUUUAAAAAAAAAAAAAAAAAACCAAAUCCGUAAUGAUCCGAACAGUUAAAAUUAGGGUUUGAUAACUAAUGCACCUAUUGCUAUUAGACUUUGAUCCCCGGGAAUUACUGGAUACUGUUGCUGAUGCCAUUGUGUUCAAGCCAAUGGAUUUCAACCCUUUUCGGCAAAACAUCACAAACUCCAUCAGAAAAAAUAUUCUCAAAGAUAAUGGGUGAGGGAAUUUCAUUUGAAUUGCCAGAGGAUGCUGUUGAAAAGAUCCUGACUGGAAUAUGGCUAGGCCGGACUGGCUUAGAGGAAUGGGCAGAAAAGGUUCUAGCUCCGAGCAUCCAGCAGCUUAAAUACCCAAAUUAAUAACCAAAUAAUCCAAAAUCAUACAAAAACCAAUGCUUUCAUAGAAAAAUCUCUAAAACCCACAAACCCCAAAAAAAAAACAAAACAAAAUCAUACAAAAAUCUCACCUUGCUCAAAAAUACUAAUUAAGAUUAAGGGAGCAAGAACACAUACAAACUUGGAAAUGUCAUACAAUCCAAACCCGAUUCCAAUAUUAGCCACAACGAAAUGAGGCUGUAUGGCCCAGCCAGAACCUUCUCGAUAACCUCCUUCACCGCAACAUGUCAAGUCCAACACAAAAAUUGAGUAACUGUGCGAGAAAAUUUGAGCUUGUGAUGGACUCUAAACCAAACCUUAGGCGAGGGGUGGAGAGAGAGGGCAGAGGCGAGCUUCGGGCGAGCAAGGAUUCGGCUGCAGAUUUGGUUCCAGGAUUUGCUAACGCACGCCGCUGAUACAAAGGAUAAGGCGGGUAGGUGCGAGAGGAUGUCGUCGAGAAGGUCGUCGUUUAGCAGAUGAUGCGAGGAGGGAGAGGGGAAGAAGCUGUGAAGAAGCAGAAGGCGAUGCGUAGUCGAAGCGGAGCAUCCCACGAUGAUUGACGCGUGGGCAGGCAGAAAGCAGACUUAAAUCAACCAACCUGAUUCUUAUACGACAUGACGUUUGUGUUUUCAAAAGUGAUUUCCGUCAUUCUUAUAAGCAUUUAAUUGAACUGACCAAAAGAGAAUCAAAGAACAAAAAGAAGCUUAGAAUGAGAAAACGGAAGUAAAAAUCAAACCACUUGGUUCCAAAAAUCAUAAAUAGGAGCACUGCUUUAUAACAUAAUAAAAGAGAUGAGGCAGUCUUACUGUACAGAUUCUGGUUAGUGGUUCAAUAAACAAAUACAACAGAAACUACCAUGAAAAAUACCCUAAUUGGAGCUAUAAACCACUACAUUGCAAGGAACAACAUAAAACUAUCAGCAUACGAGGUUACGGUUAGUCGCCACAUCGAAAACUCUUACAGGGACUCCUCUUCGUUUGCCAAUCACAAAGAAAGGUUCCGCUUCGUUGCUUCCAUUUUUAACAAAAGAUCCCUUAUAUCGGCUUCCAUUCUCAGCUUCAUAUUGGAGUAUUCACGAUGCGCUCGGUCUAGAGCUUGCAGUUCUUCAAGUUUCUUGCUGUUCUGCCUCGACUAAGCGCAACUUUGCUAUCCUGUUCCUAAAUUCUUCUUCAAUUUUUUCAUUCUUUGCCAUUGCUAUGCGUUUCAGCCCCUCAGCUUCUCUUCUUGCGUCAUCUGCUCGUGUUUGGAAUAUUUUUGCCUCGGCCUGCUUGAUCCUCACAAUGCUCUCCAGCUCAUCAAAAAGAGGUUCUUUUUGGGCACUUGUGUGCAACUCUGCGUCCAUAAUGCGUUUCUCAUGCUGAUCGUAGUUAAAACUGGGAUGAGUGUUAGCUGCAGUCUCCAACUGAGGGACCUUCUCAGCGUAUAUUGAUUUCAGCCACGCGGGUUCCUGGCUUGGCUCAACAAUUCCAUUGCUCGCUUUAAUUUGAUCCUUCUCCGAUAAGAUGGGUGUUUUGCCUAGCUUGGAACUGUCAGCAUCUGAAACAAAAGUGGAAGACUUAUUUAAAAACAGUACAGUUUCCAGUUAACUAAGCACAGUAUUACAACAGAGAACAAAAAGGCACAACUUUGAGACUCAAUAAGGGCUUGAGUUUUCUGCUUCGGGAUUUUGUACUCCUGCUAUGUCAUAAAUAUUCUCACAUCAGCACAAAAAAGCGGUUCAGAGACAUGGAUACGGAUGUAUUUAGGCCAGGCAUCAAACUGAAUCCCGAAAGCCAUAAUCCUAAGAACACGAAGCUUCAAGCAAGCCAAGCAAAUAAUGUAAGUUCUAUAGAGAGCAAACACUUGUUUAUCGUGUAAAAGUGUUUUGGAAUAAUAAGGAGACUAACAUUAGCUACGUGGAAUGGCUUUACAGAAAUUGUAUAAUAAGGAUAAUAGCCUCAAGCAAUCUCGAUAGAGCUAGGACUCUAUUAUCUGAUAUGUUUAUUAGGGUUUUCACGGUGAUAAAGAUAGUUUGAUAAGGAUUACAUAAUGGGAAGUGUCCUGAUGAACUCCAUCGUUUAUGGUAUAAAACUAGGGUCCCUGCGCUCUCACAAACACACAAGUUUUCAGAUACUCAAGCCCCAUUGAUUGAGCCUUGUAUUCGGUAGUGCAGAGUUGCAGAAGAAUCCUUUUAAUUCAAGCAGCAAUGUCUUCAUCAGGUAAGUGAUGAAGUUGGUAUCGUGAUUUAGUUUCUAUAAGUUAUACACUUACAGUUGGUAUCAGAGCCUUCACAUAUCAUCUUAAUCCUAUGUUGGAGGCAUCGAGAAUUUUUGUUUUCUUAUUGCUGUGCAGGUUACAGAACUGGUAACAUAUUAUCUGGGAAAAACAACACGAGUAUGUGAUGGCUAAGGCCAUUCUUAUUCGUGUGGGUUUUUCAUCUUAAUAUGUAUACCAAAAAUGGCACUUGAACACAAAUCGUGGACGCUGAUCUUCUAAAGAAGUUCAGAUGUUCAUAUUUAGUUUUUUGAGUGGCAUAUCAUUUUGGUAGCCAAUACAUGAAUACAACUAUCAUUGUCAGAUCAUAAAGAUCUAUAAUCAUAGUUAAAGAAAUUCAUGUAUCAGCUACAAAAGUGAUAUGAACAAAGAAAAUAAUCACAGCUUUCAUCAAUCUAAAGAAUGUUGAUUUUUGUGAUAUAUGGUUUGGGGAUAAGGAUUAAUAUUCGAAAGUUUUAUGCUUUGACAGCGUUGAACCCUAGCUCCAUGAACCUCAACACUGUUGAACCACUUACUUGUAUCAACUAUAAGAAAUGGAAACAGGAUCUAGAGAUCGUGCUGGGAGUCAUGGAUUGGGAUUUAGCACUCAGAACUGAAGAACCUCCUAUGCCGACAGAUGGGAGCACAUCCAGCCAACGGUCCAAGUAUGAAAAAUGGCAAAAAUCAAACAGGAUUUCCCCGAUGAUUAUCAAGAGGAGUAUGACCAAAGGCGGAGCCACAGUGGGGUCAAUGGGGUCGCACGACCCCUUGGAAGCCAUGGAAAUAACCUUAGAGGUCCCUUGGAGCUGCUGGUGCGACCCCUUGGAGCUGCUGGUGCGACCUCUUGGAGCUGCACACCACGUGUUCGAUGAAAUGUCUGAAAGAAGAAAAAGACUUCGGUUGCAGGUUGAAGAAGAAGGAACGGAGAACAGCAGCCAUGGCUGCCGAUGCACUGCUCCUUCUAUUGCAGAAUGAGAAAGAAGACGACCUGUUUUAAAAUGACUUGGCCAAACACACCGUUUUGAGCCAAGCCAAUAAAAAAAGUUUUAAAAGCACUCCCGACUGCUUUUCUCAUAUGAUUGGACAUCCUUUAGACUCCAUGUGAUUGGUUUUUGAUCAAUUCCCAAGCAAUUUAGAGAUUUUACUAAAAAUGAGAGAGUAAAUUAUUAAGUGGGUCCCAAUCUCAUUCAAGUAAACAUUUCGUUUUACCUUUGGCAUUUUGCCUUUUGCAAUGCACCUUUGCCAUUUGGUUGCUGAAGAAGAGACAAUUCUGGUCGGAUUUUCUUUGUGAGGAUUCUGAAGAUUUUUUUUAAUCACAUUCGUUUAUUAUAAUUCGUGCAGAUAGAAAUUAUUGUAUUUUUUUAUUUAAAAUUGAAUAUAAAUAACGAUAUGAAUAUAAUUAUUGUAAUUUUUUUUAAUCACAUUCGUUUAAAAUUGAAUAUAAUUCGCACUAUCCUACCAAGACCCGAUGAAAUGACGAUAUGCAUGCCAUUUCUGUUAAAAAAAAAUUUCGCGCUGCGCGCACUAUCCUUAUUGACCCCCCAAACAUUAUUUCCUGGAUCCACCACUGAGUAUGACUGAUGUGGUUCGAGGUGGUUUCAUGCUACUAAUGCCAAGGAAUUUCUUGCAUCCAUCGAAGAAAAGUACAAGGAGUCUCCAAAAUCCAAGACAGGUAAUCUCAUGAACUCACUUACCACCAUGAGAUAUGAUGGUAUUGAAAGCGUGCGUGAAUAUAUCUUGAAGAUGAUGGAUGUUGCUGGAAAGCUUAAGGCUCUCGAGGUACCUAUAUCUGAAACAUUCCUUGUGCAUGUGAUAAUGAACUCACUACCUGAUAGCCACACUCAACUGAAAGCAUCUUAUAAUGCUUUGCGUGAAAAAAUGGGAUGUGAAUGAGUUAAUUGCUAUAUGUGUAAGUGAAGAAGAAAGGAUGAAAAAGGAGAAGUAUGAAAAGGAAAAGGUUGAGUCUGUUAACCUUGUGCAUGGUGCCUAUAAAGCACACAAAUCUCCGGCUGUUGAUGUUACCAGGAAAGAAACUACCAAAAGGGCUCCAUCUCCUACCAAAAGGAACUUUAAACCUAACAAACCAUCGAUUUUCAAAUGCUAUUUUUGCAAGAAAACAGGUCAUAUGAAGAGAAAUUGUCCAAAAUACAAGGCUUGGCUUGCUAAACAAGAGUCAAAGAAAGGUAAAAAUAUUUUUGCUUGUUUUGAGUCAAAUUUGAUUGAUAUACUUAGCACUGCAUGGUGGCUUGACUCAGGCUCUUCUAUUCAUGUUACGAAUUCAUUGCAGGACUUCAUAACAAAGAGAACACCAAAUAAAGAUGAAGUCAAAGUCUCUGUUGGCAAUGGAAGAAGAGUUGAAGUCAAAGCUUUAGGAAGUGUUAGGCUAAAGUUAGAAUUUGGUUUUUGUUUAGAAUUGGAAAAUGUCGUUUAUAUACCUUCUAUGAGAAGGAAGUUGAUUUCGGUUUCAAAACUAGUUAUGUUGGGUUUUUAUUUUACUAUCAAUAAUAUUGGCUUCAACAUUUUUUAUAAGUCAUCUCAAAUUGGUUCUGGUUUUUUGAGUGAUGGGAUGUUCCAAAUAAAGUUAAACCUUGAUGAACACGUUUUUAACAUCCAAAAUGGGAACACCAAAACUCAAUCUUCAAACCUAUGGCAUAAGAGACUUUGCCAUAUUUUGAAACAAAGAAUGGAGUUGCUUGUUAAAAAUGACAUUUUACCAUCUUUGAAUUUUAAUGAUUUUGAUUUUUGUGUGGAUUGCAUCAAAGGUAAAAUGACAAAUAGUAGGAAAGAAGGAUCAACUAGAAGUAAACAAGUCCUAGAAAUUAUUCACACGGACAUUUGUGGUCCUUUUCCAACACCUACAAUAGAAGGAAACAAAUACUUUAUAACCUUCAUUGAUGAUUUUUCAAGGUUUUGUUUCAUUUAUUUGAUCAAUGAGAAAUCUAAAGCUUUUGAAGUUUUCAAAAUUUAUAAGAAUGAAGUUGAAAAUCAGUUGGAAAGAAAAAUAAAGAUUGUUAGGUCUGAUAGGGGUGGAGAAUAUUAUGGUAGAUAUACUCAAACUGGUAGACAUCCUGGACCUUUUGCACUAUUCUUCCAAGAACAUGGGAUUGUAGCUCAAUACACUACACCUGGAACCCCCGAGCAAAAUGGGGUUGCAGAAAGAAGAAACAGGACCUUAAUGGACAUGGUAAGAAGCAUGAUAUGUAGAGCUAAUUUGCCGAGUUCUUUGUGGGGAGAAGCAAUGAAGACUGCAAAUUAUAUUUUGAAUAGGGUGCCAUCAAAAUCUGUUGAGGGUACUCCUUUUGAGCUGUGGACAGGGAGAAAACACAGCUUGAAUCAUCUUCAUGUUUGGGGUUGUAGAGCAGAAGCAAAAGUGUAUAGUCCUAACAACAAAAAGCUCGAUCCCAAGACCAUCAGUUGUUUUUUCGUAGGGUAUGCAGAAAGGUCGAAGGGCUUUAGAUUUUAUUGUCCUAAUUACACUUCCAAAAUAGUUGAAACUGGCAAGGCAAUCUUCUUAGAGCAUGAAAUCGAUACUGGUUCUGGGACUGAGGUUGACACUUUUGAAUUUGAAGAAGAAGAAAAAGAAAUCAUAGUCCAACCAAUGGAAACUGAGAUAAGUGUGGCAGCUCCACUUCUUAAAAUUGUUGGGCACAUGGAGGACAGUGAAACUAAUGCAUGUGAUGAAGAUCACGAAGUUGAUGCAACAGUUUAAGAAGUGAUAAAUGAUGAUCGAGGUACCAUAACAAUUGAGGCAUCAGUACCCACCAUGGGUCAGCAACAUCAAAUACAAGAGGGCAGCAUCGACACCAUCACUAAUUUCAGAAGAUCAACUAGGGUCAGGAAACCUACGACACUAGAAGAUUUUGUAUACUUGGCUGAGAGUGACACUGAUUUAUCAGAAUUUAAUGACCCUAUAAGUUUUAAAGAAGCAAUCUCAAGACCAAAUGCUGACAAGUGGAUAGAAGCUAUGAAUAGUGAGCUGACCUCAAUGGAAAACAAUCGUGUAUGGGAAUUAGUUGAACAGACAGAAGGAAUGAAACUCAUAGGAAGCAAGUGGGUUUUCAAAACUAAAAAGGAUUCGAAUGGAAAUAUUGAAAGGCACAAAGCUAGAUUGGUCGCGAAAGGAUUUACACAAAGAGAGGGUGUUGAUUACAAAGAGACCUUUAGUCCAGUUUCAACCAAAGAUGCUUUUAGGGUUAUAAUGGCUAUGGUAGCACACUUUGAUCUUACUUUGCAUCAAAUGGACGUCAAAACGGCCUUCUUAAAUGGAGAUUUGGAGGAGUGUAUCUACAUGAGACAACCAGAUGGGUUCAAAGAAGAAGGGAAAGAUAACUUGGUCUGCAAGUUAAAGAAAUCUAUUUACGGACUCAAGCAGGCAUUGAGGCAAUGGUACCUCAAGUUUCAUCAAGUGGUAAGAGAAUAUGGUUUCACUGAAAAUCUCUCUGACAACUGCAUUUACAUGAAGGUUAGUGGGAGCAGUUUUAUUAUUUUAAUUCUUUAUGUUGAUGAUAUACUGCUAGCCACUAAUAGUCAGAGUUUAUUAAGUGAAACAAAGUCUUUCUUGCAAAGAAAUUUUGAAAUGAAAGACUUGGGAGAGGCAACGUAUGUCUUAGGGAUUGAGAUCAAAAGGGACAGAAUGAGAGGUUUGUUGGGACUAUCGCAAAGAGGGUACAUAGAGAAGGUUUUAAAAAGAUUCAACAUGUCCAGUUGUGGAACUACUGAAGUGCCGAUUUCAAAGGGAGAAAAGUUGAGUAAGUUGCAGUGCCCUAAAAAUGAUUUGGAAAAAAAGAUCAUGGAAGAUAAGCCAUAUGCUUCCUUGGUAGGAAGCCUAAUGUACGCUCAGGUCUGCACAAGACCUGAUCUUGCAUUCACAAUAAGUGUACUUGGAAGGUUCCAAUCGAAUGCUGGUGAAGCUCACUGGAAUGCAGCAAAGAGAGUGUUGCGAUAUCUUCAAAGAACUAAAGCACAUAUGUUGGUUUUCAGAAGGACGGAUGAGUUGGUGUUAGAAGGGUAUAGUGACUCCGAUUUUGCUGGAUGUUUGGAUGAUCUUAAAUUUACAUCAGGUUAUGUUUUCUUGAUGGCAUGUGGAGCUGUUUCUUGGAAAAGUGUAAAGCAAGACACAGUGGCUGCAUCUACAAUGGUAGCUGAAUAUUUAUCUUGUUGUGAGACUGUUAACCAAGCUGUUUGGUUAAAGAAUUUCAUAAUGGGACUUAAAGUUAUUGAUUCAAUUGCAAGGCCGAUCCAAAUCUACUGUGACAAUAAUGCUGCAAUAUUCUUCUCCAAGAACAAUAAGAGAUCAGCUGCAACCAGGAACUUGGACAUUAAAUACCUUAUUGCAAGAGAGAAAGUUGUGGCUAGGUUAGUUAAAAUUGAUUAUUUGGAGACAGGUUCAAUGAUUGCAGAUCCUAUGAACAAAGCAGUGACCAAUGCGGUGUUCAAGAAGCAUGUGAUGAGUAUGGGAGUGCUGGAUGAUUUUGAUACAGUGAAUUAGUGGGAGCCAAGUAUUAAUUUCUUUCUCUGCGAGUUAUCUAGUUCUGAAUGUUUUGAAUAUUGAUAAUAAAGAACACUUAGCUAAUAAAGUGAAAUGCUGAAUGGUUGUUAAAGUUUUCCUAUCAAGCUCAGCAAUUAGUUAUGAAAGUGCAUGUAUUUCUUUAUAAUGUAGGAUGGAUAAUGAUUCUCAGAAUUGUUAUAAGGCAUAAACAACUUGAAGACUUCACUAUGAAGUAUUUGGAAUUGAUUGUUUUAUCAAUCUUGUGGAGGACCAAGUGUAAGAUGUGUUACUCGAAUAUACAUGCGAACAUGUGUUACAUUAAAUUACAUAUCUUGUUGGAGUUCCAUGUGUUAUAUAGCUUCAUUACAGUGACUAUGGGGACAGUACUUCUUCAGUGAGAGUGUGAUGCCCUUUGGUUCUUUAUGAAUGCUUAUUAAUGACAGGAACUUGUAAUCGAGUUUAGCUGAUAUUAGUCUCUUGGCCAAUCAAGUAUUAUUCCACUUCUGUAAGUGUACAUGAUAAACAAAUAUUAGCUCUAGUGGGAGAAUGUAAGUUCUAUAGAGAGCAAACACUUGUUUAUCGUGUAAAAGUGUUUUGGAAUAAUAAGGAGACUAACAUUAGCUACGUGGAAUGGCUUUACAGAAAUUGUAUAAUAAGGAUAAUAGCCUCAAGCAAUCUCGAUAGAGCUAGGACUCUAUUAUCUGAUAUGUUUAUUAGGGUUUUCACGGUGAUAAAGAUAGUUUGAUAAGGAUUACAUAAUGGGAAGUGUCCUGAUUGAACUCCAUCGUUUAUGGUAUAAAACUAGGGUCCCUGCGCUCUCACAAACACACAAGUUUUCAGAUACUCAAGCCCCAUUGAUUGAGCCUUGUAUUCGGUAGUGCAGAGUUGCAGAAGAAUCCUUUUAAUUCAAGCAGCAAUGUCUUCAUCAGGUAAGUGAUGAAGUUGGUAUCGUGAUUUAGUUUCUAUAAGUUAUACACUUACAAAUAAUGUAUGUACUAUAGAAACCAUCAGUUGUAAUGGUUGAAGCAGAAAGAAGAAUACUUCCUCUGAAAGAUUAGUAUUUCCAUCUUCAAUAUCAAAACAAAAGGCUUCAAGUAGCUUCAAUAUAUCAAAGGGCUUCCAUACAUGUCAAAACAAAGAACACGACUGAUAAAACUUUUAUUUGCAGCAAUUCACAAGUAUCAAAAUCUCUAAGUAACAUCAAUAUCUUGUAAACCAUGGAGAAAGGAAGCAUCUGUAAAUUUCACAAGAGAUGUAGUAUAUAUACCAAAGCCAUUUUCCCGAUAAAAAAUCCAACAAAAGCAAGUGUAAGUCAUAUAAGAAAAGCUACGAAGUGUCAAAUGACUCUUCUUUUAUAACUCAAUAUCAUUAAACACUCUCUUUACUGCAAACAAAUAUAUGGCAAAUUGAAAAUAUAAUUUUAGAUCAUUUUUUUUUUUAAGAAAAAGGCAUGAUCCUAAACAAUGAUAUUAUGCCGAUGCAAGCAGAUUAUGACCCCGAAUAGUAUUGUAAGAACGAAACAAUAAACUAUUUCUGAUAAAACAAAUAACUUACCCAAAAGAAAAGCCAUGACAUAAUUGUACACCUCCGGAAGGUCAGACUUGUUUACCAAUCUUGCCAGUGAUUGAUCAGCAAUUUCAUAAAGUCGUCUCCCUCUCAUGUCCUUGCUGACAACAAAUAUUUUCUUAACGUAUUCAAGUUCCCUAGCAAGAUUUUCAAUUGUCCAAUCCUUUGCGAAAUUCUGAAAUGUUGUACUUUUAUGCGCAAACGGAAGCGAAUUAUAACAAAGUACCAAAUAUCGUCGCAGGAGAAAGCUAAAACAAACAAUCUCAAACUAACACGAGAUUUACGUGGUUCGGCGUAAAGCCUACUCCACAGGCGAAGCACGGCAAGGAAUUUCACUAAAUAAACGGAGAUUACAAAAGAGUGUUUAAACUCUCACAACCCAAAUCCCACAAAUUACAAACCCUAAACCAAACGAGUAGAGAACUCAAACAAACAGAGAAGAUUCUCCCAAAUUGCUCUCUAACAAACUCACAAAUUGACUCUCACCAAAUUGCCACACGAAUGAGCCACACAAUAUACAUUAACCCUAAGGUCCUAUUUAUAGUGCAUAGGACUUAGGUUACAAUAGGAAUCCUAAUAGGAAAUAAAUCCAAAUCCUAAUCAAAUAGGUAAUUAACAAAAUCUCUCCACCAAGGAAAGUAACUAAGAAGUCAAAACCAAACCCAAAUAUGACACCAAAAUCAAAUAGGUAACACAAACCUAAUUUAUUGCAUCAUCCUAAUUUUGAGCCAAAAACCCAACAAUCUCCACCUCGGCGAGAAAUUAGCAAACUUCCAAAUUUGGGAUACCAGAAUACAAAUGCAAACGUGCACCAAAUUCUUUCGAAACUGAUCUCCACCUAGACUCAAAAAAUCCAAAAGUCUUCAUACUUGAAAUUUCCUCCAACGCCUUCUCCAACAAAUUCCAUUAUGGAAACUAACAAAUACGAAACAAAAUACAAGCAAAAGCUUGAACAUAUGAACAAAAAGUGCGAAUUGCACUCCACCUAAAGAGCUUGAGUACCAAGCUCCACCUCUUCACAUAACCUUUAGAGGAGUUCAGAACAACGAUCUUCUGCAAUGUUUGCAUCAACACUAGCAAAAGACUUAUCAAACAACUUUUUUUUCGCCCUUGAGUUUAGGGCAAUCUACUUUCCAAUGACCAUCCUUAUAACAAUAGCUACAAGUGUUCUUUCCAAGUUUGCUCAUUUCCUUAUUCCUUCCUUGAACUACCAAAGCUCCAUCUUGUGUGUCAGACACUUUAUUCUUCAGCUCUUUAGAAUUCAAAGUGACUUUAACAUCUUCCAAACUAAGACUUUCUCUACCAAAUAGCAUGGUAUCGACAAAGUGUUCAUACGAAGGAGAUAAAGAACACAACAAAGUUAUCGCAUAAUCCUCAUCACUAAUUUGGUUGUCCACACUUUUCAAAUCCAUCAUAAGUUUAUUGAAUUCAUCAACAUGCUUAUGAAUUGACGUACCUUCAUCCAUACGAAGAGUAUGCAAACUUUUCUUCAAAUACAACCGUUUAGCAAGGGAUUUGGUCAUAUACAAGCUCUCCAAUUUUAUCCACAACUCUGGUGCAGAUUUGAUGCUACCAACUUCACGCAAGACUUCAUUUGAUAAAGUCAGCAGGAUUGCUCUAAGUGCCCGUUCCAUAACGUCUUCUUUUUCUUCAUCAGUCCACGAAUCCGGCAAAGUCUUCACACCCUUUAGCGUUUUCAAAAGCCCUUGUUGAACUAACAAAGCACGCAUCUUCAAUUGCCAAAUACCAAAGUCAUUGCCGUCGAACUUUUCAAUAUCAACUUUCACCGAUGACACAGAAGGCUUCAUAGUGACUGUGAAAACGGAGCUAAUGGAGAUUGCUCACCAUGAACAACAAAAUGGACAUUUACUUUCUUCCAAGGAUUUACAGGACAAUGGCAUCCGUAACUCAUUCGGAUUCAUUCAGUCCACUAAUUCCCAACUGAUUCUAGCAGUUUUUAGUGCUUCGCAAUUUUUUGGAUAUAUACAACACACAACAAUUUCUAUUUAUAUAUCGCUUUUUGACAUACUGCUUGGGGAAAUCUGUCAGCACAUACAUAUUUUGAAUGCGUUAGGUUUUAAUUUGGACAGUAAGGACUAGGGAAUCCAUUUGGAUAAUUUUGACACAAUUGACAAGCUGCAAUAGACUGCACUAUAGACUUCUAGAUUUACUGAUAGAGGUUCCAUGAUUUGUUCUAGAAUUUGGAACAAUAUUCUAAUUCUGAUGGCCAAUGGUAAUUUCUCCACUUUCAUGAGUGGCUUAACUAAAGCAAUUUCCACUUUUACUUUAUCUAGACAUAUGAUUGAUACUAUGACAUCGGUUUGUCUAGUUGUCUACGAUUGCAACACUUGUGCGAUAUAGUUUAUACUCGGCAGCACAAUUAUUGUAUCUCCUCGUAUAUUCUCUGGAGUACCUGUUUACAAACACAAUUGGCAGCCAAAUGCUUCAUGGACGAAAAAUGCAGCACGCCUCUCCGUGGUCUGAUGGCUUUUUUGUUAUUAUAUGGGAGGUCUUCUUGAUAGCUGCGUGCUGGGUUUUGACAAUGGCAGAAGAAGACAUGAUCAUAUGGGCAUUAAUGAGGCAUAAGAAUCUGGGUUCAAGUCUAGUUGUUUGUUGUCAUCUUCAAUCGAUCAAGACUUCAGUUAGAACAUCUUUGAAGGGAAAUUCCUAUCUAAUUGAGAUUGUCUAAGGUGGUGCUAAAUGGGGAGUUAGCUUUGAAACUAUGCUGGCAGAACAAGAUGCAACUAUCCUAACGGCUGCAAUAAGACGACAGUAUUUUAGUGCCUUGACAAUUGAUCUACAUGUUGAUUUCUCACUGCUGUUCACUAGUAACCUUAACCUUUGGCCUGUAUGGGAUCCGGGAGAUGCUUUAACUACAGCUAUAAAGUUGAUGAUUUGUUUUAAGUUCCAAGAGAACCAUUUCAAGGUGCACCCUCAAUUCUUGGUUCUGCAGCUACACCCCAUAAAUCCUGCAGUGCAUCCUACUUGUCUACCACCACAGUUGUUGGCCACAAGAUUAGGAAUUCUUCACCCUAAAUCCAGGCUUCACCCUUAUCAGGUGCUCUCUGUCAAAAGGAUUGAGGCCGGUAUAUGCAAUCUCCUUGCUGCCCUUAGCUUUCUCCUUUGGUUCAAAAAUGAUGAAGUUGGAGCAUGACGAAAUUGUGGUAUUUUUGUUGUUUGGAGAACAUGGGUUCACACCCCACUCUCAAGUGUCCCUUGUUGAGUUCUCAGAUGGUGCUCAGGCUCGUGUUGUGCUUGAACCUAGAGAAACCAAAGGCUUUACUUUAAUUAGGAUCGUUACAAAUUAAGGAUGACUCAAGCAAGGAUAUUUACUCAACGAGAGAAGUUCAUACAAAGAACUAAUUUUUCAUUUAAGUUGGCGUUCUUACAUAGAAUACACACGUAUCUAAAGGCCUAGGAGGAACUUUUCCGAACCUCACCUAAAACUAUCUGGAGACAAGAGGCAUCGUUCUCUUUUGUCCGUUACAUAAUAUAAGGAUGAAUCUCCUCUACAUCACAAUCAACAAUAUUUUACGUCACGCUCAAACUAUUAUAGAUAAGAUUCUUUACUUUACAACACAUCGAAUAUUAUUCUAGUGGUAACAACUUAUUGUCUAACAACAUGAUGUUGGAUAAUUGGUGUUAGAACAUUAAAAUUGUAAAUUAUUAGCUAAUGGAAAAAUUACAUUAUUAGAAGGGUGGAAGGGUAAGAAAAAUAUAGAACGCGAGAGAGAGUAUUUUGAGUUGAGUGUUUAGACGAAGAUUUUGUUUCUAAGUAUACAUAUUAGUUAGAGCAUUUUUCAUGGCAAAAAGAGUUAAGUAAGGGCAGCUGCCCCCAUUAGGCAUAUAAUGCCUCCGUUUAUGUAGAAAUGUGUUAAAUGAAUAGACAAUCAUCAUAAAUUGUUCCUUAAUACUCACACCAUUUAUUUAUUCCAUCUAUUUAGAGGCAUAAACAAUUUACAAUUCGAAAUAACUUCUUAUAAAACUUCUUUUAAUAAAAAUUAAAUAAUUAAAUAAUUUUAAUUAUAAAAAUAUACAAUUAUACAUUAAGUGGUUUUAGGAUAAUUAAACAGCUAAUCUGUAAAAAGACAGGUGUCACAAGGAUAGUGUAGGAAGAGCGUGCCGCCGGGCACAGAUAAUCUUCUCUUCCUGUCUGUAUUUCAUCAUACAAGUCACUUCCGCUUUUUCCUUUUUCUAUUUUCCGUGUUCCCGGGAAAAGUCCAAGGAAAACGAAACCCUUCCUAAUUUUUGGUUUGGAAUUCGAAUGCAAUUGCGUUAAAUUUUGCGCCUUUGAUUUGGGUAUUUGCAGAAUUUUGAGAAGACUCAUUGGAUUAUACAAGUUAGAAGUAAUGGAGGAUGUUUCUGGGACCUGGAGCAGGCUGAGCAGCAAAGUCCACCACUUGGUAUGUUUACUCAUACUUUUGGCCCUAACUUACACUCAUUCAAUCUUUCAGCUACACUUGGUUUCUGUAAAAGCAAAUAUAUGUCAAAUCUUAGACUCUUAGUAGCUUUUUAGCUUCAAAUAUAUGCCAAAUUAACCUCAUAAGUGGGUUUUCGAGCGAUCGAGUUGGACUGAAUGAAUACAUGAUGAUGUUUUCUUACCCUUUUCUGCUUAGUUUCUUCAAGAACAAUUCAUCUUUAGGUCAAGCCGGAAACUUAUUGUUCAUCUUGUUUGUAGGUCAAGAUGGUGAAAGAAAAUGAAACAGUAACUGAAUAUGCUACCUUAGUUCAUGGAGAACCUUCUCAAGAUGCUAAUGACCCCCCAAAAGUUGAUUCCAAGGCGGAAAUCCUUCACGAGAAAGUCACAAAGCAAAUCAUUAAGGAAGGUCAUGGUCAAAUACCAUCCAAGUAUUCAACAUGCUUCUGUAAGUGUCCGGUGGUUUCCUUUUUGGUAGUGCUGUGCUUUGUACAUUAGUUGAAAAUCCAAUAAUUGUUAUGUGUGUAUGUAUUUGUUAGUACGGGAGUACGACAUGAAUGAGCUUGUGACUUGCAAACAGACACACACAACAUUCAUGUUCACAGAGUUGUGUAUGCGUAUAGGAGAAUUAUUUGUGCGUGCAUUAAAUUUUAUAAAAGGGAUGCCUAAGAUACAUGUAGAAAGGUCUUGCAGUGAAGUUUUACUCUGAUUUUUUCAAUCACUGAGUGAUUGGCAUAUGUGUGAUAGUGCACUACAGGGCAUGGACUGAAAGCACAAGACACGAGUUUGAGGACACAUGGGAUGAACAACGACAACUUGAAAUGAUUUUAGGAAAAGGUAUUAUAGCCCUUGCCGAGUUGUCUGGUACUUUUGAUAUAUACAAAAUAUAUGCAGAAUAAUUCUGGCAUGUUCCUUGUUCAGUCUGCAAUUAGUUCUGUGAGUUCUUUAUUGCUUUUAUUCUCUGUAGUUAACUUGUCAUUUGAUAUGAUUUGGGUCCAUAAGCAUUUAAUCAUUAUGUGGUGGUAUUAAAUGCAAUGAACUUCUUAUUAGUAGUAUAUUUUUGUUACCGCAACAGAGAAAAAAGAAAUGACUGGCUGGGCUAUUGGGGUGUCCAGCAUGAAGUCGGGAGGGCGUGCCCUAUUACAUGUAGGCUGGGAGUUAGGGUUUGGGAAAGAAGGGAGCUUUUCUUUUCCGAAUGUUCCACCAGUGGCAGAUAUAUCAUAUGAAGUUGAGCUUAUUGGAUUUGAUGAAACCAAAGAAGUAAGUUGGUCACUUGCUUUCAAAUGUCUUCCCAAGUAGAUGCCAAUAGUUUUAGCCGGGAACGAAGACACAGUAUCAAAUUUAGUGAUCUAAACUGUUAGCAGUGGAGGAGUUAAGAAUUUACGAUGAUGGGGUCAAAAAAUCGAUCAUACUUUCAUUACGAUUACCCACUACAUGUUCUCAUAUUUUGGAAACGUUGUAUCACAACAAAAUUAUAAAUCAAAUCAAACACAUCAUUCUCAAUGUAUACAAUCAAACUAUCAUUCAAUCAUUCAUCACAUGUCUAUUACGAUGUGGAUGAUUCACAAUAUUCAUCAUCGAAAAAGCUCUUUCAACAGAAGCAGUCGCUACGGUAAAAUUUUUGUUAAUUUUGUGGAUGCAAAUUUCUUCCUCUUUGAUCUUGGACAAAAUUGCACCUACAAAACAAUUAACACCUUAGGUCAAGGCUAAGAGCCUCACGCGCCCACGAUAAAUGGGGGGGCUUUGGCCGAUGAACAUCCGAUGCCAAAGUUAGAAUUUAGAGAGAAAAAGUGUUUGACAAUUCUAGAGAAUUUUAGCAAGAGUUGCAACUAGGUUUUGGUGAGAAAUGUGGGGCUUUUUAUAGAGGAGUGGCUGGCCUCUUAGGGUGAGAGAGGACCGGCCACAUAGUCUUGUUUGUGGGUUUUGUUCAUGAUUUAAGAUGAUUUUGGGAGUUAUAUGAUUAAUUGACUAAUUAAUUUGGCAAAAUAAAAUUAUUACCAAAUGAAUUAGCUAAUUAAUGGGAUGAAAUGGGCAAAUAUCAAGAGAUAAACAAAACAUGGCCAAUUCCUUUUCUAACAAUAGGUGGCCGGCCCUUCACUUGUUUUUGGGGUUGAAAGGAUCACUUAAUUGACAAUUUAAGGGAUUAAAUAGGCAAUUAACCUCUUAAUUGGCCAUUUAUCAUGAUUUUUAGAAGGAAGGCUUUAGAAGUUAUGGAAAGAAUAAAAUAAAUAGCUAAUUGAUUAGCUAAAAGAGGGAAAAAGAGGUAAGAAAUAUAUGGAAUGAAAUAGGUUUUAAGUUGAUACCUAUUUUGGGCACUUUUGACUUGGUUUAGGGAUGAUUACUCGCGCGUAGGAAUCCCAGUAUGUCUCAAGGGUAUUUUUGUUCUCUUUUACCCAAGAAUCCACGUGUCGUCUUGUGAUUAUUUUUUGCUCCACAAAUUUCAUUAGCAAGUACACUAAGGGAUACUGCCUAUCCCUCUUUAUCUCCACUAACUUUUGUGCAAAACUACUAAUUUCUUUCAACACAAAAAUUUCAUUAUGCAAACGUAUGUCAAAGAUAUAAUUUUUAAGUUCGUCAUCAAGAAGUGAGAGCUCCGUAUUUGGAUAAAAUUGGGUAAGGCGAACUAACUAAACCACAUAAUAUAAGUUGGGGUGUGCUAUUCACAAUCCUUAUUUUAUUUUUCACACACUAAUUUUUUUUCGUUGAUCUUUUGAUAGGACUCGCUCGGAUUAAUGACUUCGCUAGGAGUUCUUAGACAAGAACCCCAAAUUCGGCCGGACUCGUAAGACCUUCUGCGAGAGAGAACCUCGGUCAUCCUGCGAGAGAGAGUCGUCGCCAUCGCUCCCUGCUUGCCCUGCUCCCUCAUCCUCGUCCUCCUCACCCUCAUCUCUGCGUCCUGCUUGCCCUCAUCUGCAUCCUGCUUGCCCUCAUCUGCUCCUCUUGCCUCUUGCCUGGUAAACUUCGAAUCUUCGAUUUAUUUCUCCGAUUUGUUUUUCAGAUCGUGAUAUUACUGAGCUUUAUUUGAUUUAGUUGUUUGAGAAAUUUUCAAAGAUUUAUCGCUUUGUCAUUGAAAAUGCAAAUGCAAUGCUCAGUCAGUGCGAGUCUGAGUCCGAGCAGAAGAGGCAGAGGCACCGCUGUCGAUUCACUUCCAAUGGCAGCCGUCGGUGGUCCUAAGUGGGCACAGAAGACCAUAACUCUGCCUCCCCUCAAGAGGGGUUGUCAUCUCGUCACCCCUAAGGUACCUACUCUUUUGAAUUUUGAUUCUUGAGUUGAUCCAUCCGUCAAACCCUAACCCUUGAUUUGAAAUCAAUUGAGUUGGAUUCACGGUGAAACAUGUGUUUAGGUCUCUUAGAAAUUUAAUUUCUAUUUGAAAUUUCAGAUAGUGAAGGAAAUUGGGGAGGACUUGUCAGAAUUCAAGUGUGGCCUUGCCCACCUCUUCUGUAAGUUUGCCUGCCUAAUACUGUUUUCUUUCAAUACUUGUUUUUGCUUGUUUUGAAUGAACAUAUAACAUCUGUGUAUAUUUAUUUGUGGGUAAUAUUUCAGUGCAGCACACAAGUGCUUCUCUUACUAUCAAUGAGAAUUAUGACUCUGAUGUUCGUCACGAUGCAGAGACAUUCCUCAAUACCAUUGUUCCUGAGGUUACUUACUUUCGUUUUGUUUCCUUUCCUGUGUAUUAUGAUCACAUGAUUCACAUCUUAUGUACCAGUAGCACUAGCAAGCAUUAUAUGAUGUUCUCGUCUUCAUUUAUUUUCAGGGGACCUCUGCACCAUGGAAGCAUACCCUUGAAGGUUAGUAUUCGAUUCCAUUUCAUUGUUUCAUUCAUGGCCUUCGUCUCUUCUUUCGAAGAAUACUUUGCUUUUCUCUGUUUUAACCCAAUUUCUAUAACUUGGUUGGCUACGUCUUUGAGUUUGCAUUAUAUGCACUGUCAUUUGACUGCUAGCUACUGUGGUGCCUGGUAGCUCAGAAUUUAAGUUAUCUGAGUUUUACAGGCCCAGAUGACAUGCCAGCACAUAUUAAAUCAUCAAUGUUUGGCUGCACUCUGACGUAAGGAUACCUUACUAGCUUGUUUGAUACUGUUUACAUGUGCUGUGAGGAAUUUACGGCCUCGUUGGCAUUUACAUUUUCCUUGUUCUCAUGCAGGGUUCCAAUUACAAAUGGAAAACUCAACAUGGGAACUUGGCAGGUAUGUAAAAGUGAAAACCAUUAUUCAACUUUUCUAAGUUUUCUACUUGUAAAGGGCUUGAAUCUCUCAAUCUUGAAAUUAGGGUUUAUGCUUGGAAAGAUUUUCACCUAUGCUCUGCUUAAUAAAUUUCUUGGAUGAUGCCUAAUUAUUCUCUGUAGGAAUAGAACUUAAAGUAAAUUCUGGAGAAAAAAAUGCAUCAUGUUAAGGGAAGGUAAACCGCAUAGCAGUACUUAAGAAAUUACUAGCUGCAAAAGAAGUUUUUACGAGAACACUUACAUUCUGAACCUUCUUCCCUACUACUGUUGAAGUGUCAGUAAAGGCUAGAAGUAUUCUUUUAUGUAGGCAGAACAUGUAAGUUAAAAGACACAUGUUUUGAAUGCCGGUGCUCAAUGGCGUUAGUGCAUGAUGGAAUGUUUUACAGACCUUACUGUAAGCAUCUUGACUAGGCGUAAAUUUCUUGUAUUUGAGUAUGUAAGCUGAGCAUGGAGUAUGAACUCAUGAGAACAGAAUGAUAGAUAAGAUAUGCAUAGGCUUUUUUUUAAGAUUUCAUCAACCCUUUCAAUUUCUAAGGGGCAUGUGAGUGAGGCAAUGAAUGGCGCUAUGGAAUUACACUCUUCGGCUAACAAUUACUCUGUUUUUUCCUUUUUUAUAAACAUCACAUUCUGUUUCCAUUGCAUCAUUGUUUGGCUCUCUAAUAAAUCAAAAUUUCUGGUGUGUUAUAGCUUAUGGAAUAUUGUUUAUUUUUUUCCUUGUAUUGAUUCUGCUUCAGGGAAUAUGGUUGUGUGAGCAUCGUGACUAUUCUACAGCACGGAAAGUUGUGGUUACCCUGAAUGGAAUAUGAGAUUCUAAGAUUUGGAUAUUUUUCAUCCAAGUCUGUAGAUAAGUCGUACGUAGACAUCUGGUUUGUUCAUGGGAACCUCCUGGAGAGAUGUUAACGUCCUAGCUGUUUUCUGCAUCUUUCUGGCUGAAUGAACAUCUGGUACCUUGUUACUUGUAAAGGAUUUACUACUUUCUGGCUUAUACAUACAAUAGCAAUUUCAAGUAAUUAUUUUAAAAUUGAGUAAAAAAUUGAACUUGUCAGACAUCAAUUUUCGUUCUACUCAAAUGCAAGUAUAAACCAAUACCUUUAACUUUAAUCUACGACUUUAAACCCAAGGUGAAUAAUUAAGAAAAUCAUCCUGAACCCUGUCAAUUGUUGGGAGAACACUUUGUUAUAUUCAUGUUUGGAACAAUGCUACUCUUGAAUCAUGUAUGUUUCUUUCGUUGGUAAGAAAAUUUGGUUUUUGUAUUUUUAUUGAGUCUCACUCUCAUCCAAUAUUGUUAAUUUUAAUAAUAUCUUUAAUAAAAAAAACAAUUAAAAUAUAACAAUAAUGUAGUCCUAGUCUAAGCAAACAUCAAACUGGUGACAAUACUGUUUUCAUUAUCCUGCUUUUUAGUCCAAUACUGCACCAAAUGCUUCACUAAGCUAGUCCAACUAAGUUUAGUCUAAGUCAGUCCAUCUUAGUCCUUGCAACUAGUCUAGUCCGAGAUAGUCUGGUGCCACAUACGCACAAUGGAAAAUUAUGUUCAAUGCCCUUGGAAUUAACUAAUGAAAAAUUAUGGAUUUUCUAUAAUUUCAUCUGUUGCUAUUGAUAUAUAAAAUUCCAAUGCUCAAUAUUUCAUCAGCUGUUGUUAUGCAGUUAUAAGGGUCGGAAAAUUUUUCAAAAGGAUAAAUUUACAAACUUAUUGGGGUCAAGGGAUGCCAAUGCCUCCUUCACUUCACUUGGGUUUUCGCUUUGUUUACUGAGUUUUCAGUUGUGAAUUUUUUGUCACCACCAUAAUAUGUUAGUGUGUAAAACGAGUCAAUUUGUUUCUUUGAAGUACUUCUUGUUUCUUUUGUUUAUGUGGACAUUUUUCAGUAAAGGCAUGAAACUCAAGAAUCAGAAAGAUUCUAGUUCCUAUUCUAUAUAACUAAGCAUGUCAUAUUAUAUGAAAUCAUAAAAAUAUUGGAUUGAUGAGCCAUUUAAUAUUACAAUCUUGUUAUUUUCUUCUAGACUUGUAAGUGAUAGUUUUUAGGCUCAAUUAUCGCCAAAAACAAAUUUGAACUACAUUAUUGAUAAUCUAUUAUGAGGCUUAAUCUACUUCUCCACACUCUUAAUGUAAAUGAUAUCGUUUUUUCUAAUAAUAAUAAUAAUGGAUUGAGGUUUGAAAUUUCAUCAUUACAAAUGGACCCCAAUUUAUGACUUUCUUUAGUCUAUUAGCAUUAUAUUAAUAGACAUUUAUGCUGGGUGUGGAGACGUCCAGCGGUGGGUGUACAAAUGAUGACGGGUUAUAAUGAUAAAUCAAAUCAUUAGCCAAUUAAGGAAGACGCAUAGAGGCCACAGGGGUAUUUGCCCAAAUAUUCCUGUGGCCUCUUUGUGCCUUUGCUUUUUGAAUUAAACAUAAUUAAUGUUAACUUGAUAAUAAUUAAAAUAAUAAAUAAUAAAUCAAAUCAUCAGCCAAUUAAGGAAGACACAGAGAGGUCACAGGAGUAUUUGGGUUCAGAAGAUCUCAUCUCGGUUAUAAUAGCGCGUGGGCCCAGGGAGUGGUGGGAGAGAGAACAUGUGUUGGAAAUCAAAUGAAAGACACAACACAAGCUUUAGUAUAGCACUAGCUACUAGGGCACAAAAGUAGAGGAAAAGAGAAGGUCAGGAACCUAUAAUUUGUGAAGGACCUAGCUAGCAUUAAAAAUCAACUUUCAAUUAUUAAGGCCAGCUGUAACAUAUUGACCAUUAUUGGGUCUUUGUUUUUAUUUCCUCAUUCCAAAUUAACCCCAAUUUAUAACUUUUUUAGUCUAUUAGCAUUAUAUCAUCAACAUAAAUGGACAUUAUGAUAUCUCAUCGUCCACUUUACUUUUAGGUCCUAUUGGUAACUAGAACUGUAUUAACUAUGUCACUCGAAUAAGAUAAUUUGUACAUUAAAUAAUAUUGAUUAAAUUAAUCGGAUGUUUGAUGUAGAAUCUAAUUAAAAACCCAGUUAUGCAUUAUAUUUUAUGAAAGAUAAUGUCAAAAAUUGUAAAUAAAAUGAAAAGAAAGGAAGAAAAAAAAUCGAUAGAAUAAUCCAAAAAGGGGCACUUCCCUUUCUUUGUGGUUAAUCUUCUGCAAACAAUCCGUUGUCAUUGAUCUUCUGGAAAAGGGAUAUUCUCCGGAUCAUUGCCUCUUAAUCCAUUAAAUUCAUUAAUCUGGACUUUUGAAAUUUGAUACAACGGCUAAAAUUAUAAUUUUUAAUAGGGUCUCCUGUUUUUAGCCGUUAUAUCAAAUUUUAAAUGCCCGAAUUGAUUGAUUUAGUGGAUUAGGAGGAAGACAUCCGGAGAUGAUCCAUUUUCAAUAUUCUGCACACAACCCAGAAAAGUUAUGGGUGUGGAUUCGUGGCAAAUCGAGGCACCAUGAAGGUGCGGAAUAAAGCGCAAAUUGUGAGAUUCCGCUCCAGAUUCCAGCAAAAAGGCGACUUGCAGGUCGUCGGGUUUCAGAUCCUCUCAAGAAAAUCGAUUAAUUGAAUUUACAUCGUGGUGGAUGGUCGCAACCACAUAAAUUGAGCCAAGAAGCUUCAUAUUCCAACCCAAAUUAAUUUCACAGAAUUUAAAUUCUAGGGUUCAAAACCUUAAUUUUGAAAGGAAUUGUAACUUCACCAAAAAUUUAAAGUGGAACAUAAAGAAGAAGAAGAAAUCUUGACGAAGAUGACAGCUGAACGACGGCAAUGGGAAUUAGUCUUGUGCACGAUGCGAGAGAAAGGGACGCAACAUGAGAGAACGGGAGAACACAAUGUGAUUUUCCUACUAAUUAAGUACCGGUUUGGUACUUAUGUGCUUUUAUGAAAAGUGGAUAUACAAAAAAAGUUGAGCUCAAAAAGGUAUUUGGUAAACACUUAAAAAUAGCUUAUUUUCACAAUUUUGGAUGGAAAAAAAGCUGCAAACGUGAAGCAGCAUAAAUGUUGAAUUAUAUGUUGAAUGUUGAAUUAUGAUUUCUUGUUAAACGGUGGAUUAUAUGUUUAAGAUAAAGUUUAUAAAAAAUUAUUUUUAAAAUAAAGUAUAUUUAGUAAUUCACCUUUAUUUGUUAAGAAAAUUAAAUUAAUGACACAUCUAGUAUUAUACAAUUUUUUGUCAUUUCACACAGUCACAGCUGUUUUACAUAAAAGUUUACCAAACAUUAUAAUACCGUUUUUUUUCUUUUCCAAAAACACUUUUACAAAAAAGUUUACCAAACAUUCUACUGCUUUAUUUCACAGCUACUUAUUCUCACAGCACCGUAAAAACAGUUUUUUUUUUCAAAACACAGCAAUACCUAACCAUCCCUUAUAAUACAAAGGUUUUGGGUUGGAUAAUUUAGUAGGUGCACCAUAUAAGGAUGUGGGUCCAGUUUAAUUAAUUCGGGUACUAUUUAGUGUAAAAUUACACUAAACACUUGGGUUCAUACUAUUUAUCCUAUCUGGUUGGUUAUACGGUUUGUCAAACGAGACCUUAGUGUAUAAUGUUGCUUCACUGAUAAUCUUCUAACGGUUACAUAGUUUUAACAAUAUUCAAACUUACAUCAAAUCAAUCUUAACCUUUCAUCUUACAUCUUAUGAGAUGAAGACAUUUAACAAAAUAGUCGCACUUGGUGCGAUGGCAAGUGCCUUCGCCCAUGAGCGGUAGGUCUCGGGUUCGAGACUUGGGAGCAGCCUCUCCAUAAAUGGGGGUAAGGCUAGCCGACAUUCACCUCUCCCAGACCCUGCGUAAAGCGGGAGCCUUGUGCACUAGGUACGACCUUUUUUUAUUAUUAUUUGUUUUUUUCCUCAACCCUCAAUUUUUGAAACUAGAAAUUAAAGGAAAUCUAAUUUUCUCAGCUGAAAGAAGGUGUCAGAAACGUGCAGUGCUGGGUGUAUAAAUUCGCACUGAAGAUACAAAUAAAAUUAGACUGAUUGCUUCUAUUUGGAAGUGCUGGGUGUAGAAAGGUAGAGCGGUGGGUGUACAAAUGAUGACCGGUUAUAAUAGCGGGCCCAAGGGGUGUGGAAGAGAGAACAUGUAUUGGAAAUCAAAUGAAAAACGACACAACACAAGCAGAGCACUAGCUAUUUGUGAAGGACCCGGCUGGCAUUAAAAAUCAACUUUCAAUUAUUAAGGCCAGCUGUACAUAUUGACCAUUCUUAGGUCUUUGUUUUUAUUUUAUACAUUGAAUGAUGUGUGAGUGGUUGGAUGAGAGAUGGGCAUGUAAAGACUAGCAGGAGGAGCCAUCUUUCAUUACGCAAAAUCAAUUUCUUAGUUACAACUUUAUAUUUUAAUUUACUUCACUUGGGUUUUUGCUUGUUCUGAAUACAAGAAAUGGCAGAAGGAGUUCUCUUUAAUAUUGUAGAACGGAUCAUUGUAAGGCUUGGCAACCGUGCUUUCCAAGAGAUUGGGUCGAUUUGGGGUGUCCAAGAUGAGCUCAACAAGCUCAAGGAGACAGUUGUCGGAUUCCAAGCUGUUCUUCUAGACGCUGAGCAAAAGCAAGCCAACAACAGUGAAGUCAAACUAUGGCUCGAAAGCGUAGAAGAUGCAGUUUAUGAAGCCGAUGAUGUGCUGGAUGAGUUUAAUACUGAAGUUCAGCGGAGACUAGUGAUGCAUGGCAAUACUAAGCUGUCAAAGAAGGUAUGCCUCUUUUUUCUUUAGCUCAAAUGAAUUUGCUUUCUGACGAAAGAUGAAUCAUUAAAUAAAAUAUAUUAACAAGAUGAUUCGAGAGGUUGCACCUUGUAGAACAUUUUCGUAGUCACGUAAGCUUAUCGAUAUUAACCUAUUAGGAGCACAAUAGGUCUCUCAAUAACUUAUAUUUAACUGCAAUAAAUCUUCUACAUUAUUGUUUUGAAUGUUUCGUAUAACUUACCGUUACAAAACUCUAUUAACUUAUUAACACAGUUCUAUCGAAAAAAUGAUUGUGUCUACUCAAACUCUUACAGGUGCGUCUUUUCUUUUUCUAGCUCAAAUCAACUUGUUUUGGGUUAAAGAUGAGUCAUAAGAUAAAAGAUAUCAACAAGAGGCUUAGUGAGAUUGAAUCCCGUAGACCCAAGGACUUAAACAAUAAUCGUGAAGAUACAAGAUUAAUAUUGAGAGAGAGGGUUACUCACUCAUUUGUCCCUAAGGAAAAUAUUAUAGGGAGAGAUGAAGAUAAAAAGGCACUUAUCCAACUUUUGUUGGAUCCCAUCUCAACUGAGAAUGUUUCAACCGUUUCCAUAGUUGGAAUUGGAGGAUUGGGGAAAAGUGCCCUUGCCCAACUCAUAUUCAAUGAUGAGGUGAUUCAAAAGCAUUUUGAGUUGAAAAUAUGGAUAUGUGUCUCUAAUAUAUUUGAGUUGGAUAUAUUGGCAAAGAAAAUCCUAAAAGCUGACAAGCUUGAUAAAAAGGAGCGUGAUAAGGUGGACCAGCUUGAUAUGGAUCAGCUGCAAAAUGAUCUUAGAAAAAAAGUAAAUGGGAAGAAAUACCUACUUGUGUUGGAUGAUGUGUGGAAUGAGGAUCCACAUAAGUGGCUUAGCUUGAUGGACUUGUUAAGGGGUGGUGGAGAAGGUAGUAGAAUAUUAAUAACCACACGUACUGAAAUCGUUGCGAUGACAUCACACACAACUAAACAGUACGCCUUAAGGGGUUUGAAUGAAGAGCAAAGCUAGUCUUUAUUUAAGAAAAUGGCUUUUAAAGAUGGAGAAGAACCAGAGAAUUCAACAAUUAAGGCAGUUGGGAUGGAGGUUGUAAGAAAAUGUCAGGGAGUUCCACUCGCUCUAAGGACGAUAGGUGGGAUGUUGCGCACCAAACAUCAUGAAAUAGAAUGGCUUAAUUUCAAAGAAAGGAAACUUUCAAAAAUAAGUCAAAAAGAAGAUGAUAUUUUACCAACACUUAAACUAAGUUAUGAUGUGCUCCCAUCACAUUUGAAGCAUUGUUUUGCUUAUUGUAGCUUGUUCCCACCUGAUUAUGAUAUCUCUGUACCAAGAUUGAUUAGACUUUGGGUGGCCCAAGGGUUCGUUAAGUCAUCCGACGAAAUCGAGUGUUUGGAGGAUGUUGCGUUUGAAUAUUAUAGGGAAUUGUUGUGCAGAUCGUUUUUUCAAGAAGAAAAAACAAAUGAGUUUGGUAUAAUAGAAAGUUGUAAAAUGCACGAUCUCAUGAAUGAACUUGCAAUCUUAGUGUCGGGUGUCAGGAGCGUCGUAGUUGAUCUGAACCGAAAGAACUUUCAUGAAAAGCUUCGUCACGUAUCUUUCGUCACGUAUCUUUCAAUUUUGAUAUUGAUUUGUUGAAAUGGGAAGUGCCAACUUCCUUGGUAAAAGCAUGCAAGAUACGAACUUAUCUUUUUCUUUGCCAAGAGGUUUUGAAAGAUUACGAUGAGUCAUUAUGUGAUUCAUUUUGUACCACAAUUGUUUCAAAUUUUAAGUCAUUACGGAUGUUGAGUCUCAAUACAAUAUAUAUUAUAAGAUUGCCUAAUUGUUUUAAAAAAAUGAAACAUUUGAGAUAUCUUGAUCUUAGUGGGAAUCUCAUGAUGGAGAGACUUCCAGAUUGGAUAGUUGGACUUUCGAAUUUGGAAACACUAGAUCUCAGUCAGUGUCUUAGUCUUGUGGAAUUGCCUAGAGACAUUAAAAAAAUGAUCAACUUAAGGCAUCUCAUCUUGGAAGAUUGUAUUGGGUUGAGUGGAAUGCCACGUGGAAUUGGUGAAUUGAAAGGUGUUCGUACAUUGAAUAGAUUUGUUUUGAGUGAAAGCAAUUGUUUGGGGAGGGGCGGUAGUGCUGGUCUUGCUGAGCUGGCCACCCUUAACGAAUUAAGGGGAGACUUGGUUAUUUUUGAUAAUUUGAGGCACGAGAAAGAUGUGGUGUCAGAAUCAAAUGUUGGUACACCUCUCAAGGACAAACAGCAUCUCCAUUCGUUGGAAUUGUGGUGGAAAUUUGGAGAAGAUGUAAAGGCAGUUGAUGAGGUGGAUAUUAUAAAGUCAAUGGAAGUAUUGCAACCCCAUUCUAAUCUAAAGCAGUUGUCCGUGUGGUAUUAUGGUGGUGUGAGGUUUGCGAGUUGGUUUUCUUCUCUCAUUAAUAUUGUUAAUCUCGCAUUCUGGAAUUGUAAGAGAUGCCAACAUCUUCCACCCUUGGAUCAUUUGCCUUCCCUUAAGAAACUUCAACUUGGAUAUUUGGAGAAGUUGGAGUACAUAUCAGAGAAAGAGAGCAGUAAUAGUAUGAGUGAUGAGAUGAUGAGGAUCUCAUUCUUUCCCUCCCUGGAGACACUCUGCCUAGUAGGUUGCCCUGUUCUGAAGGGAUGGUGGAGGGCGCACACUCCUAAUCUAACUUCCAUCCCUCUUUGUCCAAAUGUGGAGAGAAUACAAGUCUGUAAGAGCAGCUGGAAGGUUGUUGAUUCCUUGUUUUUUAGAGGAGCAUCUGAUAUUACACAUGAUGUUGGUGUUGAUGUUUCUGCCUCUUCUUCUUCCCCUCCUCUCUCCAAAUUAACACAUCUGUCACUUGAGGAAAUUGAGGAUUUGGCUUCACUGCCAGAAUGGAUUCGUGGACUCCCCUGUUUAAAUACAUUGCAAAUUUCUGGUUGCCCCAAGUUAUGGGAAAGAUGCGGCAAAGAAACAGGUGAGGACUGGCCUAAGAUUGCUCACAUCCCACACAUUACUAUUUGGGAUUAAGGUGCGUUUUCUAACUUGUUUCAAUUCACACUAGCCUAAUUCAAUAUAAACUAUGAAAUAUUCAAAUGCCAAUCUCAUUUCUUAAUUUUAUUCUUCAUUCAUCAUCACCGUAAUUUUUAUUUUCUUUUCAAAUGACAAACCAUAUGAACCAGAGAUUUUGGAUUCAGUGAAUGGAGGAGCAUCAACCUUUUGGAUUCAAUAUGUGAUGACCAUGUUAACUACUUGGAGUGGUUGUAUAUGAUUUUGUUUUUGAUCCUCGGGGUUUAGGUACUAUGUCCCUCCCGUUGUAUGUUUUUUCUUCAAGUAAUAUAAUAUGGGCGUGAGAGCCUAGCCCCCCAGCUUCGACUGGGUUCCAGCCCUCUUUAUAUAUUUCUUUUUAAUAUACGUUGAUGCUUUGGAAGCGAAACAACUUUUGUCACGUUAUAACAUAUAAGUCAGCAUAAUUAUACACAACAAUGGUAAAAAGAAUUACAUCUAUUAAUUGUCAAUGCACUGGAGUAACCAAAUAUUCUAAGACCAAAGGAACUCCAAAAUCUACUCUAGAUACGGCUCGGGACACAAAUAUCUCCUUCAAAACCCGAAAUUAAUCACAAUAAACGCUACAUUCUCAGUAAAGCAAACAAACUGAUUAUGUUUUGUUUAGUCAAAAGGAAAUUCAUGAGAACCAUUACAAAAAUAUGUGUUGUUUUUUCCAAGUCCUCUCUCUAGAAACAACUCAGACAACUCUUAGUUUCUUUGUUUUCUUUUCCUCGAUUUCCUUAGCAAUCAAAUGGUCUCCAUAAGUAAAAACAAAUUCUUCUAACGUACCGAAUGUUUACUAAUAUUUUUCUUUUCUUUCCAUUUUUUCAGCUACCCAAUUGAACUGGUCUCUUAAGUUUUCUUAAUUUGCAAUCAAAAUCUAUUUGUUUCUUAAGUUUUCUUCAAAAAUUGUACUUAUAUGUAAUCAGAAUACUUUGAUUUCUUUAGUUUUCAUUUCCAUCUUCUAUCCCGCAUAUCUAAGUUCCUUAUUAACCCACACCAGUUCAUACUUAUAAUAUGUUAUACGUUUAUUUUUAAAAAGUUGAAGAUGCUCGUAUUGCCAACUAAAAAGGAAAAGUACGGACCUUGAUAUUCACACAGAGAUCUUCCAUGUAGUCUUUGGUAUCUACGAAAACAAACUUAUCAACAUAUCAGUCAAAGGAAAAUUAUUACAACCUCUGCAAAAUCAAAAGAUGAUACGGAUGUCAAGCGACCCCUUAAGUUAAAGGCCCUAGUGUUAAAGAAAACUGUUAGCAUCUAUUAUUGUAAAUACCUGCCAAGAAAAGAUGAAAAUAAAAUAUUAGGCAUAUGAGUGUAAGCUUACAGAACCUUAGUUUUUGUACACUUUCUUCUCCCUUCAAUGACAGUUUGUUUCUUAUCCGGAAAAAUAAAGUGAGCAGGUUAAUGAUACUCACAUGUGCAAAAUGCUAAUCCUAUGGUCUAAAGCUAACUGACUUUUUAAGUGUAAAAUCCCUAAUUUCACUGCAUUUGGAUUGAUCACAGUUCAUGACUUGUUAAACUUGAUCUCCUUGGGCAUUUUGGGAACUUGACAGCUUAUAUUUUCUUUAGUCACAGAUGUGCCCAUAAAAGCAAAUUACAGCGACCCAAUGUCUACUAAAAACUUGGAGAAGGAACUCAAUUAGUCAACGAACAAGUGCCUCACACUUUCAUAUUAAAGACCAAAGAGAGAAAACCAAGCCGAACUCUUUGAAAUUCGUUGGCACACAUGCGUCAUUGGCUUAAUUGAAUGUAUAAUGCAUACUUAGAUACAAUGAUUCGAACAAUUGUCAUAGAUUGACAUAAGCCUCCAAACUUCAAAAAUUGAUACCUUAAGAAAGCAGAACCUGUUUUCCUUCAUAUUUGUGCUCUUUUGAUUAGCCUAUCUCGCGAUCACUUGAUUCAUUCUAAUCACUAUGAAAACAGCUUAAGAACAGUUGAUAAUCUCUAAAACAAAGAGGGAAAACAUAGAAAUACUAUCUGUACUCAAAUGAGUUCAUUUUGUGUUCAAAUUCUAAGUAAUUAAUAAUAAGAAGGAUACCAAGAAUAUUAUUUACCCAAAUCUUGUAAUUAAUACUAAGAAAAAUACCAUGAAUUCCAUUUUGGGAAGCUGCUUUUAGCUUAGUAGCUCCAUUUGAGAAUGCAAAUAUGGCAUACCAGUCGAGGGUCCAACCCAAAGGAAGUGAAAGCCUUUUUUACAGUUCAACAUACGCUCCUCUGGUGAAAACAUGUCCCACAAUGCAGCAAAAAAUAGAGUCAAAGGAAUAAUAGUUGGUUUCCAUUUAGAACCUCAAAACCCCACUUCAGUCCUUCUCUUAGUGGAGAAAACAGCAUCUCUGGUGAAAGUGAAUUCGAACUCGGCAUCCAUUCCUCCAUCAUACAUAGAAGCAACCACAUCCUGAAAGUAAGUCCCCUGACGAACUUCCCAUCCAUCCACUGACUCCGGAGUCUUGAACUUUACAAUUGUAAGUUUGCUCUUGCAACUCUUUCCUGCUCGUAAUUGCACCAUUUUGUUGUUAUAGUCCUGCAAUGCAAACAGUCAAAAGCUUCACAUAUGCAACUCUCAACAACAACAACAACAACAACAAAGCCUUUUCCCACUAAGUGGGGUCGGCUAUAUGAAUCCUAGAACGCAAUUGCGCUCGGUUUUGUGUCAUGUCCUCCGUUAGAUCCAAGUACUCUAAGUCUUUUCUUAGAGUCUCUUCCAAAGUUUUCCUAGGUCUUCCUCUACCCCUUCGGCCCUGAACCUCUGUCCCGUAGUCACAUCUUCGAACCGGAGCGUCAGUCGGCCUUCUUUGCACAUGUCCAAAUCACCGGAGCCGAUUUUCUCUCAUCUUUCCUACAAUUUCGUCUACUCCGACUUUACCUCGGAUAUCCUCAUUCCCAAUCUUAUCCUUUCUCGUGUGCCCACACAUCCCACGAAGCAUCCUCAUCUCCGCUACACCCAUUUUGUGUACGUGUUGAUGCUUCACCGCCCAACAUUCUGUGCCAUACAACAUCGCUGGCCUUAUUGCCGUCCUAUAAAAUUUUCCCUUGAGCUUCAGUGGCCUACGACGGUCACACAACACGCCGGAUGCACUCUUACACUUCAUCCAUCCAGCUCGUAUUCUAUGGUUGAGAUCUCCAUCUAAUUCUCCGUUCUCUUGCAAGAUAGAUCCUAGGUAGCGAAAACGGUCGCUUUUUGUGAUCUUCGCUAGAUUGCUCCUUUUUUUCAUUAGUGUGGAUAAGUAUAUAAAUGGAUAGAGAUAUAGGAAAGCAAACACAAGAUGUACGUGGUUCACCCAGAUUGGCUACGUCCACGGAAUAGAAGAGUUCUCAUUAAUUGUGAAGGGUUUACACAAGUACAUAGGUUCAAGCUCUCCUUUAGUGAGUACAAGUGAAUGAUUUAGUACAAAUGACAUUAGGAAAUAUUGUGGGAGAAUGAUCUCGUAAUCACGAAACUUCUAAGUAUCGGAGUGUGGUGUCGUCUUGACUUGCCUUAUCUGUCUCAUAGGUAGCAUCUUCUCUGGAAGUACUCUUCCUCCAUCCAGGGGUGGUAUCUUUAAUUGGUGGAGAUGCACAAGGUAAUGUAUCAAUUUCACUUGAAGCUUACUUGUAGUUUCAGGCUUGGUCAAGCGCGAUACAAACCAUGUAGUAGGAGUCCCCCAAGUCGCCGAGCUAGGGGGUCUGCUGAAAGAGGUGACAGACAAGGUAAGCAAUCAGAGCUCCGACUGAUUGUUCACCUUCUCCCCAUCUUGCAGCAGCAUGAAGGAUAAAGAGAAGAAAAAUGAGAAGAGAUGAUAUGAGAUACUUUUGCUUUUGAAGAAGUAACUUUCCACAGGCUUAUUCUUGAACUGAGCUGGAGGGUUUUCUGGUUUCCUCCAGAGUAUAAGGUCGACUGAAGAAUUUGAGGGUCAAAACAAGUCCAUCAAAUCUAGAGUACGUUCCACCCUGCUGAUAUGGGAUACUUUUGCUUUUGACAAAGUAAUGGAUGUAUCGGCAUGUGUGCUGUUACGCUUGUCUCCACAUGCUUCCUUGUAUCCUUCGCACUUGCCCUAUCUGUUCCUCAAGUAGAUGCAGAAUCUUCCCUGGAAACAUAAGAUGUUGAAGAUGAGUACUCGAGAGCAAUGCCAGGUAAGUAAUCAGGUAAGGGGUUUCAGGCAGUCAGUUCCUGGCUGGAAUCUUGAUUCCAAGUGCUGACUGAUUGCUCUCUUUCUCCUUGUCUUGCAGGUAAAAACAAGGCCAAAAGAAAAGACAGGGAAAAAGCAUGAUAUGGGAUACUCUUGCUUUUAACCCUGAUGAUAUGAGAUAUUCUUGCUCUAGUAUAGCUUGUUUGCAGAGGUAUUAUCGGGGGGAAAGAAAGCUGAAUAUUUCGAAAGGCUUCGUUGGGAGUGCCCUCUCAGAUAUGAUGAUGAAGGGUUGAACAUUUUUGCAGGUCUGCCUGUCCGUUGGGAUGGAGGUCGACAUAUAUAUAGGAGUCUCCCUAACAACAAGUAGUAAUGCUAUUCCUUUACCCUGCUUGGUCAUAGCACCGUAGUGGGAGCUGCCAGUUUCACAUGUUUUAACUCUGUCAGAGCACUUUGAAAAAGUGGUCUGUGGUAUAUGGCUCUCGAGAUUCGGAGAACGAUGCUCUCUUCGAUUUUUGAGAAAGCAAUCAUGCUGGGGGUCUGGCUCUCGAGAUUCGGAGAGCAGUGUCUCUUCGAUUUUUGAGGAAGUAAUCAUGUUGGGAGUCUGGCUCUCGAGAUUCGGAGGGCGGUGCCUCUUCGAUUUUGGAGCAAGCAAUCUUGUUGGGAGUGUUGUCUCGAAUGUGAGUAAAGGUUGGGCAUGUUUGCUAGUCUACCUUGCCACGAAGCACAAAGGUUGACACACAGGGACUUUCCAAUUAUCCAGCAAUGGUACUGUUCCUUUACCCUCUCUUCGAUUUUGAGAAAGUAGUCAUGUUGGGAGUCUGGCUCUCGAGAUUCAGAGGACGGUGCCUCUUCGAUAUCCAGCAGUGGUACUGUUCCUUUACCCUUGUGGGUAAUAAUAUGGUAGCUAGACCUUCAAAAAUUUAUGUGUCCAAACUUUGUUAGUGCUGUUUCUUUGCUAUUCUUUUACCUUUCUUGGUCAGAGCGAUGUAGUGGGAGCUGCAAGCUUCACGUGCUCAACUUUGGCAGAGAAACUUUGGCAAAGUCAUCUGUGGUACCCAUGAGCUAUUGUUGCGUGUGGGAAGUGGAUGAUUGAACAGUAAGAUUCAUGUGCUUUCUACUUCACCAGAAGUCUUCGACAGAAUGCCCAUAAUUUCUGCAAAGCUGAGUGUUCGUGUGACAGGUGCUGACAAGGCUAGAAAAGUAGGUGCCUCUUCGAUUUCUGAGAUCGGCCCUCGUGGUCUCUGAGCAGCCCAACUUUUGAGAAAGCGAGCGCCUCUUCGAUUGAUUCGGAGAACAAUGCCUCAUCGAUUUUUGAGAAAGCAAUCAUGCUGUGGGUCUGGCUCUCGAGAUUCGGGGAGCAGUGUCUCUUCGAUUUUUGAUAAAGUAAUCAUGUUGGGAGUCUGGCUCUCGAGAUUCGGAGGGCGGUGCCUCUUCGAUUUUGGAGCAAGCAAUCUUGUUGGGAGUGUUUUCUCGAAUGUGAGUAAAGGUUGGGCAUGUUUGCUAGUCUACCUUGCCACGAAGCACAGAGGUUGCCACACAGGGACUUUCCAAUUAUCCAGCAAUGGUACUGUUCCUUUACCCUCUCUUCGAUUUUUAAGAAAGUAGUCAUGUUGGGAGUCUGGCUCUCGAGAUUCGGAGGACGGUGCCUCUUCGAUUUUGGAGCAAGCAAUCUUAUUGGGAGUGUUUUCUCAAAUGUGAGUAAAGGUUGGGCAUGUUUGCUAGUCUACCUUGCCACGAAGCACAGAGGUUGACACACAGGGACUUUCCAAUUAUCCAGCAGUGGUACUGUUCCUUUACCCUUGUGGGUAAUAAUAUGGUAGCUAGACCUUCAAAAUUUAUGGGUCUAAACUUUGUUAGUGCUGUUUCUUUGCUAUUCUUUUACCCUUCUUGGUCAGAGCGAUGUAGUGGGAGCUGCAAGCUUCACGUGCUCAACUUUGGCAGAGAACUUUGGCAAAGUUAUCUGUGGUACCCAUGAGCUAUUGUUGCGUGUGGGAAGUGGGUGAUUGAACAGUAAGAUUCAUGUGUUUUCUACUUCCCCAGAAGUCUUCGACAGAAUGCCCAUAAUUUCCGCAAAGCUGAGUGUGCGUGUGACAGGUGCUGACAAGGCUAGAAAAGUAGGUGCCUCUUCGAUUUCUGAGAUCGGCCCUCGUGGUCUCUGGGGAGCCCAGCUUUUGAGAAAGCGAGCGCCUCUUCGAUUUCUGAGAUCGGCCUUCGUGGUCUUUGAGCAGCCCAACUUUUGAGAAAGCAAACGCCUCUUCGAUUUCUGAGAUCAACCCUUGUGAUCUCUAAGCAGCCCAGCUUUUGAGAAAGCAAACGCCUCUUCGAUUUCUGAGCAUGCGCCUCUUCGAUUUCUGAAGCUCUGUCGAGUGCAGAUUUUUAUAGGGGCUGGCAUUAAAUUCCAAAGCACACUUGAAUCUCCACCAGUAGAAGCUUCAUUCUUGCACUUCUAAGAUUUUGAUUUGUCCGACCUCUUCUCUCUUCAACACCUUUGAAAAUGUCUGGCCCCUCCGACCGUCGUUUUGACUUGAACCUUGUUGAAGAGGCAGCCCCGCCUUCUCCAGACAACAUAUGGCGCCCAUCCUUCGUCUCCCCUACUGGUCCUCUUACCGUUGGGGAUUCCGUGAUGAAGAAUGAUAUGACCGCUGCGGUGGUGGCCAGGAACCUUCUCACUCCCAAAGAUAACAGACUACUUUCCAAACGGUCUGAUGAGUUAGCUGUUAAGGAUUCGCUGGCUCUCAGUGUUCAGUGUGCAGGUUCUGUGUCUAAUAUGGCCCAACGUCUAUUUGCUCGAACCCGCCAAGUUGAAUCAUUGGCGGCUGAAGUGAUGAGUCUCAAACAGGAGAUUAGAGGGCUCAAGCAUGAGAAUAAACAGUUGCACCGGCUCGCACAUGACUAUGCUACAAACAUGAAGAGAAAGCUUGACCAGAUGAAGGAAACUGAUGGUCAGGUUUUACUUGAUCAUCAGAGAUUUGUGGGUUUGUUCCAAAGGCAUUUAUUGCCUUCGUCUUCUGGGGCUGUACCGCGUAAUGAAGCUCCAAAUGAUCAACCUCUGAUGCCUCCUCCUUCUAGGGUUCUGUCCAGUACUGAGGCUCCAAAUGAUCCCCCUCCGGUGCCUUCUCUUUUCUGGGGCUCUACGGACUGCUGAGACUUCUCCUAAGCAACCUUUGUGAAGGCUCCCUCUUGUGUGUUUAUUUUGACUCAUGUAUAUGUAUAUAUUUGUAGCUUAUCGGGGAUAUCAAUAAAUAAGCUUUCCUUCAUUUCAACGUAUUGUGUUAAAUACACCAAAGCCUUCUUCGCUAAGUUCUUUGAAUUUUCUUUUGUUGAAGCUUGUAUGUUGAAGCUUUCUGAGUGGAGCAUGUAGGUUGGGGUAGUGUUCCCUUAAUUUCCCGAGUGAAGAAAACUUCUCGGUUGGAGACUUGGAAAAUCCAAGUCACUGAGUGGGAUCGGCUAUAUAAAUCUUAGAACGCCAUUGUGCUCGAUCCUGUGUCAUGUCCUUCGUUAGAUCCAAGUACUCUAAGUCUUUUCUUAGAGUCUCUUCCAAAGUUUUCCUAGGUCUUCCUCUACCCCUUCGGCCCUGAACCUCUGUCCCAUAGUCACAUCUUCUAAUCGGAGCGUCAGUAGGCCUUCUUUGCACAUGUCCAAACCACCGUAACCGAUUUUCUCUCAUCUUUCCUUCAAUUUCGGCUACUCCUACUUUACCCCGGAUAUCCUCAUUCCUAAUCUUAUCCUUUCUCGUGUGCCCACACAUCCAACGAAGCAUCCUCAUCUCCGCUACACCCAUUUUGUGUACGUGUUGAUGUUUCACCGCCCAACAUUCUGUGCCAUACAGCAUCGCCGGCCUUAUUGCCGUCCUAUAAAAUUUUCCCAUGAGCUUCAGUGGCAUACGGCGGUCACACAACACACCGGAUGCACUCUUCCACUUCAUCCAUCCAACUUGUAUUCUAUGGUUGAGAUCUCCAUCUAAUUCUCCGUUCUUUUGCAAGAUAGAUCCUAGGUAACGAAAACGGUCGCUCUUUGGUAUUUCUUGAUCUCCGAUCCUCACCCCUAACUCGUUUUGGCCUCUAUUUGCACUGAACUUGCACUCCAUAUAUUCUGUCUUUGAUCGGCUUAGGCAAAGACCUUUAGAUUCCAACACUUCUCUCCAAAGGUUAAGCUUUGCAUUUACCCCUUCCUGAGUUUCAUCUAUCAACACUAUAUCGUCUGCGAAAAGCAUACACCAAGGAAUAUCAUCUUGAAUAUAUCCUGUUAACUCAUCCAUUACCAACGCAAAAAGGUAAGGACUUAAGGAUGAGCCUUGAUGUAAUCCUACAGUUAUGGGAAAGCUUUCGGUUUGUCCUUCAUGAGUUCUUACGGCAGUCUUUGCUCCUUCAUACAUAUCCUUUAUAGCUUAGAUAUAUGCUACUCGUACUCCUUUCUUCUCUAAAAUCCUCCAAAGAAUGUCUCUUGGGACCCUAUCAUACGCUUUUUCCAAAUCUAUAAAGACCAUGUGUAAAUCCUUUUUCCCAUCUCUAUAUCUUUCCAUCAAUCUUCGUAAGAGAUAGAUUGCCUCCAUGUUUGAGCGCCCUGGCAUGAACCCGAAUUGAUUGUCCGAAACCCGUGUCUCUUGCCUCAAUCUAUGCUCAAUGACUCUCUCCCAGAGCUUCAUUGUAUGACUCAUUAGCUUAAUACCCCUAUAGUUCAUGCAAUUUUGUACGUCGCCCUUAUUCUUGUAGAUAGGCACCAAAGUGCUCGUUCGCCACUCAUUUGGCAUCUUCUUCGUUUUCAAAAUCUUAUUGAAAAGGUCAGUGAGCCAUGUUAUACCUGUCUCUCCCAAAAGUUUCCACACUUCGAUUGGUAUAUCGUCUGGGCCUAUUGCUUUUUAUGCUUCAUCUUCUUCAAAGCUACAACCACUUCUUCCUUCCGGAUUCGACGAUAAAAAGAGUAGUUUAUACACUCUUCUGAGUUACUCAACUCCCCUAAAGAAGCACUCAUUUCAUGUCCUUCAUUGAAAAGAUUAUGAAAAUAACCUCUCCAUCUGUCUUUAACCGCGUUCUCUGUAGUAAGAACCUUUCCAUCCUCAUCCUUGAUGCACCUCACUUGGUUUAGGUCCCUUGUCUUCUUUUCCCUUGCUCUAGAUAGUUUAUAGAUAUCCAACUCUCGAAGGGUAAAAUUCAAAUCCAACAUUGAACCAACCCAUUAACUUAAAAGACAUCAAAACCGAAACAGAUUACUAAAUAUCAAAAAGGAGUAUUUCAAGGAUAUGGCGAUAAGGAUCACACCUGAAAUGCUAUAGUAAGAUUGUAGACCCCUCUUUUGAUCAACCCUGCAGAGGUCUUCCUUGAUAGUAGAGCGUGCAGUAGCACAAUAGAUAAUCUUGUUACAGCCCUGUACUGCGGUGUACAGGGUAGCAGGACCAUCCAUAUCCCCAGUCAAUGGCAAGACAUAUGAAAGAAGAUUGAAAAUGAUAACACCCACCAUUUAACCAAGUAAAAGCAGAGUUAACGCAGAGAAAACAACAAAAAAUAUCUUGCAAACCCUCGAUUUAUCGGUAAAGCACAUCAAAACCAAACAGUCAAGAAAAUAGUUUAAAACCAAUUCUAUAUUUCUAAUCAGAAGAUGUGCAAUUUUUUUUUAUUCGUCAAUUUGUGGCACUUCAUUCUCAAUAAAGAGCACUUCACAAAAUUCCAGAUCUGCUACAACAUCAAAGGUCAGACCGAAUAGGAAAACGACAUCAUUCAUUAUCCAAAUUGAAACAACAAUCCCACUAAAAUUGACUACUCAUAAGAAUCUCAUUCCACAAAACAACUGCAGGCAAAAAAAAUCCCCAAGAUACAUACUAUCAUCCAAAUCAUCCACCGCCAUUAACAAAAAGCACAACCCAUAUCUUCCUUCAGCUAAGAUUAAAGAAAAAAUUGAAACCCUAAUCAUUCUCGAACAUGCUUUUGGAAUCAGAAUAGAAAGGAAACUUGAAAUUAGAGGAUCAUGCAGAACUGGGCUGGGGAUUGGACUUGUGCUCUGAAUCGACCUCUUCCUCUUCCUCUUCAGAUUGAUCACCGAAUAGGUUCUACAUCACCUGGUGCCGCUUCUUCCUCCCCCAUCGCUGCUGCUGUGUGUUGUGGUCAGAGCCCUCAAACUACUGACAUUAAAUAGUUCAUUUCAUUAGAUCAUUGGAACUAUCACCAUAGCAUCCUGCAAAUUUCGAGAAGUGUGUGUUGAAAACAAAUCUGAAAAGGAAUGAAAACCCUGUUAACCAAACCCAUCAACAGUAACAUAAGCCUCACCAAUCGUAGCAAACAAAAUCAAUCAGACUCGGCGAAAUUCAGUCAACAAUACAAAAAAUACUCUGAAACCCAUCAGCCAAUAUACAGCACGUAGAAGCAACACAAUUUUUUUCCUUACCAAGCAAUUAAGAUGUAUUUACUUAUACACUAAGUUUUGCUAACAAUAUGUUGGAAAACUGAAUACUUACACCCCGCAUCCAAAUCCCUCUUACAUGCUUUUGGAAUGGUCUAGUCUCUCCAAUCUCUCUCAUUUUGCAAUCCAUCUCUUACUAAUUUGGCGUCAGUCUCUUGAGACUUAGAAAUCUUUCACUCAAACAUAAUCAUAUAUAUAAGGGAAUGUUUGGUAUUAUUUUUGGAUCCAAUUUAUUGUUUUGAAACUAAUGCGUAUUAAUUAAUUUAGCCACAUUUAUCAUUUAUUUAAAAAAGGACAAAAAAUCAGAUGCAAUUAAGAUUCCAAAUAGACCCUAAGUAACCUCAGCUGAGUGGUGUACAAAUCAAUGCCCAUUCUUUUCUAGUGAGCUAUGAUAAAUUCAAUUGGACAAAAAUAAGUACAUCUGUCAGUUGAUGCUCAGACUUUACAGAAGUCAAAUAAAUUAAAAUGUUGAUCAACUUCAACAUGUUUACGUCAAUCAUGUUGAACUGGAGUGUGAGUGGGAGUAUAGAAAGCCUUGUGAAGUUAACCCAAGUUUGCAUCAGUGCCAAGGCGGAACUUGACAUUUCACCAUGGCUAAAAAAACUCCUACAGAAACCUAACCGGUGCAAGAAAUUGAAUAGAAACUUCUUAUUUGCUGCUCAUUUCGGAAGGCCAGUUCGAAAAAACCUCCUAUUUUAGAUUGCAAAUUUUGUGAUGACAAAAGAUAAAGUAGAACAUAAUAAGUUUUCUGCACUCUUCUCUAUUUCCAGAAAUAGAACUUGAUACUACUGUCACGGCCACGAAAAAUUCAUCGGCACCCUACCUGAUGCAAGCAACGGACUAGGAACUUUAAUUGGGUGCUCAUUUCAGAAUGUCAGUUGGAAAACAUCCUAUUUUCUAUUCAAUCUCUUUGCCCACUGCAUUACAACACAUCAGAGUGUUUUCUUCACUGCGUAUAUAAAAAAUCUUCGGUGCUCUUAGUGAUUUCCUAUCAAUACUGGAUUCUAUAUUUGGUCAAUUCUUAAAUCUAUACUUUACUGGACCUGUUUAGUCAUUCAACAACCUCACAACUUCCAAAAAAAUUCACCAUCAUGCCAACAUGCUUGGGUGAUUAACUAGUGAACAUACAGACAGCCCUGAUUCAAAACAUUUCUCAAGAGAAAUUCAUGUUCAAAACAACUUAAAACUCCAAGCAUUAACCAAACAAAAUGAUUAGGAGGAUGAAAGAUAGAAACUUGUAACAGAGAACAAUUGCCCAAAAUAGAAAACACUUUAUUCCUCCCCAAUUUCUGAAAAUCCAGAGAAAGCGGGAUUAACUUCAGAUACAAUCCCACACUUGAAAAAGCUAAUGUGCUUCACUUUCAAUACCAAACCGCUAGUCUUGUAUGCAUGCAUGUAUACACACUACUGAAAAGAGUAAUUCUUAAUCCAGCAUGGGCAGAAUAGUACCGUUACCCUCAAACGGGCAAGGCUAAAGGGCGAGAUGCGGGUUUAGUGCAUUGUGGGUGUGUGGGUUUGUUAACUUAACCAAGUAAAACAACUACUAAUCCAGCCAUUUUUCCUACUCUAUUCCAAACUUAUUCCCAAAGUCUGCUACUAAUAGGACUCAUUACUAGUGAGGAAGAAAGAUUUAGCACUACAUGUUAAGAGCAUGAGGUACACAUCAAACGGAACACACUCAAAUCAAAAACAUAAAUUCCUAAUCAAUGUAUAAUCAUUAUUGGGAUUCGCAUUCUUCAACCAAACUAUGAACAAAAGAGCCAGGCCAAUGAACAGAAAAUAAACUUAAAUUACAACAUAAAGCAGAGUAAGUAUUUAAACAUCAACAACUUCAGACAAAAACUAUGAAGUUCCGAUUCCUCAAAUGCAUAUUCCAAAUUGCAGUACAAACACUAAGCACAAAAACCAUAGAUAAAGUAAAACAACAGACAAUGCACUUUCCCCAAAUAACUCAAUUUACCUCUGACUCUCUCAUACCGCUUUGGCCUCCCGCCUUGGCAUUCCCUCUCUCGACCUUUUUCGCCUCCGCCUUAUCUGGUUUCGCCGCCUCCCCUGAGCAACACCCACCUUCAUGAUGGUGAUGAUGGUGGUGAUGCCCAUGGCCCAUGCCCAUGCCCAUGCCCAUUCCCAUGACCAUGCACAUGCCCAUGACUAUGUCCAUGCACUUUCUUCCCCUUGAGCUCCUUCCUCAUAUCAUACGCAUCUUCCCCAUCGGCAUAUUACUUCGCCUUCACAUCAUGAAUCUUAUAUCCCAAAGUCUCAGUGUACAAAUUGAACGCUGCCCGAUUGCUCUUCCUCACAUGAAGCGACACGUACUCCGCCGCAAACACCUGUUCCCUGGCGUUCUGGGCGGCGUUCAUGAGCUUGGUGGCGAGGCCGAGUUUGCGGUAGGUGCGGAGGACGGCGAGGGAGGUAAUGUGGCCGUGGCACUCGUUACUCUCCUCCUCCAUCUUGGCCAGGACGUAGCCGACGAUGCGACCGUUGUAGUCUUCGGCGACGUAGAGGAGCUGCGGCCAUGAGAGGAUGUGAUAGAGGUAGUACUUCAUCUGGCAACUCUCAGGGAGGCAGAAAAGGUUGCAGGCUUGCAUCGCCAGGAGGUUGUCGAUUGCGGCCUUGCGUAUGCACACCAUUUGUGGUGCUCCUGGAGUUUCUAGGGUUAGGGUUUUGGUGUGGGAAUUUUGUUUUUAGGGAAGAAGAGAGGAGUGAGGUCAAAAGAAAUAUGGGGUCUUGUGGGAUUUUCAAUGGGAUUGGGCUUGGGCUGAGUUAUGGGCUUGAUGAGUUUAAUUAUGGGCUUAAAGUCCAUACCUUUCAAAAAAAUUAAAUACCGAAAAAAAUCAUUUCGUCGAUUUUUCUCUUGAACUUUUAUUUUUCUCCAUUCUUUUACCUUCAUGUACCAUCAUGUUUCUCUGUAAUUCAUCUAANNNNNNNNNNNNNNNNNNNNNNNNNNNNNNNNNNNNNNNNNNNNNNNNNNNNNNNNNNNNNNNNNNNNNNNNNNNNNNNNNNNNNNNNNNNNNNNNNNNNNNNNNNNNNNNNNNNNNNNNNNNNNNNNNNNNNNNNNNNNNNNNNNNNNNNNNNNNNNNNNNNNNNNNNNNNNNNNNNNNNNNNNNNNNNNNNNNNNNNNNNNNNNNNNNNNNNNNNNNNNNNNNNNNNNNNNNNNNNNNNNNNNNNNNNNNNNNNNNNNNNNNNNNNNNNNNNNNNNNNNNNNNNNNNNNNNNNNNNNNNNNNNNNNNNNNNNNNNNNNNNNNNNNNNNNNNNNNNNNNNNNNNNNNNNNNNNNNNNNNNNNNNNNNNNNNNNNNNNNNNNNNNNNNNNNNNNNNNNNNNNNNNNNNNNNNNNNNNNNNNNNNNNNNNNNNNNNNNNNNNNNNNNNNNNNNNNNNNNNNNNNNNNNNNNNNNNNNNNNNNNNNNNNNNNNNNNNNNNNNCACAAAAAUGUAACUAGAUUGAGUGAAUUGAUUAUGAGUGAACUGAGAAUAAGAGAUGAAGUUGUAGUGAGUUUUGGUUGGAUAAUUUGGUAUUUAUAGGAAUGAUGAGAGAACAAUAUGAGAGAGUAACUCAAAUUGAAACUAUUAAUCUUUUAACAGAAGCAAUAUGAAAAGAGAAAAAACAAAAUUGAAAACCAACAUGAGAAAGUAACCUAAAUUGAAACAGUUAUUUAAUUGGAACCGUUGAUCUUUCAAUGGUAAUAAAAUUUAAAAAGCAAGAAAUCAAUCUAGACCUUCUAUUUUAAACGGUUGAAAAAAAAUAAGGUCAUGUGACUGGGAUCCACACUUACUUUUCCACUUAAAUUGUCCUAUUAGGUCCAUCAUUUGAGUCCCUAUAGAGUCUCUAUAUGGGGGUACAUACACCAAGUAUCUGGCAAGUCCCUAUACUUUAGGGACUCACUUUCCGAUCCAUUGGAGAUUCAUUUUGUCUCUAUAUUUGUUUUAUACUCAUUUUAUACGGUGAUUGUCCCCAUAUAGGGACUCCACUGGAGAUCUCCAUAGCCUGUUUUGAAGUGCUUCUUUGAACUUUUAGAAGAAAAAAAAUUGAAAGUGCUUGCUGGAAAAGUAGUUGAAGUGCUACUUUCAAAGUGCUUUUCUUUCUAACCCAUAAGCAUGUUUAAUUGUCAUGAAGCAUUUUUGGUAUCUGAAAGUGUUUUUAGCUAUUCUAAAAGCAUUUGUAAACAGGACCGAAAUUAAUUAGGCAGGAUUCAAUUUGGUUUGUUGAAGUAGUUGCGGUGUUUGCUAGAGCCUAGAAGCAAGGACAUUUGAUUGCAAUCAUGCUGUUAUUCUUUUACAUUUGUGUUUGUGUUUGGGUUCACUAAACUGCAUCUGGAAGGUUUAAUUUCAUUGUUUCGUACUGAAAUGGUUACUUCUGUCGAAAGACACUAUCAAUAGCAACAAGUGAAACUGCUAAAGGAUGUUGCUUUCGAAUUGAAGGAAUAUAUCCCUAGCUAUGAUGUUAUUUGAGGAUUUCUUGGUUAAAUGGCCAUCCUGAAAUGUAUGAUAGUUCAAAAUGAUAGUUCAAUCAAUUGAUCUUUGCAAUGUCUGCAAACUAGGCUCUUGGAUUAUCCUACAUUUCACAUUCUUAACGUACGGUCUUUUAACUUGGUUCUUUCAGUCAAGGGACAUGUAUUUCUUGAAGAAAUUCUUGAAUUUGAAGGGAGAUGACGCUUUUAGAAUGAAUGAAGUGCUUGUGUCCAUUUGGUACAUAAUGGGUUUCUUCCAUCAUCUUGAGUGUUUCUUGUCCCCCCCCCCCAUUUUUUUCUUUUGGUUUGCGAUUCUAUUUAUUUACUCGGAAGGAUUAUAGUGGAUAGUUAUCAGUGAGUCAAAUAACUUUCUCCUUAAAAAGCUUUUGAUGUAACACAACGAAUGAUGCCUCUUGGCUUGAGCUACCUAAGAGUUCACGUCUCUUCUUAAAACCAUUGCAUGAGUGCAAUACUAAUUAGCCAAGUAGAAGGGCCAACCUGAGAGUGAGGCAAAAGCUGGGAACGGGCUUAAACUUACCAUUCGAAGACCAAGUCAGAGUCUGCUGGGAAAGCUUUUUUCGAGUAGCAUAUAUCAAAGCCAUAGAGGAUAUGUAUGAUAGAGCAAGGAUUGUCGUAAGAACCCAUGAGGAACAAACCAAAAGUUUCUCCAUAACUGUAGGGUUACAUCAAGGCUUAUCUUUAAGUCCUUACCUUUUUGCAUUGGUAAUGGAUGAGUUAACGGGACAAAUUCAAGAUGAUAUUCUUUGGUAUAUGCUUUUCGCAGAGACGAUAUAGUGUUGAUAGAUGAAAUUCAGGAAUGAGUAAAUGUGAAGUUUAACCUUUGGAGAGAAAUGUUGGAAUCCAAAGGUCUUCAGCUAAGUCGGUCAAAGACGGAGUAUAUGGAGUGCAUGUUUAGUUCAACCAGAGGCUCAAAUGAGUUAGGGAUGAGGAUUGGAGACCAGGAAGUACCAAAGAGUGACUGCUUUCGCUAUUUAGGAUCUAUCUUGCAAAAGAACGGAGAAUUAGAUGGAGACCUCAACCAUAGAAUACAAGUUGGAUGAAUGAAGUGAAAGCGUGCAUCCAGCGUGUUGUGUGUGACUAUCGUAUGCUACUGAAGCUCAAGGGAAAAUUUUAUAGGUCGGCAAUGCUUUAUGGCACGGAAUGUUAGAUGGUGAAACAUCAACACGUACAUAAAAUGGGUGUAGCGGAGAUGAGAAUGCUUCGUUGGAUGUGUGGGCACACGAGAAAUGAUAAGAUUAUGAAUGAGGAUAUCCGAGGUAAAAUAGGAGUAGCCGAAAUUAAAGGAAAGAUGAGAGAAAAUGGGUUACGGUGAUGUGGACAUGUGAAACGAAGGCCUACUGACGCUCCAGUUAAAAUAUGCGAUUACGGGAUAGAAGUUCAAGGUCGAAGAGGUAAAAGAAGACCUAGGAAGACUUGAGAAUAGACUAUAAGAAAAGACUUAGAGUACUUGGAUAUAACGGAAGAUGUGACAUAGUACCGAGCGCAAUAACGUUCUAGGAUUUAUAUAGCCGAUACCACUUAAUGGGAAAAGACUUUGUUGUUAUUGUUUGUUAUCCUAUAAUGUGCAGCUCAAGAAGCAAAGUUCCUGUCUGGCCUUUCUUGAUACUUUCAUGCUUUGGCGGGCCGUACGCUCUUCUUCCCUAUUUUGUACUGUGGAGACCACCGCCACCUCCUGUCGAUGAAAGUGAGCUCACAAGAAGGCCUCUCAACUUUCUUGGAUCCAAAUUAACUGCUUGGGAAAGAAACUUUUCACUUCCUGUUCACACUCAACUUUCUGGAAGAUACCGUUUAGCAUCAGACGGAAACAUUCAACCGAUCUUACAAUUUGAUAUUUCCUGUGUUUCUCCCUCCUUUUAUGUUGUAAACUUGUAUUUACUCAUCGAUAAAUGACGAUCAUUGAAGUGACAAUCUGAAUAUUUUCGCGUAAAUAGUUGAAACAUAGUCGUAGUAACAUUGAUUUUUCGAUAUGUUUUGUAAAAUGUAACUCCAUUACGCGUCAGAUAUCACUUGCUGCAGGACUAGGUUUAAUCGUCUCUGCGGGUCUAGCAGCUGGGGCUGACUGGAAGGAAUAUUACCAGUACUUCAAUGAGAGUAAAUUUGUAAGUUACUCAAACCAUCAACGCAUAUACUUCACAACCAUUUCUGUAGUCCCUCGCGUUCGAAACAAACGGCUAUGAUACAAUCCCACAGCAUGAAAUCUGUACUGAAGCGUACGACACUGGAACCUUGUAUAUAUAGAUCCACGCGACGAGCCUUGAUUUCACCCUGCUAUCUGCAUUUGCUCCGUUUUGGGUCUACAGCGAUAUGACUGCCCGGAAAUGGUGACUGUUUUGUUGAUGUGUACAUUUCUCUUAAGUUCAAGCUCUGAAUCCCUCUAGGGAGAGUUCAUUUGCUGCAAAAUAUUCAAACGCUUCCAUUUCUUUUCGCAGGUUCGACGAUGGUUCUUGGCUUCUGUUCUUAUCGUUGGUGCCACUCGUAGGCCCUGCUCUGUAUCUCGUCUUACGGCCAUCGCUACCAACCGAAAACGUCACUUAGCCCUACUGAGCCGAAGUAGUUACUGAAACCUCUGCAUGAACAUCAUUCGCAUGGCACCGUGACACAAGACGGGUACAGAUUAUAACUCUGCAGACAAGGAGCAUAUACCGUCAUUCAGAACUUUACUGAAGUUGCUCUUCACUGAUAUCUUCUACGUUACAUUUUAACAAUAUUCAAACUACAUCAAAUCAAUCUAACCUUUCAUCUUACAUCUAUGAGAUGAAGACAUUUAACAAAUAGUCCACUUGGUGCAUGGCAGUGCCUUCGCCAUGAGCGGUAGGUCUCGGGUUCGAGACUUGGGAGCAGCCUCUCCAUAAAUGGGGGUAAGGCUAGCCGACAUUCACCUCUCCCAGACCUGCGUAAAGCGGGAGCCUUGUGCACUAGGUACGACCUUUUUUUAUUAUUAUUUGUUUUUUUCCUCAACCCUCAAUUUUUUGAAACUAGAAAUUAAAGGAAAUCUAAUUUCCUCAGCUGAAAGAAGGUGUCAGAAACGUGCAGUGCUGGGUGUAUAAAUUCGCACUGAAGAUACAAAUAAAAUUAGACUGAUUGCUUUCUAUUUGGAAGUGCUGGGUGUAGAAAGGUAGAGCGGUGGGUGUACAAAUGAUGACCGGUUAUAAUAGCGGGCCCAAGGGGUGUGGAAGAGAGAACAUGUAUUGGAAAUCAAAUGAAAAAACGACACAACACAAGCAGAGCACUAGCUAUUUGUGAAGGACCCGGCUGGCAUUAAAAAUCAACUUUUCAAUUAUUAAGGCCAGCUGUAACAUAUUGACCAUUCUUAGGUCUUUGUUUUUAUUUUAUACAUUGAAUGAUGUGUGAGUGGUUGGAUGAGAGAUGGGCAUGUAAAGACUAGCAGGAGGAGCCAUCUUUCAUUACGCAAAAUCAAUUUCUUAGUUACAACUUUAUAUUUUAAUUUACUUCACUUGGGUUUUUGCUUGUUCUGAAUACAAGAAAUGGCAGAAGGAGUUCUCUUUAAUAUUGUAGAACGGAUCAUUGUAAGGCUUGGCAACCGUGCUUUCCAAGAGAUUGGGUCGAUUUGGGGUGUCCAAGAUGAGCUCAACAAGCUCAAGGAGACAGUUGUCGGAUUCCAAGCUGUUCUUCUAGACGCUGAGCAAAAGCAAGCCAACAACAGUGAAGUCAAACUAUGGCUCGAAAGCGUAGAAGAUGCAGUUUAUGAAGCCGAUGAUGUGCUGGAUGAGUUUAAUACUGAAGUUCAGCGGAGACUAGUGAUGCAUGGCAAUACUAAGCUGUCAAAGAAGGUAUGCCUCUUUUUUCUUUAGCUCAAAUGAAUUUGCUUUCUGACGAAAGAUGAAUCAUUAAAUAAAAUAUAUUAACAAGAUGAUUCGAGAGGUUGCACCUUGUAGAACAUUUUCGUAGUCACGUAAGCUUAUCGAUAUUAACCUAUUAGGAGCACAAUAGGUCUCUCAAUAACUUAUAUUUAACUGCAAUAAAUCUUCUACAUUAUUGUUUUGAAUGUUUCGUAUAACUUACCGUUACAAAACUCUAUUAACUUAUUAACACAGUUCUAUCGAAAAAAUGAUUGUGUCUACUCAAACUCUUACAGGUGCGUCUUUUCUUUUCUAGCUCAAAUCAACUUGUUUUUGGGUUAAAGAUGAGUCAUAAGAUAAAAGAUAUCAACAAGAGGCUUAGUGAGAUUGAAUCCCGUAGACCCAAGGACUUAAACAAUAAUCGUGAAGAUACAAGAUUAAUAUUGAGAGAGAGGGUUACUCACUCAUUUGUCCCUAAGGAAAAUAUUAUAGGGAGAGAUGAAGAUAAAAAGGCACUUAUCCAACUUUUGUUGGAUCCCAUCUCAACUGAGAAUGUUUCAACCGUUUCCAUAGUUGGAAUUGGAGGAUUGGGGAAAAGUGCCCUUGCCCAACUCAUAUUCAAUGAUGAGGUGAUUCAAAAGCAUUUUGAGUUGAAAAUAUGGAUAUGUGUCUCUAAUAUAUUUGAGUUGGAUAUAUUGGCAAAGAAAAUCCUAAAAGCUGACAAGCUUGAUAAAAAGGAGCGUGAUAAGGUGGACCAGCUUGAUAUGGAUCAGCUGCAAAAUGAUCUUAGAAAAAAAGUAAAUGGGAAGAAAUACCUACUUGUGUUGGAUGAUGUGUGGAAUGAGGAUCCACAUAAGUGGCUUAGCUUGAUGGACUUGUUAAGGGGUGGUGGAGAAGGUAGUAGAAUAUUAAUAACCACACGUACUGAAAUCGUUGCGAUGACAUCACACACACAACUAAACAGUACGCCUUAAGGGGUUUGAAUGAAGAGCAAAGCUAGUCUUUAUUUAAGAAAAAUGGCUUUUAAAGAUGGAGAAGAACCAGAGAAUUCAACAAUUAAGGCAGUUGGGAUGGAGGUUGUAAGAAAAUGUCAGGGAGUUCCACUCGCUCUAAGGACGAUAGGUGGGAUGUUGCGCACCAAACAUCAUGAAAUAGAAUGGCUUAAUUUCAAAGAAAGGAAACUUUCAAAAAUAAGUCAAAAAGAAGAUGAUAUUUUACCAACACUUAAACUAAGUUAUGAUGUGCUCCCAUCACAUUUGAAGCAUUGUUUUGCUUAUUGUAGCUUGUUCCCACCUGAUUAUGAUAUCUCUGUACCAAGAUUGAUUAGACUUUGGGUGGCCCAAGGGUUCGUUAAGUCAUCCGACGAAAUCGAGUGUUUGGAGGAUGUUGCGUUUGAAUAUUAUAGGGAAUUGUUGUGCAGAUCGUUUUUUCAAGAAGAAAAAACAAAUGAGUUUGGUAUAAUAGAAAGUUGUAAAAUGCACGAUCUCAUGAAUGAACUUGCAAUCUUAGUGUCGGGUGUCAGGAGCGUCGUAGUUGAUCUGAACCGAAAGAACUUUCAUGAAAAGCUUCGUCACGUAUCUUUCAAUUUUGAUAUUGAUUUGUUGAAAUGGGAAGUGCCAACUUCCUUGGUAAAAGCAUGCAAGAUACGAACUUAUCUUUUUCUUUGCCAAGAGGUUUUGAAAGAUUACGAUGAGUCAUUAUGUGAUUCAUUUUGUACCACAAUUGUUUCAAAUUUUAAGUCAUUACGGAUGUUGAGUCUCAAUACAAUAUAUAUUAUAAGAUUGCCUAAUUGUUUUAAAAAAAUGAAACAUUUGAGAUAUCUUGAUCUUAGUGGGAAUCUCAUGAUGGAGAGACUUCCAGAUUGGAUAGUUGGACUUUCGAAUUUGGAAACACUAGAUCUCAGUCAGUGUCUUAGUCUUGUGGAAUUGCCUAGAGACAUUAAAAAAAUGAUCAACUUAAGGCAUCUUGGAUCAUCUUGUAUGGAUUGAGAAUUGUAUUUAUUGGGUUGAGUUGGAAUGCCACGUGACGAAUGGAAUUGGUGAAUUGAAAGGUGUUCGUACAUUGAAUAGAUUUGUUUGAGUGAGUUGUUUGGGAAUUAAAGGGGCUUGUUUGGAGGGGGUAGCUGGUCUUGCUGAGCUGGCCACCCUUAACGAAUUAAGGGGAGACUUGGUUAUUUUUGAUAAUUUGAGGCACGAGAAAGAUGUGGUGUCAGAAUCAAAUGUUGGUACACCUCUCAAGGACAAACAGCAUCUCCAUUCGUUGGAAUUGUGGUGGAAAUUUGGAGAAGAUGUAAAGGCAGUUGAUGAGGUGGAUAUUAUAAAGUCAAUGGAAGUAUUGCAACCCCAUUCUAAUCUAAAGCAGUUGUCCGUGUGGUAUUAUGGUGGUGUGAGGUUUGCGAGUUGGUUUUCUUCUCUCAUUAAUAUUGUUAAUCUCGCAUUCUGGAAUUGUAAGAGAUGCCAACAUCUUCCACCCUUGGAUCAUUUGCCUUCCCUUAAGAAACUUCAACUUGGAUAUUUGGAGAAGUUGGAGUACAUAUCAGAGAAAGAGAGCAGUAAUAGUAUGAGUGAUGAGAUGAUGAGGAUCUCAUUCUUUCCCUCCCUGGAGACACUCUGCCUAGUAGGUUGCCCUGUUCUGAAGGGAUGGUGGAGGGCGCACACUCCUAAUCUAACUUCCAUCCCUCUUUGUCCAAAUGUGGAGAGAAUACAAGUCUGUAAGAGCAGCUGGAAGGUUGUUGAUUCCUUGUUUUUUAGAGGAGCAUCUGAUAUUACACAUGAUGUUGGUGUUGAUGUUUCUGCCUCUUCUUCUUCCCCUCCUCUCUCCAAAUUAACACAUCUGUCACUUGAGGAAAUUGAGGAUUUGGCUUCACUGCCAGAAUGGAUUCGUGGACUCCCCUGUUUAAAUACAUUGCAAAUUUCUGGUUGCCCCAAGUUAUGGGAAAGAUGCGGCAAAGAAACAGGUGAGGACUGGCCUAAGAUUGCUCACAUCCCACACAUUACUAUUUGGGAUUAAGGUGCGUUUUCUAACUUGUUUCAAUUCACACUAGCCUAAUUCAAUAUAAACUAUGAAAUAUUCAAAUGCCAAUCUCAUUUCUUAAUUUUAUUCUUCAUUCAUCAUCACCGUAAUUUUUAUUUUCUUUUCAAAUGACAAACCAUAUGAACCAGAGAUUUUGGAUUCAGUGAAUGGAGGAGCAUCAACCUUUUGGAUUCAAUAUGUGAUGACCAUGUUAACUACUUGGAGUGGUUGUAUAUGAUUUUGUUUUUUUGAUCCUCGGGGUUUAGGUACUAUGUCCCUCCCGUUGUAUGUUUUUUCUUCAAGUAAUAUAAUAUGGGCGUGAGAGCCUAGCCCCCCAGCUUCGACUGGGUUCCAGCCCUCUUUAUAUAUUUCUUUUUAAUAUACGUUGAUGCUUUGGAAGCGAAACAACUUUUGUCACGUUAUAACAUAUAAGUCAGCAUAAUUAUACACAACAAUGGUAAAAAGAAUUACAUCUAUUAAUUGUCAAUGCACUGGAGUAACCAAAUAUUCUAAGACCAAAGGAACUCCAAAAUCUACUCUAGAUACGGCUCGGGACACAAAUAUCUCCUUCAAAACCCGAAAUUAAUCACAAUAAACGCUACAUUCUCAGUAAAGCAAACAAACUGAUUAUGUUUUGUUUUAGUCAAAAGGAAAUUCAUGAGAACCAUUACAAAAAUAUGUGUUGUUUUUUCCAAGUCCUCUCUCUAGAAACAACUCAGACAACUCUUAGUUUCUUUGUUUUCUUUUCCUCGAUUUCCUUAGCAAUCAAAUGGUCUCCAUAAGUAAAAACAAAUUCUUCUAACGUACCGAAUGUUUACUAAUAUUUUUCUUUUCUUUCCAUUUUUUCAGCUACCCAAUUGAACUGGUCUCUUAAGUUUUCUUAAUUUGCAAUCAAAAUCUAUUUGUUUCUUAAGUUUUCUUCAAAAAUUGUACUUAUAUGUAAUCAGAAUACUUUGAUUUCUUUAGUUUUCAUUUCCAUCUUCUAUCCCGCAUAUCUAAGUUCCUUAUUAACCCACACCAGUUCAUACUUAUAAUAUGUUAUACGUUUAUUUUUAAAAAGUUGAAGAUGCUCGUAUUGCCAACUAAAAAGGAAAAGUACGGACCUUGAUAUUCACACAGAGAUCUUCCAUGUAGUCUUUGGUAUCUACGAAAACAAACUUAUCAACAUAUCAGUCAAAGGAAAAUUAUUACAACCUCUGCAAAAUCAAAAGAUGAUACGGAUGUCAAGCGACCCCUUAAGUUAAAGGCCCUAGUGUUAAAGAAAACUGUUAGCAUCUAUUAUUGUAAAUACCUGCCAAGAAAAGAUGAAAAUAAAAUAUUAGGCAUAUGAGUGUAAGCUUACAGAACCUUAGUUUUUGUACACUUUCUUCUCCCUUCAAUGACAGUUUGUUUCUUAUCCGGAAAAAUAAAGUGAGCAGGUUAAUGAUACUCACAUGUGCAAAAUGCUAAUCCUAUGGUCUAAAGCUAACUGACUUUUUAAGUGUAAAAUCCCUAAUUUCACUGCAUUUGGAUUGAUCACAGUUCAUGACUUGUUAAACUUGAUCUCCUUGGGCAUUUUGGGAACUUGACAGCUUAUAUUUUCUUUAGUCACAGAUGUGCCCAUAAAAGCAAAUUACAGCGACCCAAUGUCUACUAAAAACUUGGAGAAGGAACUCAAUUAGUCAACGAACAAGUGCCUCACACUUUCAUAUUAAAGACCAAAGAGAGAAAACCAAGCCGAACUCUUUGAAAUUCGUUGGCACACAUGCGUCAUUGGCUUAAUUGAAUGUAUAAUGCAUACUUAGAUACAAUGAUUCGAACAAUUGUCAUAGAUUGACAUAAGCCUCCAAACUUCAAAAAUUGAUACCUUAAGAAAGCAGAACCUGUUUUCCUUCAUAUUUGUGCUCUUUUGAUUAGCCUAUCUCGCGAUCACUUGAUUCAUUCUAAUCACUAUGAAAACAGCUUAAGAACAGUUGAUAAUCUCUAAAACAAAGAGGGAAAACAUAGAAAUACUAUCUGUACUCAAAUGAGUUCAUUUUGUGUUCAAAUUCUAAGUAAUUAAUAAUAAGAAGGAUACCAAGAAUAUUAUUUACCCAAAUCUUGUAAUUAAUACUAAGAAAAAUACCAUGAAUUCCAUUUUGGGAAGCUGCUUUUAGCUUAGUAGCUCCAUUUGAGAAUGCAAAUAUGGCAUACCAGUCGAGGGUCCAACCCAAAGGAAGUGAAAGCCUUUUUUACAGUUCAACAUACGCUCCUCUGGUGAAAACAUGUCCCACAAUGCAGCAAAAAAUAGAGUCAAAGGAAUAAUAGUUGGUUUCCAUUUAGAACCUCAAAACCCCACUUCAGUCCUUCUCUUAGUGGAGAAAACAGCAUCUCUGGUGAAAGUGAAUUCGAACUCGGCAUCCAUUCCUCCAUCAUACAUAGAAGCAACCACAUCCUGAAAGUAAGUCCCCUGACGAACUUCCCAUCCAUCCACUGACUCCGGAGUCUUGAACUUUACAAUUGUAAGUUUGCUCUUGCAACUCUUUCCUGCUCGUAAUUGCACCAUUUUGUUGUUAUAGUCCUGCAAUGCAAACAGUCAAAAGCUUCACAUAUGCAACUCUCAACAACAACAACAACAACAACAAAGCCUUUUCCCACUAAGUGGGGUCGGCUAUAUGAAUCCUAGAACGCAAUUGCGCUCGGUUUUGUGUCAUGUCCUCCGUUAGAUCCAAGUACUCUAAGUCUUUUCUUAGAGUCUCUUCCAAAGUUUUCCUAGGUCUUCCUCUACCCCUUCGGCCCUGAACCUCUGUCCCGUAGUCACAUCUUCGAACCGGAGCGUCAGUCGGCCUUCUUUGCACAUGUCCAAAUCACCGGAGCCGAUUUUCUCUCAUCUUUCCUACAAUUUCGUCUACUCCGACUUUACCUCGGAUAUCCUCAUUCCCAAUCUUAUCCUUUCUCGUGUGCCCACACAUCCCACGAAGCAUCCUCAUCUCCGCUACACCCAUUUUGUGUACGUGUUGAUGCUUCACCGCCCAACAUUCUGUGCCAUACAACAUCGCUGGCCUUAUUGCCGUCCUAUAAAAUUUUCCCUUGAGCUUCAGUGGCCUACGACGGUCACACAACACGCCGGAUGCACUCUUACACUUCAUCCAUCCAGCUCGUAUUCUAUGGUUGAGAUCUCCAUCUAAUUCUCCGUUCUCUUGCAAGAUAGAUCCUAGGUAGCGAAAACGGUCGCUUUUUGUGAUCUUCGCUAGAUUGCUCCUUUUUUUCAUUAGUGUGGAUAAGUAUAUAAAUGGAUAGAGAUAGGAAAGCAAACACAAGAUGUACGUGGUUCACCCAGAUUGGCUACGUCCACGGAAUAGAAGAGUUCUCAUUAAUUGUGAAGGGUUUACACAAGUACAUAGGUUCAAGCUCUCCUUUAGUGAGUACAAGUGAAUGAUUUAGUACAAAUGACAUUAGGAAAUAUUGUGGGAGAAUGAUCUCGUAAUCACGAAACUUCUAAGUAUCGGAGUGUGGUGUCGUCUUGACUUGCCUUAUCUGUCUCAUAGGUAGCAUCUUCUCUGGAAGUACUCUUCCUCCAUCCAGGGGUGGUAUCUUUAAUUGGUGGAGAUGCACAAGGUAAUGUAUCAAUUUCACUUGAAGCUUACUUGUAGUUUCAGGCUUGGUCAAGCGCGAUACAAACCAUGUAGUAGGAGUCCCCCAAGUCGCCGAGCUAGGGGGUCUGCUGAAAGAGGUGACAGACAAGGUAAGCAAUCAGAGCUCCGACUGAUUGUUCACCUUCUCCCCAUCUUGCAGCAGCAUGAAGGAUAAAGAGAAGAAAAAUGAGAAGAGAUGAUAUGAGAUACUUUUGCUUUUGAAGAAGUAACUUUCCACAGGCUUAUUCUUGAACUGAGCUGGAGGGUUUUCUGGUUUCCUCCAGAGUAUAAGGUCGACUGAAGAAUUUGAGGGUCAAAAACAAGUCCAUCAAAUCUAGAGUACGUUCCACCCUGCUGAUAUGGGAUACUUUUGCUUUUGACAAAGUAAUGGAUGUAUCGGCAUGUGUGCUGUUACGCUUGUCUCCACAUGCUUCCUUGUAUCCUUCGCACUUGCCCUAUCUGUUCCUCAAGUAGAUGCAGAAUCUUCCCUGGAAACAUAAGAUGUUGAAGAUGAGUACUCGAGAGCAAUGCCAGGUAAGUAAUCAGGUAAGGGGUUUCAGGCAGUCAGUUCCUGGCUGGAAUCUUGAUUCCAAGUGCUGACUGAUUGCUCUCUUUCUCCUUGUCUUGCAGGUAAAAACAAGGCCAAAAGAAAAGACAGGGAAAAAGCAUGAUAUGGGAUACUCUUGCUUUUAACCCUGAUGAUAUGAGAUAUUCUUGCUCUAGUAUAGCUUGUUUGCAGAGGUAUUAUCGGGGGGAAAGAAAGCUGAAUAUUUCGAAAGGCUUCGUUGGGAGUGCCCUCUCAGAUAUGAUGAAGGGUUGAACAUUUUUGCAGGUCUGCCUGUCCGUUGGGAUGGAGGUCGACAUAUAUAGGAGUCUCCCUAACAACAAGUAGUAAUGCUAUUCCUUUACCCUGCUUGGUCAUAGCACCGUAGUGGGAGCUGCCAGUUUCACAUGUUUUAACUCUGUCAGAGCACUUUGAAAAAGUGGUCUGUGGUAUAUGGCUCUCGAGAUUCGGAGAACGAUGCCUCUUCGAUUUUUGAGAAAGCAAUCAUGCUGGGGGUCUGGCUCUCGAGAUUCGGAGAGCAGUGUCUCUUCGAUUUUUGAGGAAGUAAUCAUGUUGGGAGUCUGGCUCUCGAGAUUCGGAGGGCGGUGCCUCUUCGAUUUUGGAGCAAGCAAUCUUGUUGGGAGUGUUGUCUCGAAUGUGAGUAAAGGUUGGGCAUGUUUGCUAGUCUACCUUGCCACGAAGCACAAAGGUUGACACACAGGGACUUUCCAAUUAUCCAGCAAUGGUACUGUUCCUUUACCCUCUCUUCGAUUUUGAGAAAGUAGUCAUGUUGGGAGUCUGGCUCUCGAGAUUCAGAGGACGGUGCCUCUUCGAUAUCCAGCAGUGGUACUGUUCCUUUACCCUUGUGGGUAAUAAUAUGGUAGCUAGACCUUCAAAAUUUAUGUGUCCAAACUUUGUUAGUGCUGUUUCUUUGCUAUUCUUUUACCUUUCUUGGUCAGAGCGAUGUAGUGGGAGCUGCAAGCUUCACGUGCUCAACUUUGGCAGAGAACUUUGGCAAAGUCAUCUGUGGUACCCAUGAGCUAUUGUUGCGUGUGGGAAGUGGAUGAUUGAACAGUAAGAUUCAUGUGCUUUCUACUUCACCAGAAGUCUUCGACAGAAUGCCCAUAAUUUCUGCAAAGCUGAGUGUUCGUGUGACAGGUGCUGACAAGGCUAGAAAAGUAGGUGCCUCUUCGAUUUCUGAGAUCGGCCCUCGUGGUCUCUGAGCAGCCCAACUUUUGAGAAAGCGAGCGCCUCUUCGAUUGAUUCGGAGAACAAUGCCUCAUCGAUUUUUGAGAAAGCAAUCAUGCUGUGGGUCUGGCUCUCGAGAUUCGGGGAGCAGUGUCUCUUCGAUUUUUGAUAAAGUAAUCAUGUUGGGAGUCUGGCUCUCGAGAUUCGGAGGGCGGUGCCUCUUCGAUUUUGGAGCAAGCAAUCUUGUUGGGAGUGUUUUCUCGAAUGUGAGUAAAGGUUGGGCAUGUUUGCUAGUCUACCUUGCCACGAAGCACAGAGGUUGCCACACAGGGACUUUCCAAUUAUCCAGCAAUGGUACUGUUCCUUUACCCUCUCUUCGAUUUUUAAGAAAGUAGUCAUGUUGGGAGUCUGGCUCUCGAGAUUCGGAGGACGGUGCCUCUUCGAUUUUGGAGCAAGCAAUCUUAUUGGGAGUGUUUUCUCAAAUGUGAGUAAAGGUUGGGCAUGUUUGCUAGUCUACCUUGCCACGAAGCACAGAGGUUGACACACAGGGACUUUCCAAUUAUCCAGCAGUGGUACUGUUCCUUUACCCUUGUGGGUAAUAAUAUGGUAGCUAGACCUUCAAAAUUUAUGGGUCUAAACUUUGUUAGUGCUGUUUCUUUGCUAUUCUUUUACCCUUCUUGGUCAGAGCGAUGUAGUGGGAGCUGCAAGCUUCACGUGCUCAACUUUGGCAGAGAACUUUGGCAAAGUUAUCUGUGGUACCCAUGAGCUAUUGUUGCGUGUGGGAAGUGGGUGAUUGAACAGUAAGAUUCAUGUGUUUUCUACUUCCCCAGAAGUCUUCGACAGAAUGCCCAUAAUUUCCGCAAAGCUGAGUGUGCGUGUGACAGGUGCUGACAAGGCUAGAAAAGUAGGUGCCUCUUCGAUUUCUGAGAUCGGCCCUCGUGGUCUCUGGGGAGCCCAGCUUUUGAGAAAGCGAGCGCCUCUUCGAUUUCUGAGAUCGGCCUUCGUGGUCUUUGAGCAGCCCAACUUUUGAGAAAGCAAACGCCUCUUCGAUUUCUGAGAUCAACCCUUGUGAUCUCUAAGCAGCCCAGCUUUUGAGAAAGCAAACGCCUCUUCGAUUUCUGAGCAUGCGCCUCUUCGAUUUCUGAAGCUCUGUCGAGUGCAGAUUUUUAUAGGGGCUGGCAUUAAAUUCCAAAGCACACUUGAAUCUCCACCAGUAGAAGCUUCAUUCUUGCACUUCUAAGAUUUUGAUUUGUCCGACCUCUUCUCUCUUCAACACCUUUGAAAAUGUCUGGCCCCUCCGACCGUCGUUUUGACUUGAACCUUGUUGAAGAGGCAGCCCCGCCUUCUCCAGACAACAUAUGGCGCCCAUCCUUCGUCUCCCCUACUGGUCCUCUUACCGUUGGGGAUUCCGUGAUGAAGAAUGAUAUGACCGCUGCGGUGGUGGCCAGGAACCUUCUCACUCCCAAAGAUAACAGACUACUUUCCAAACGGUCUGAUGAGUUAGCUGUUAAGGAUUCGCUGGCUCUCAGUGUUCAGUGUGCAGGUUCUGUGUCUAAUAUGGCCCAACGUCUAUUUGCUCGAACCCGCCAAGUUGAAUCAUUGGCGGCUGAAGUGAUGAGUCUCAAACAGGAGAUUAGAGGGCUCAAGCAUGAGAAUAAACAGUUGCACCGGCUCGCACAUGACUAUGCUACAAACAUGAAGAGAAAGCUUGACCAGAUGAAGGAAACUGAUGGUCAGGUUUUACUUGAUCAUCAGAGAUUUGUGGGUUUGUUCCAAAGGCAUUUAUUGCCUUCGUCUUCUGGGGCUGUACCGCGUAAUGAAGCUCCAAAUGAUCAACCUCUGAUGCCUCCUCCUUCUAGGGUUCUGUCCAGUACUGAGGCUCCAAAUGAUCCCCCUCCGGUGCCUUCUCUUUCUGGGGCUCUACGGACUGCUGAGACUUCUCCUAAGCAACCUUUGUGAAGGCUCCCUCUUGUGUGUUUAUUUUGACUCAUGUAUAUGUAUAUAUUUGUAGCUUAUCGGGGAUAUCAAUAAAUAAGCUUUCCUUCAUUUCAACGUAUUGUGUUAAAUACACCAAAGCCUUCUUCGCUAAGUUCUUUGAAUUUUCUUUUGUUGAAGCUUGUAUGUUGAAGCUUUCUGAGUGGAGCAUGUAGGUUGGGGUAGUGUUCCCUUAAUUUCCCGAGUGAAGAAAACUUCUCGGUUGGAGACUUGGAAAAUCCAAGUCACUGAGUGGGAUCGGCUAUAUAAAUCUUAGAACGCCAUUGUGCUCGAUCCUGUGUCAUGUCCUUCGUUAGAUCCAAGUACUCUAAGUCUUUUCUUAGAGUCUCUUCCAAAGUUUUCCUAGGUCUUCCUCUACCCCUUCGGCCCUGAACCUCUGUCCCAUAGUCACAUCUUCUAAUCGGAGCGUCAGUAGGCCUUCUUUGCACAUGUCCAAACCACCGUAACCGAUUUUCUCUCAUCUUUCCUUCAAUUUCGGCUACUCCUACUUUACCCCGGAUAUCCUCAUUCCUAAUCUUAUCCUUUCUCGUGUGCCCACACAUCCAACGAAGCAUCCUCAUCUCCGCUACACCCAUUUUGUGUACGUGUUGAUGUUUCACCGCCCAACAUUCUGUGCCAUACAGCAUCGCCGGCCUUAUUGCCGUCCUAUAAAAUUUUCCCAUGAGCUUCAGUGGCAUACGGCGGUCACACAACACACCGGAUGCACUCUUCCACUUCAUCCAUCCAACUUGUAUUCUAUGGUUGAGAUCUCCAUCUAAUUCUCCGUUCUUUUUGCAAGAUAGAUCCUAGGUAACGAAAACGGUCGCUCUUUGGUAUUUCUUGAUCUCCGAUCCUCACCCCUAACUCGUUUUGGCCUCUAUUUGCACUGAACUUGCACUCCAUAUAUUCUGUCUUUGAUCGGCUUAGGCAAAGACCUUUAGAUUCCAACACUUCUCUCCAAAGGUUAAGCUUUGCAUUUACCCCUUCCUGAGUUUCAUCUAUCAACACUAUAUCGUCUGCGAAAAGCAUACACCAAGGAAUAUCAUCUUGAAUAUAUCCUGUUAACUCAUCCAUUACCAACGCAAAAAGGUAAGGACUUAAGGAUGAGCCUUGAUGUAAUCCUACAGUUAUGGGAAAGCUUUCGGUUUUGUCCUUCAUGAGUUCUUACGGCAGUCUUUGCUCCUUCAUACAUAUCCUUUAUAGCUUAGAUAUAUGCUACUCGUACUCCUUUCUUCUCUAAAAUCCUCCAAAGAAUGUCUCUUGGGACCCUAUCAUACGCUUUUUCCAAAUCUAUAAAGACCAUGUGUAAAUCCUUUUUCCCAUCUCUAUAUCUUUCCAUCAAUCUUCGUAAGAGAUAGAUUGCCUCCAUGUUUGAGCGCCCUGGCAUGAACCCGAAUUGAUUGUCCGAAACCCGUGUCUCUUGCCUCAAUCUAUGCUCAAUGACUCUCUCCCAGAGCUUCAUUGUAUGACUCAUUAGCUUAAUACCCCUAUAGUUCAUGCAAUUUUGUACGUCGCCCUUAUUCUUGUAGAUAGGCACCAAAGUGCUCGUUCGCCACUCAUUUGGCAUCUUCUUCGUUUUCAAAAUCUUAUUGAAAAGGUCAGUGAGCCAUGUUAUACCUGUCUCUCCCAAAAGUUUCCACACUUCGAUUGGUAUAUCGUCUGGGCCUAUUGCUUUUUUAUGCUUCAUCUUCUUCAAAGCUACAACCACUUCUUCCUUCCGGAUUCGACGAUAAAAAGAGUAGUUUAUACACUCUUCUGAGUUACUCAACUCCCCUAAAGAAGCACUCAUUUCAUGUCCUUCAUUGAAAAGAUUAUGAAAAUAACCUCUCCAUCUGUCUUUAACCGCGUUCUCUGUAGUAAGAACCUUUCCAUCCUCAUCCUUGAUGCACCUCACUUGGUUUAGGUCCCUUGUCUUCUUUUCCCUUGCUCUAGAUAGUUUAUAGAUAUCCAACUCUCGAAGGGUAAAAUUCAAAUCCAACAUUGAACCAACCCAUUAACUUAAAAGACAUCAAAACCGAAACAGAUUACUAAAUAUCAAAAAGGAGUAUUUCAAGGAUAUGGCGAUAAGGAUCACACCUGAAAUGCUAUAGUAAGAUUGUAGACCCCUCUUUGAUCAACCCUGCAGAGGUCUUCCUUGAUAGUAGAGCGUGCAGUAGCACAAUAGAUAAUCUUGUUACAGCCCUGUACUGCGGUGUACAGGGUAGCAGGACCAUCCAUAUCCCCAGUCAAUGGCAAGACAUAUGAAAGAAGAUUGAAAAUGAUAACACCCACCAUUUAACCAAGUAAAAGCAGAGUUAACGCAGAGAAAACAACAAAAAAUAUCUUGCAAACCCUCGAUUUAUCGGUAAAGCACAUCAAAACCAAACAGUCAAGAAAAUAGUUUAAAACCAAUUCUAUAUUUCUAAUCAGAAGAUGUGCAAUUUUUUUUUAUUCGUCAAUUUGUGGCACUUCAUUCUCAAUAAAGAGCACUUCACAAAAUUCCAGAUCUGCUACAACAUCAAAGGUCAGACCGAAUAGGAAAACGACAUCAUUCAUUAUCCAAAUUGAAACAACAAUCCCACUAAAAUUGACUACUCAUAAGAAUCUCAUUCCACAAAACAACUGCAGGCAAAAAAAAUCCCCAAGAUACAUACUAUCAUCCAAAUCAUCCACCGCCAUUAACAAAAGCACAACCCAUAUCUUCCUUCAGCUAAGAUUAAAGAAAAAAUUGAAACCCUAAUCAUUCUCGAACAUGCUUUUGGAAUCAGAAUAGAAAGGAAACUUGAAAUUAGAGGAUCAUGCAGAACUGGGCUGGGGAUUGGACUUGUGCUCUGAAUCGACCUCUUCCUCUUCCUCUUCAGAUUGAUCACCGAAUAGGUUCUACAUCACCUGGUGCCGCUUCUCCUCCCCCAUCGCUGCUGCUGUGUGUUGUGGUCAGAGCCCUCAAACUACUGACAUUAAAUAGUUCAUUUCAUUAGAUCAUUGGAACUAUCACCAUAGCAUCCUGCAAAUUUCGAGAAGUGUGUGUUGAAACAAAUCUGAAAAGGAAUGAAAACCCUGUUAACCAAACCCAUCAACAGUAACAUAAGCCUCACCAAUCGUAGCAAACAAAAUCAAUCAGACUCGGCGAAAUUCAGUCAACAAUACAAAAAAUACUCUGAAACCCAUCAGCCAAUAUACAGCACGUAGAAGCAACACAAUUUUUUUCCUUACCAAGCAAUUAAGAUGUAUUUACUUAUACACUAAGUUUUGCUAACAAUAUGUUGGAAAACUGAAUACUUACACCGCAUCCAAAUCCCUCUUACAUGCUUUUGGAAUGGUCUAGUCUCUCCAAUCUCUCAUUUUGCAAUCCAUCUCUUACUAAUUUGGCGUCAGUCUCUUGAGACUUAGAAAUCUUUCACUCAAACAUAAUCAUAUAUAAGGGAAUGUUUGGUAUUAUUUUUGGAUCCAAUUUAUUGUUUUGAAACUAAUGCGUAUUAAUUAAUUUAGCCACAUUUAUCAUUUAUUUAAAAAGGACAAAAAAUCAGAUGCAAUUAAGAUUCCAAAUAGACCCUAAGUAACCUCAGCUGAGUGGUGUACAAAUCAAUGCCCAUUCUUUUCUAGUGAGCUAUGAUAAAUUCAAUUGGACAAAAAUAAGUACAUCUGUCAGUUGAUGCUCAGACUUUACAGAAGUCAAAUAAAUUAAAAUGUUGAUCAACUUCAACAUGUUUACGUCAAUCAUGUUGAACUGGAGUGUGAGUGGGAGUAUAGAAAGCCUUGUGAAGUUAACCCAAGUUUGCAUCAGUGCCAAGGCGGAACUUGACAUUUCACCAUGGCUAAAAAAACUCCUACAGAAACCUAACCGGUGCAAGAAAUUGAAUAGAAACUUCUUAUUUGCUGCUCAUUUCGGAAGGCCAGUUCGAAAAAACCUCCUAUUUUAGAUUGCAAAUUUUGUGAUGACAAAAGAUAAAGUAGAACAUAAUAAGUUUUCUGCACUCUUCUCUAUUUCCAGAAAUAGAACUUGAUACUGUCACGGCCACGAAAAAUUCAUCGGCACCCUACCUGAUGCAAGCAACGGACUAGGAACUUUAAUUGGGUGCUCAUUUCAGAAUGUCAGUUGGAAAACAUCCUAUUUUCUAUUCAAUCUCUUUGCCCACUGCAUUACAACACAUCAGAGUGUUUUCUUCACUGCGUAUAUAAAAAAUCUUCGGUGCUCUUAGUGAUUUCCUAUCAAUACUGGAUUCUAUAUUUGGUCAAUUCUUAAAUCUAUACUUUACUGGACCUGUUUAGUCAUUCAACACCUCACAACUUCCAAAAAAAUUCACCAUCAUGCCAACAUGCUUGGGUGAUUAACUAGUGAACAUACAGACAGCCCUGAUUCAAAACAUUUCUCAAGAGAAAUUCAUGUUCAAAACAACUUAAAACUCCAAGCAUUAACCAAACAAAAUGAUUAGGAGGAUGAAAGAUAGAAACUUGUAACAGAGAACAAUUGCCCAAAAUAGAAAACACUUUAUUCCUCCCCAAUUUCUGAAAAUCCAGAGAAAGCGGGAUUAACUUCAGAUACAAUCCCACACUUGAAAAAGCUAAUGUGCUUCACUUUCAAUACCAAACCGCUAGUCUUGUAUGCAUGCAUGUAUACACACUACUGAAAAGAGUAAUUCUUAAUCCAGCAUGGGCAGAAUAGUACCGUUACCCUCAAACGGGCAAGGCUAAAGGGCGAGAUGCGGGUUUAGUGCAUUGUGGGUGUGUGGGUUUGUUAACUUAACCAAGUAAAACAACUACUAAUCCAGCCAUUUUUCCUACUCUAUUCCAAACUUAUUCCCAAAGUCUGCUACUAAUAGGACUCAUUACUAGUGAGGAAGAAAGAUUUAGCACUACAUGUUAAGAGCAUGAGGUACACAUCAAACGGAACACACUCAAAUCAAAAACAUAAAUUCCUAAUCAAUGUAUAAUCAUUAUUGGGAUUCGCAUUCUUCAACCAAACUAUGAACAAAAGAGCCAGGCCAAUGAACAGAAAAUAAACUUAAAUUACAACAUAAAGCAGAGUAAGUAUUUAAACAUCAACAACUUCAGACAAAAACUAUGAAGUUCCGAUUCCUCAAAUGCAUAUUCCAAAUUGCAGUACAAACACUAAGCACAAAAACCAUAGAUAAAGUAAAACAACAGACAAUGCACUUUCCCCAAAUAACUCAAUUUACCUCUGACUCUCAUACCGCUUUGGCCUCCGCCUUGGCAUUCCCUCUCUCGACCUUUUUCGCCUCCGCCUUAUCUGGUUUCGCCGCCUCCCCUGAGCAACACCCACCUUCAUGAUGGUGAUGAUGGUGGUGAUGCCCAUGCCCAUGCCCAUGCCCAUGCCCAUUCCCAUGACCAUGCACAUGCCCAUGACUAUGUCCAUGCACUUUCUUCCCCUUGAGCUCCUUCCUCAUAUCAUACGCAUCUUCCCCAUCGGCAUAUUACUUCGCCUUCACAUCAUGAAUCUUAUAUCCCAAAGUCUCAGUGUACAAAUUGAACGCUGCCCGAUUGCUCUUCCUCACAUGAAGCGACACGUACUCCGCCGCAAACACCUGUUCCCUGGCGUUCUGGGCGGCGUUCAUGAGCUUGGUGGCGAGGCCGAGUUUGCGGUAGGUGCGGAGGACGGCGAGGGAGGUAAUGUGGCCGUGGCACUCGUUACUCUCCUCCUCCAUCUUGGCCAGGACGUAGCCGACGAUGCGACCGUUGUAGUCUUCGGCGACGUAGAGGAGCUGCGGCCAUGAGAGGAUGUGAUAGAGGUAGUACUUCAUCUGGCAACUCUCAGGGAGGCAGAAAAGGUUGCAGGCUUGCAUCGCCAGGAGGUUGUCGAUUGCGGCCUUGCGUAUGCACACCAUUUGUGGUGCUCCUGGAGUUUCUAGGGUUAGGGUUUUGGUGUGGGAAUUUUGUUUUUAGGGAAGAAGAGAGGAGUGAGGUCAAAAGAAAUAUGGGGUCUUGUGGGAUUUUCAAUGGGAUUGGGCUUGGGCUGAGUUAUGGGCUUGAUGAGUUUAAUUAUGGGCUUAAAGUCCAUACCUUUCAAAAAAAUUAAAUACCGAAAAAAAUCAUUUCGUCGAUUUUUCUCUUGAACUUUUAUUUUUCUCCAUUCUUUUACCUUCAUGUACCAUCAUGUUUCUCUGUAAUUCAUCUAAACUUUCAUUAAACCCGUCUCAUUUAAAAAAAGACGAUAGCAAAAAAAUAAUAUUUCGUAACCAACGUGAAUUUUUCGAACAAAAAAUGGGAUGUAAUGCUCGACGAGAGAAAUUAACCAUUUAUAAUUUUCCACAUGGGAAAUUGGCAAGAAUUAGGGAAAUUGGUGAAAUACUCAAACUAGAAAUAUGAACGCCGACCCUCCAAGGUCAAAUUCUUCCAUCUAACAUUCAUUUUCAGCACAUCAUCUGCAAUUUCCAGUUUUGAUUCUACGUUUCUUGUCAAUCGGUUCAAUUCUUGAACCAUCAGUAAAAUCGACCUACUAUUUUUCUCAGAGGACUCGACGGAAAACAGGUUUGUAUUUCAAAGAUGAAGAAUUUGUUGUAGUUUAUACACGAACCAUAAAAUAAACUUUAUACAUAUACAUUAUCAUGAAUAUCAUACAUGUCCUAGCAAAAUAAGAGUGGUCGUCUUACUCAAAUUUUCAGAUUCUGAUGUACUUAUCGUAGUGCGUGGUGAUAACCUUCCUCAUCCCGACAGUCAAACACGUAAUCGGAGCCCGUCUGGUACUAAGAAUGCUCUCAACGGGGGUAUCUUCUGAAAGCCUCGUUCCUCUCAUUCUUUGGGUAGCCCCAAUCGUGUUUCGAGAACUUGAUGACAAAUAUCCAUCCAAGACGCAACUUGAGAUUACUUCACCUGUUUUUUGGUUCAGAAGACGAAGCACACCGUCUAUUCCACCAACCGCCAAUGUUGAUGCAUCAUUUCUCAUGUGUUGCAAAGAUGAUACCCUAUUUGGACUCACUCGUGUCUACCAUAAACAUGUCAUUGUCCUGAAUCAUACCAUAUAACAGAAGAAUAGGGUCAAUUAACAUGCAACUGUAUUACGUCAUCUGUUACUGUCGAGAUAGUAAAAUAAAAGGGUGGAGACAGAGAAAACAAGGUCGUAAAGGGUGAGUUUUGCAUACAACUUUUAAGAUGACAAAACAACCAUAUAAAAACUACGGAUUUUUUCUUUUGGUUAAAAGUUGUGGGUUUUCUUUUAAACAUAAUUAAUGUACAGUUAAAUGGGCAUUUAACAGAAAUCCCCUUAGAAUAUGUCGUUAAAUUGACACUUCCAUUUGAAAACGCACUCAGGGCCAUCAGACUCUAUUUUUGAUUAAAAUCCCUUGUCUAUUAGAGAGGAGGGCUAAUGUCUCAAAACCAUUGACACUUCCAUUGGGUGAACGAUGGAGGGAAAAAUUGGGGGUCUGCACACUUUUUCAUCGUUGCUUUUAUUGAAGUUUUCAUCUUGAAGCAACUCUCAUUCUGUAGAAAGGACAAGCUUUCCAUCUACUAAUGAUAUCAUCUAAGAUGAUUUGAAGUAAUCAAACCUUGUAUUCGAAAUUCUAACAAAGUAAAAUAUGGAAACGAUUAUGACAUAGACUUUCAUCAAGCUCCAGUAUGAAACCAGGCAAAUUAAAUUUCUUAAAAUAGCUUUUGAAGUCAUAUUUCAUACCUAAUGUCACAGCAUAAUGCAAAUCCAACAGCGUAUCCAGCAAAUACUAAGUGAGAGCCCGGGUUGAAACACAAAGUCUUUAUGCCUGCAAUGAAAAUUUGAGACUAGAUUUAUGUUCUCUCUCGCGAAUAUAAUGUCCUUGUCACUCCAAGGGGAAGGAUUACUCAAAACCCAUAAGUAUGUUAUUUAGACUAUUGAUAUAUUGUAAGUGCCAACACUUCCAAACAACUGCAAUCAAAAUCCUUACCCUUUCGCUUCCACUUGAAUAUAUUUUAUUUAAUAAGGACAAAAUGAGACAAAUAGUAAGACUACACCCAGCGGUUAUAAGAUACGACAAACAAAUAUGAGACGGUGCAAUUAUGACUUCUACAUGAUCCCAUUUGCAGUUUCAUGAACUACUCAAAAUUAUAUGGACAAAGUAUAGUGUAUCUCUGUCGAUAUGUACGACGGAAUGAGUUACCCAGCACAUAAUGAAUCAGAUAUACUAGACUGAGUGGUGGAGGAUGAAAAAAGAACGUAAUCAGUGUCCUGAUAAGUUUUCGAAUUUAUUUUAGUUUUAUGCAUCAGAAGUUAUAACUGGAAUGUAGGUGUCCCUUAUAACAAUGGUAGAACAUGCAUAAAAUGUAACCUGAGGAAUCAUUUGAUCUUAAAUUCGCAACCUGCUCACUAGAUCAAAGUCCAGAUAUUGUGAUACCACCAAGAGAUGAACCACUAAGUAUCAACUGAUCAUCACUCAAACAUAAGCAUGUUACUGGCCCUGCAUGUGCUCUGCAAUAAGAAAUCAAAAGAAAUCCAUAAACCAUUGAGCAGCAUAUAAAUUCAUAUUACAAAAAAUACUAAACAUUUUAUGCCAGACGAGAAGUUUAUUCUAAAUUCUAACUUAUAUUUCCCAUUUUUCGUCUUACGGCAAGAAAUUUUUUGCCUCUAGAAAUUUAAAUGAAUGUCUACAAGUCAAAAGGUAUCUUCUUAAGCUAUAUAAAUUCACUGUAUUCUUUACAAGAAACAUGAAAACAAAUACAAACACCAAUAUAGAAGCUACAUUACGUUCCUUGCAGUACACACCUAACAUUUUUUACUGUACAUGUCAAAUACACGACCUGUCCCAUCCUCGCAUCCAACCACAGCCUCAGGAUCGCAAUAACUACAUGAGAACAAAAUGUGAAAAACGAGACAUUUUUAAUUGUUACGGAAACUCGGAUGGUACAUCAUGUGUUUUUAUAUAAGUGAUGAGAAAUUUUACUUUUUAAGUUAUUAACUUUUUAACACACAUAUCUCACUAUUUGUAUAAUAAUAAUACGUGAUGUAUCACCUCGUGUGCGAAUCACAUUUAAAAAUCUGUCAUGAAAUACAAACACCAAAAGUAAACCUCCAUAUGUAACAGUAAUAACCCGUUCCAAAUUACGAGUUAAAUUACGUUUUUGACCUUGGGUUUAUCCAUUCGGCCCAAAUCAUUGGGCUAUUCUAGUAUCAGCCCAAAGACUCGGCCCAGUCUUUUCUUUCCUCUUUUUCCUUCAGAGGAAAUGGGAGGAAUGGUCCCUUAACUAUUCUCGAAUUGUAGCUUUAGUCCCUAAACUAAAAAAUCAUUAUAUUUUGUCCUAGAACUUGAUAAGAUGUGGAGCGUUAGUCCUUCAUCACCAAUUCCGUUAAGUUUUAGUUAAAAGUGUUUACAUGUUUGUUUCACCUAUAUAUAUAUAUAUAUAUAUAUAUAUAUAUAGAAAAGAUGAAAAUUGCAACAAAAAUUGCAGGCCUACCUCAUCCACCAACACUCGCAGGCCACCCCUUCAACUUCAUUCUUUGAUACACUCCCCGCCAACCUCCCACUUCCAACCCCCAAUCGUUAAUCCCCACUCCCCAGCCGACCCCAGCCGACCCCAACCUGUAGCCCAUGGAGCACAGCCUUCACCCAAACCCCGAACCCGCAUCCCACAAAGUUCUUGAAUCUUACCUGUCGAGACAGCGAGAUGGAUGUCAUUGUGAAUUCGUUUACAAAGGGAGACGUGUUCGAAAUUUGGAUUAGAAACUUUCUUUUGUUUUGGUUGUUUGCAGAGUGCUACAAUGGUGUGGCUGGGGUUUGGAGGAGGCAAGGCAGAAGGAAAGACGGGAGACGUGUUCGAAAUUUGGAUUAGAAACUUUCUUUUGUUUUGGUUGUUUGCAGAGUGCUACAAUGGUGUGGCUGGGGUUUGGAGGAGGCGGGCAGAAGGAAAGACAGGAGAGGAAGAGAGAGAGAGAGAGAUAACUUCUAAUUUUUUAUUUUUUUUCUUUCUCUAUGUUUGUAUUUAUUUUUAUUUUGAAUUUUUAAGCCACGUGGCAUUUAGUGAACAAAAAUAUGGAGCCCACAAAGACCACGUCAUCAAACUAACGGAAAAUCUCACGGUGUUAGUAUGGAGGGACCAAUGCUCUACAUUUUGUUAAGUUCAGGGAUCAAAUCUAAUGAAUUUUUAGUUUAAGGACCAAAACUACAAUUUGAUCAUAGUUCAGGGAUCAUUCCUCCAAUUUCCUCUUUUCCUUCACCUGUGAGAUAUAUUUCCCUUUCUCUUAACAUUUUCCUUCUCUGCAAACUUUCUCUAAACCACCGAGCACCAUCUUUCACAAUCAUCACCUUCCUCAGUCAAAUCCAACUCGAAACCACCAGAUUAGUCAUUCGGGUGACCUGGGAAUCACAGAGAUGGCUCUGCAUGUUCCGUCUGAUACCUGGAUGUGGGGGCUGAUCGGGGCAGCUCUACGUUUUUCCGGCGAAGUUCGACUAAAGAACGGCGUUUCAGUCGUUGAUUUUACCUGAGAAUCAUUUCUAUUCGACCGCGGGUAUUUUUCAUAGGUUUUGGACUCGAAUCCGAGAUUAUAACUCCUGUAGUCUUUCUGUUCCUCACCCCAGGUUCAGGUGCGGAGCUCCGGCGAGAAAUCCAACGAGCUUGGGGUUCCAUGAGCUCAAAUUGGUUCCGUUUGAAACUCAGGUAACCAAACCAUGCUCUGCAUGUUAAUUUCAAGUUCGAAUUGAGGGUUUUAGUCAUUAUUUCGUCUCUGUUCUUCAUUCCCUAGAAUCCGGCAAGGAAAAUCCGGCGAGUUCAUGUUGAAUCUGAGGUGAAUUCAACGUCUUCUUUUCCUAAAAAGGUUGUAGGUGAGUUCCUGGUGAUUUUUAGGACUAGAUUAUAUAAAUUUUGGGGUUUAAAAUUGAUGAAAUUGAACUCGGGAAUUUAUAUGUAGUUUCCGGCGAAGUUCUGGCGAAGCUCCAGCAACGGUGACGACCACCGGCGGAGGCUAAUAUUCCGUUAACUUUAACGGAAUCUCGUACGGAAGGUACAUUCUGUUUUUAUUCGACCCGUAUUCUAUUUUUGACCCGACCUGCACUCGGUUUAAGCCUAGAUUCCCUUACCCCAGCCCAAUGAACCGGGCCCAACCCAUUUACCUAUAACCCGGGCCCAAUCCCUUAGGCAUAAACCCAAUUACCCUAUAGCCCAGGUUCAAUCCCUUGGGCUUAAACCCAAGCCCAUUACUUGAGGCCCAAAAUCUCUCGGGCCAAUACCAGUACCCAGAACCUAGGCCCAAACCCGGAUCUAACCCGAAUCUAAACCUAGACCCUUGUGCCCGGCGCGUGGGGCAUAAGCGCCUUCGCCUGAGGCACUGUGGCAGGCGACUUGUCCAGCAACCAUUUACGGCGCGUGGGGUAACCUGAGGUCCCUCCUUAAGUUAUUCAACGUGCCAAAUCCGAAUCCGCUAUCCGUUUUUCCAAAUUCUAACGCUUUAGUAGAGUUUUACUAAAUGGUUUCUAAUUGGGUUUAGGUACGUUGGUGGGAAGUGGUACCAUCCUCGCUAGUUGAGCGACUCCUUGGCAAUCAAAUAUAUGUGAGUGUCCCCUUCAUAAUUUGCAUGGUUUUAUAAAUCUUAGGAUUGCAUGCAUAUUUUAUUGCAAAGUUUGAACAUGUUUUAAGUAUGUUUACGGAUUUGCCUAUUUUUGAGAUUUGGAAAAUUUACUAGUUAAUUGAAUUGCUUUAUGAAUAUUUUGGAUCUAUCAGAUUUACUUUAUAUUAAAGGAUUAUAAACUAUGGGUUUAUACAUACGAGUUUGAGUGGGUUUAUGGGUAUAAACUAGCAUGGCUUUAUUCGAUGUAGUUUUGAGAUAUGUUUUUGGAUAAAUAUCUAGUGGGUUAUCAUACAGCACAUCCACACAACACGGGUAUUAGAUGUAUAUGGCCAUAGGACACAAUGAUGAGGAGGAGUGAGAUAUAUGUUAUACCCCCAGCUUCACUGCCAAAAGCAGUGUCGGACAGCUUCACUAGCCACGGCUAGUGUCGAUGCGUGAUGUUAUAGAUUUCUUCUCCGGCGUAACCCGGAAUCGUACAGCUUCACUUUCGGAUGAUGGGGCCUACCAUGUUUCUUUACUGGCGUAACCCAGUGUCGUACAACUUCACCUUCGGGUGAUGGACAGGUACUGCCUUUGGGCGACUAUGAUACCCCUAGAGAGUAUGGUAUUAUUGAGAGUUACGGUUUUGCCUGCGGGCAGAGGUUUUAUAGAUUUGCCUUCGGGCGGUUUUACUACCAUCUAAGAGUAUCGUUUUACGUAUAUAUGUUUUCCAAACGAUUGCACAUCAUGCUAGGGUUUUCAAAGAACUUAUUACGUAGUAUUAUAUAUGUUUUCAAAACAGGGGGUUAGUAUGUUAUUAAAGGAAUUGAUUUUUGUAUUAUUAGUAUUAUAAUAAACUUUGGUCCACUCAUCUUUUCUAUUUUGCGCCCCCUCAGGGUUUAGGGUUUAGAUUCGAGACACAUGAUCUUGACGUCAGGACCCUUUUGCGUAGUUAUUCUCAAGUCUUCUUCUGAUAUGUAUUAUUCCUUUGUUUGCAUACUUUCCUAGAGAUUCUUUCAUAUUAUUCCGAGUAGUUGUAUGCUCUGAACAAGUUCUUGCAUUAGUAUUUUCUUUCUAAUUACAUAAUUUUAUUCGUAGGCAUGCUUAAAAAUGGCUUCGUCACCCUCGGGUGUCGGCCAGCAUGUGCUUGCUCUGAUAUUUGGGGAUAUUGGGGUUGGGACGUGUCACUAUACAUAUCUAGCAUUCUAUUCCAAAACAGAAAUGAUCAGGUAAAGACAACGGUAAAAAAAAAAAAUUGAAAGGCCUUCAGCAACAAAGGGAAUUUUUUUUUAAGGUCUAAAAGCAAUAGUAACGGCAAUAUUAGUACAAAUAAAUAAGAUAUAAUCAAUCAAAACAAGAAACUUUCAGAACAACCAUUGAUAGAAGCUCAAAAUGUAAAAUAUUCAGACAAUCCCCUGCCCAACCAAUUGGUGAAAGAAAUCAAAUAAUAAAUCUCCAAUUUUAUGUUAUUGGUCUUUACCAUGCAUAUUGCUGCUCAUGAAGUAAUGCAUUUAGCACUUACAAAAUAAAAGUAAAAAUAAUGAGAGUAUUCUGUCUGCAUACCGCAUGCAUAACCCCUUCGGAAAGGUGUCUAGAAAACUAUAAGCUAUUGACAUUUCCAAUUAAGCUUGAAGAAUGCAAUAAGCUCAAUAGCAUAUUUUAAAAGCCCUUAUAUGCUGUGUCAUAUUAAUUGAUGUUAAUGCUACAUUUUCACUCCUAGGUCGAUCUGUUAUACUAAGGUGCGUACAUGGCAUUGCAAUCCUUUAUCAAGAUGUCUAGAAAACAACAGAAGUCACAGUCUUGCUUCACAAUCUGAAUGGUAAGUCAAUGAUAUAUCUAGAUUAAGCUUCAGAUCGAUAUGUAGUCUGUAACAUGAAAACAUUUAAGUUGAGUCUCGUUUGAUCGAUAUGUGGUAAGUCAAUGAUACGAAUACGUUUAAAUUACAUUUACAUCCUAUAGAACGCGUUCAUACUCCUGAAGCAUAUCCAAAAUCUAAUAAUAACAUGUACGGUACUAACUUCUUGCCUCAAGAAGUCGUCACAUUAUAGUAUAGAGUUGAAAUAUCACCAUGGCCAAAAUGUAGGGAGGAAUCGUGAUCUAGGAACAUAUGAUUAGAGGACAAUACUCCCCCUCAGUUUGGAAGUACAUCAAGAGAUUCAGGACGCGGGAAUAUUUGUGCUUUUGGAUAAUUAACAGUUUAAAAAAGGAGCGAUCCCAAGCCAACAAGGCUCCCCGCUUUGCGAGAGUCAGGGGGAACAUCUAUCGUACGAAGCUUAACCCUUGUUUUGCAAAGAGAUUGUUUCCAUGACUGGAACCCGUGACCUUUCGGUCAGAAAACUUUAUAUAUAUGGUAUUUUAAAAAUACCAUAUAUAUAAUUCUACGGUCAGAAAGUAUAAUCUUAAAUGUAAUUAAAAUUGAAAUAUGAGGAGUGAAGUAUCUCAUGAGGUUUAACAAGCAUUGACGUUCGUAUUCUACUAUUCAUUUGCCCAUCUCAGUUAACGAGAUAACCGAUUUCUUCACUAAAUGCCUUCUCAAGCAACGGCCUCUCCAAAUUCAUCUAUACGCAAACUCUGGAUUAAAUCAAUUAAUUCUAUAGAAUGUUUCAUGCGCGCGAUUCAGCCCUCAAUUGACACAAUCAAAACUUUCAAUGCAUUGUAUAGGCUGCUUCUUGUACAAUGCAAAGACACACAGACAUUCAAAAACUUUAAUGUAUUAUGAUUCACAAAAGUUGCAUCACACCGAAAAGUAUACGAAGAAAGGUGAAUUGAACAUUAAGAAGGAUAAAGGCAAUAGCCAACAGAGUGACCCCUCAAGUUAUCGACUCGAAUUCGACCUUCGUGUAACGCCAGUUUAUGACGCUCCACAGCCAUCUCCUCCAAAAAAAACCUCCCAAGGUUUCUCAGGACCGUCACUAGACCCAUUGCUAGAACCCGCAAGACCCAUCUGCCAUUGCUUGCGGCAAAACACUCGGAGCAACUUGGACUUGUUGAUCACCGUGCUCCUGCAUUAAAAGUAACAAAAACCCAGUUCAAAUUUACCUACAAAAUUUUAAAUAAAUUGUGGUCGGAGAUCUUGCUCUUGAGCUGCUGCUCCGCCUCUUCUUGUCGCCGGUGAAAGAGAUAUCCAUCUUUGCUCGUAAUCCGUCGGUAAAUUGAGUUUAGCAACGUUAUACACAGGGUGUCUUCGAUUAGGACUAGGAGAGUUCAAUAAAUCAUGACUAUUCAAUUAAGAUUUAAAUAAAUUAUGAAAGUUCCCGAAUAUUCAAUUAAAAUUUUAAAAAGUUUGUAAAAUUGUAUAGAAAUGUGAAUGUAUUUAUUUUGAAUCUAAAAUAGUUUAUAAAAUUUCAUGUAUAUUCAUUUAAGAUAUACAUGCUUUUUAGACUUCAGAUUUCUAUUGAAUUCAUCUAAAGUUCACAUAGAGUCUAUAGAACUCCAUUAAACUUCAUGAAUACAACGUCCAUGUAUUUAGAAACAUUUUAAGGGAUUUUUUCUUCUUAAAUCAUGACUAUUCAAUUAAGAUUUAAAUAAAUUAUGCAAGUGGCCCUUUACCAUAGUGGUGGAAAGGUGUUGUGCUCUUGCAUGACGACGUGGGUUAGAACCCCGUUGGUGGCUAAUCUAACAUUUAACUUACUAACGCCUAUCGUUUCACUCAAAAAAAAAAAAUUAUGAAACUUUCCGAAUAUUCAAUUAAAAUUUUAAAAAGUUUGUAAAAUUGUAUAGAAAUGUGAAUGUAUUUAUUUUGAAUUUAAAAUAGUUUAUAAAAUUUCAUGUAUAUUCGAUUAAGAUUUUAUUUUAAAGUAUUUUAAAAAAUGAAGAAUUUAAAUGGAUUUGGAAGGAUUUAUCCGUGUUUUUUAGACUUUAGAAAAUCAUGCUUUUUUUUUUUUUUUUUUUUUUAAGAUUUCUAUUGAAUUCAUCUAAAGUUCACAUGGAGUCUAUAGAACUCCAUUAAACUUCAUGAAUACAGCGUCCAUGUAUUUAGAAACAUUUUAAGGGAUUUUUUCUUCUUAAAUUCAGGGAUUUUCAUAUGAAUCUCGAGAAAUCAAUCAAACACUAUAAAAAUUAUGAAUUUGUUAAUUCAUUAAAAUUCCUCAAACUUCUAAUUGAGAUGGUGACAAAAAAAUUUUUAUACAACGAUUUAUUUGUAGCAAGGAGUGGAAAAUAAAUUGGUAUCGAACUUACCAUUUACGAUAUUCGAACCUAAGACCUCUCACUUGGAAGUGUAGAGGGAAUAAUAUUAAACCAUAGUACUAAGUAGCAAUAGCAAUGGUUGUUGGAUGUGUGUGGUGCAAUAGUGAGGUGUGUGGUGCACUAGCAAUGGUUGUUGGAUGUGUGGAUUUGCCCAAAUUAUAGGAGUACAGUACUUUUCUAUUUAGUCAUCAGCUCUAUUCUCCGCCAUAAUCAAUUCGAUCAUUCAAUCCUUAAUUUAAGCCUGGCUCCCUAUCCUUAAGCUAUAAACUUAAAAGGCUACAUCAAUGACAAUGCACAAUGAAGUUAAGAUGACAUGCUUUUGUCCCCCUUGUCUGGAAUCUUGGGUUUAGAUGACUAAAAUAUUUACUGUUAGUCUACAGAAUUUCAGGGUUAGUGGAUUUGUAAUUUGUGCAAGUAACAAAUCGACUUUAUACUGAAAUUUGUAGUUAAUUUUUUAUCUCCUUGUUUGUCCCCAAUUUUCACUUUGUUUGGAUUCACUAUGUCAUGCAGAACACCGCCGAUGAGACCCUGAUCCGAAGUUUUCAGCUAGCCUUUUCCCUAAGGAGCAUUUCUCUUGGAGGAGGUAAGCCCUCAAGUCUACAAACGGUUUCUUUUCCAUAAGUUCUUAACCACAUAAAUACAUUGCUCAUGCUAUAGUGAAAUGCCAAGAUUGAGAUUGUAUAGUUCAUAAAUUUUCUUGCUCAACAUACGACUUAGGAAUUGUGUAAGUUAUCUAAUGUUUACAGCCCAGUAAAACAUAUCAGUUACUGGUAAAUUAAUAGAGGAGUGAGCUGGAGAGUAAAUUGCAGUUUAAUCUUGCCCUCCGUAUUCCUAUUACUGCGUUUUUAACUGUUUGGUCUAGUUUAUAGAAGAAUUUCCUUUGAAACAUGUUGUAAUGGUGAGUUUCAGUCAAGAAUUGUACCUGAUUAUGAGUCUCGGGAAACAUACGUGAUGAGUUGCUGUGUUGCUUUGGCUGUAAAGCUGAUGAUGUGUUUCUUCACACCUUGACAAAAUGAAGUUACAUACAGAUUUUUGCUUCUUAUUAACUGUAUGGUAAAUUGGUAAUUGACUCGUUGAUUGGGUCGCAAUUGAAUGGUGGCUUAAGAGAUUUAGUAUGAAAGAAAAGCAUAUCUAAUAUAGAAAGGCAUGCAUUGUAAGAAGCAGCUUUCGUUUAAUGAUGCAGUUUCUAUUAAACACAUCUGUCUGUCUUCUCGUAAUAUCCUAAUUACCUCUAUUUGGUAAGUCUGAUAUUGUCAACUUUAGUUUGUAAUUCUAUAUUGAAUAUAUUUGUUGCACUAUAAUGUACUAACGGCUGCAAACUAUUUUGGUUGUAACUUUUCUGAUGCCAUCUUUAACUAGGGGAUUUCAUAUUGCAGGAUUGCAGCCAUCAAGACGCAGAUCCCUCUUUACCUUGGCAACAUCGAUGAUCAUCUUCUCAGCUAAAGCCUACAACGUGGUUGCUCUUGCACCUUGUGCUAAAGCAGCACUUACAAAUGAAACAGUACGUGCAACAGAGUUUCCUGACUACAUUUCCGCUGAAUGUUAAAUUGGCGGACCUUUUAAGUUAUUUCUACUUUGACUUGAGGUUUCCGAAGUUAACCUUGCUCAACACUAACGUGUAUGAGUUGAUGACCUGCUGUCAGGUUGAUCCAUUUCUACGGUUGGUUGAUGAUCGCAAAUUGCAAGCUGUCAAUUCUGGAGCUGACCAAGUAAGGAAAGUUUAUGGAUCAAAAGAAGAUGAUGAGGAUGCUUUAAGGUCACUUUCUGCUAUAGAAAAAUCUGAGAGCCAAUCUAAGGAAUCGUUUACUACCAUGAUAGUGCAGACGCUUAGAAAUUCACCAGAUGUAAACUUCUUAUCACAUUGAUUAUCGGAACCAUGUCUAGUUCUUUGUAAUUAUGAUUCUGAUAUAGCUAUUUCGGUUUUCUUUUUUAACUACAGGAUUCAUCAAUUAUAAAACAGCAGUUGCUUAAUGAUUUUCUGCCUGAUGAUGCAUGUCCAUUGGGAGCUCCGUUGAACAUGGAAACACCCAGAGAAAUAGACCAAGUUGGCGUACAAGAUGAUGGAGAACCUGAUAAGGUAACUUACUCGAACAACUUCCUUAUUUUAAAAAAAAAAAUAUCCAAACAAUUAAAUGUGCAGAAUGAUUUUAUUGUGCAGGCGGAGCCCCCAUUAUUCACAAUUGGGGAUAAUGCCUUACCCAAUGCAUCUGAAAAUCAAACCGAUCCUGGCACAAAAGUUGCAAUGGAAAGUUUAAGCCUAAUAAGCGUUGAUCAGCUUUUAGAUUCGGUAAGUGAGGUCGCUCAUACAGUGUUGCUGGUUUGUGGCCUUUGUAGAAGUCAGACAGAAAACACGUAAAUCAAUGGACAUUACAUCAAGUUGAUCAUUGUGCUAAGUAAGAGAGCGAUUCGUGUGCAGGUUUUGGAGACGACACAUCAAGUUGGAAGAUUAUCAGUCUCAGCUGCUACAAACAUGCCUUACAUGGAAAUAGCUGGCCAGUGUGAGGCCAUUCAAAUGGGGAAGCAGCAGAAGUUGUCGACGUUUAUAGUUUCCCAACAGAGACAAGAAAGUUUGAUUAGAUUUUCUAAUGACUGUAGCCAGGAAAAGGAGACUCCAUCUGUUGUUCCGCUGGGCGCUCCUACGGUAUUUUCUUUAGCAUACAUACUACAUGGGAAAGUUUUAAAUUCAAUCCUUUUGUUAUUGCAAUUUGCAUUGCAUGCAUAUUGUGUUUUUAGCAUAUUCUGAGUCUCCGAAAACCAUCUGGAACUGCAGAGUGGAAAUCCAUUCCUUGAAUCGGGUGCUAUUUCACUCAACCAAUCUGUUGGCAAUGGCUCUUUGAUGCUUUGCGCAACUGAGUAUCAGCCCUAUCCGCACUUCCAGCUACCGGCAUCAAGCCCCUACGAUAACUUUUUAAAGGCUGCAGGUUGUUGAUCCGUGUAGAGAAAGUUCGAUAGCCCUUGUAGCACGUAAGAAAUUGAGUGUUAACAGCACUGGAGCGAGCGGCAGUUGUAUCUGCAACAAGUUUGUGUUGUUCCCGAUUCAGCCAGCCAUGUUUUCUCUUCAUAUACCCACUGACUGACUGCAUUCAUUUAGUCAUCAAUUGUUGAUAGGGAGGUUCAUUUUUUAUAUCUUUUUAGGCUCUCCCUCACUUUACAUGUUUGAUAUUGUAAAGUAAGAGUUUUGCUCACUUGCACAUUUUUUCUUCACAAUCGUUCACUCGUGAAAAAGAAAAUGUGCGAGAGAUAAUUUUCAUGUAAAGUAUAAAGAUGUAAAAUAGGUAAAUUUCAUUUCAUAAGCACUGAUUUUCAUUAGUGUUUUAAAAAACUUGCCUCGAGGUGCGCCUAGGCGGCCUUGGAGGCGGGGCGGUAGCAAUUUCGCCUCUGUUUUCUGGGAGUGGGCGGAAACUCGCCUAGGCUUCGUUGCGGCACGCCUAGGCGGCCGAGGCACGCUUGAGGUGUUUGACUGGGUGUUCCCAGUACCCUUCAGCGACCCAAAUCUUGCUUGAAAUUUGAAGUUUUCUGGAAACCUGGUUCUGGUUCUGGUUCUGGGUUGCAGCAGCGUCUUCAUGAAGAAGAAAAUUGUGCGAAGAAGAAGGGUCGGUUUUUUUUUUCUUAUAAAGACAUGGCCCAAAACGACGCCGUUUUGGCCAAGUCUUUAAUAUUUUUAAUGACUUGGCCCAAAACGAUGUCGUUUUGGCCAAGUCUUUUUUUUUUUUAAUAAUUAUUAUUUUUUUAGUUUUUUUAAUUUUUUAAAGGAACAUUUGGUCCGUAUAUAUCAUUAUCAAGCAACACAAAUCGCAGGAGGUCUCAUCCUCCUUCACCACCCAAUACCCAGUACACGAUUCACCCAAUCCCUCGAACCCUAAAUUCUCGGGAUUUUCGAAAUGUUUUCGGAUUUCAGGAUGGAUAGGAAUUGGAUUUUGGGUUUUGGGCUUUUUGGGUUGAAAUUUGAGAUUUUUUGAAUUUGGGCUUUUGGCCUAAAAUUUUGUUCCUAAUUUCAUAUCAAUUGAAAUUUAGAUUUUUUACAUCAUAUUAAUUUGAAUUUGCAUACCAAUUCAUUCAUAACAAGUCAAAUGUGUUCCAAAAUUCCAAACUACUUAAUUUCAUACUUCUAUUUCUAAUAUAGUCUACUAUCAAACUACUUAAAUUCAACAUUCAACAAUCAACAAUCAUGCAACCAAUAUAAAUAAAUAUAUUUUUUUGGUUCGGUUCGAAUCGAUUUCGAAAAGUUCGAUAUUAAUGGUUUGAGAAUUUUUCGGUAUGGGGUAUCGGAAUUUUUUUGGUUUAGUUUGGGAUUUUCGAGAAAAAUUUCCAGCUCUAUGAGAGGAGGGUAAGAAAAGUAUAGAAUGUGAAAGUGUAUUUUGGAGUUGAGUGUUUUGGCUAAGGCGUCAUUUUUGAGUAUAUAGAUAAUUUAUAUUUUUUUUAGUACAUCGAUAUUUUAACACUAAGGGGGAGGGGGAGUUCGGCUUAGUCACACAAUGGGCAACCUAAUUUGAUAUCAAAUUCGUCAUCCACGAAAUUCGAACCUAAGACCUCUCACUUCCAAGUGAAGAGGAAUAUUACCAAACCAUAGUAUUGAGUGACAGAUAAUUUAUAGUUUUAGUUAGAGUAUUUUUCAUGAUAAAAAGAGUUGAGUAGCGGCAACUGUCCCCAGUCAGCAUAUGCCGCCUUUGUUCAUGUCCAAAUGUAUCAAAUAAGUAGACAGUCUCAUGAAUAUGUCCCAAUGUAUCAAAUAAAGAAGGGUGGGUGGGCAAAUGUUUUUAUUUUAUUUUUAACAAAUGAUAUUAUCUACACGGGGUGGGUUUAGCCUCAUGAUUGACCAGUAAUAACGUGGUUCAAAUUCACCUUUGGCGAGAAUUGAAUCUAAAAUCUCUCACUUACAAGUAAAGGAGAAUACUACUAGAUUGUAAUACUAAGUAGCGGGCAAAAGACUAUUUUUACCUUUCACAUACUCUUGUUAAUUUUUUGCUAGUGAUACUCUUUAAUUUAUUUAAUUCGACGAUCAAAAAUUAAGAAUAUGGUGUAAAAAGUAAAAAUGAACGUGUAUAUAGCACUAUUUUAAUUAAUUAAUUACUUUGUUUUCUCUAGAAUCUUCUUCGAUAGUUGAAAACCAAACACAAUACAGAUCCUCUUACUCUCUCCUCAUCUGUAUCUCAUCACACAAGUAAGUCCCGCUUUUUCCAUUUCUAUUUUCCGUUUUCUGUUUGUUUCCCGAGAAAAUUCCAAAGAAAAAGAAACCCUUCCUAAUUUUUGGUUUGGAAUUCGAAUGCAAUUGCAUUAAAUUUUGCGUCUUUGAUUUGGGUAUUUGCAGAAUUUUGCCAAGACCCAUUGGAUUAUAGAAGCUUGAAGUAAUGGAGGAUGUUCGGGAGCAGGCUGAGCAGGAAAGUCAACUACUUGGUAUGUUUAGUCAUACUUUUGGCCUUAAUUUCCAGUUCAAGUAUUAAUUCAUACUUUUUACACUCAAUCAAAUCUUCCAGCUACACUUGGUUACUGUAAAAGCAAAUAUGUCAAAUCUUAGACUCUUAGUAGGUUUUUAGCUUCAAAUAUAUGUCAAAUUAACCUGAUAAGCGGGUUUUCGAGUGAUUGAGUUGGGCUGAAUGAAUAAAUGAUGUUUUCUUCAGAACAAUUUUUCUAUAGGUGCAUUAUCGAGGCGGAAACUUAUUGUGUUUAUUUAUUACUUGAUAAGAUUUUGGAAAUAAUUUGUACAUCAAGAAGGAACGCAAUAGGUGGACAUUAUGAAUACCGCUUCCAGUACACCGAUUCAUCGUUCUUCCAUGCUUUUAUGUUGAGUAACUCAGAAAUCCUGUGUUCCAAAACUCAUGUAGUACAAGUGGGGAUGUCAGCUAUCUAGUCGCUGUAUAAUGUGCAGGGGAAAGAAGAAGAUUGUCGUUCCCCUCUGUGUAUGAGUGAAUUAGAUUUCCUUAUGGGGGCACUAUAAUUCAUAUAGGGAAUCCAUGUGAGCCUCGAAAAGGACCGUCAUAAUAUAGACUACUACUCAUUUUUCAUCUUGUUUGUAGGUCAAGAUGGUGAAAAUGAAACAGUAACUGAAGAUGCUACCUUCGUUCGUGGAGAACCUUCUCAAGAUGCUAAUGGCCCCCCAAAAGUUGAUUCCAAGGCGGAAAUCCUUCAUGAGAAAGUCACACAGCAAAUCAUUAAGGAAGGUUAUGGUCAAUACCAUCCAAGUAUUCAACAUGCUUCUGUAAGUGUCACGUGGUUUCCUUUUUGGUAGUGCUGUACUGUGUGCAUUAGUUGAAAACCCAAUAAUGUUAUGUGUGCAUGUAGUUGUUAGUGUAUAAGACAUGAAUGAGCUUGUGACUUGCAAACAGACACACACAACUUCAACGUUCAGAGAGUUGUGGAUGUACUAUUCGUAUAAGAGAAUUAAUUGCAUGCAUUAAAUUUUAUGAAAGGGAUGCCUAAGAUACAUGUAGAAAGGUCUUGAAGUGAAUUUUUACUCUGGUUUUUUCAAUCACUGAGUGAUUGGCAUAUGCGUAUAGGAGAAUUAUUUGUGCAUGCAUUAAAUUUUAUAAAAGGGAUGCCUAAGAUACAUGUAGAAAGGUCUUGCAGUGAAAUUUUACUCUGAUUUUUUUCAAUCACUGAGUGAUUGGCAUAUGUGUGAUAGUGCACUACAGGGCAUGGACUGAAAGCACGGGACACAAGUUUGAAUACACCUGGGAUGAACAACGACCACUUGAAAUGAUUUUAGGAAAAGGUAUUAGCCUUGCCGAGUAGUCUGGUACUUUUGAUAAUACAAAAUAUAUGCAAACGAGUUCUGGCACGUUCCUUGUUCAGUCUGCAAUUAGUUUUGUUAUUUCUUUAUUGCUUUUAUUCUCUGUAAGUACUCGUCAUUUCAGAUGAUUUGGGUCCAUAAGCAUUUAAGCAUUAUCUAGUGGUAUUAAAUGCAAUGGACUUCUUAUUAUUAGUAUAUUUUUGUUACUGCAACACAGAAAAAAGAAAUGACUGGCUUGGCAAUUGGGGUGUCCAGCAUGAAGUCUGGAGAGCGUGCACUAUUACAUGUAGGCUGGGAGUUAGGGUAUGGGAAAGAAGGGGGCUUUUCUUUUCCGAAUGUCCCACCAGUGGCAGAUAUAUCAUAUGAAGUUGAGCUUAUUGGAUUUGAUGAAACCAAAGAAGUAAGUUGCUUGCUCUCAAAUGUCUUCCCAAGUAGUUACCAAUGGAAGUUUCAAAAUGUCUUUUCCAGGGAUUUGCUUCAGUAAUAUAGUAACAUGUAUAUUUGUGGGUUCAGCCUUUCAUAGGGGAAAGCUCGUAGUGACAUGACUGUGGAGGAAAGGAUUGGAGCACCCGAUAGAAGAAAGAUGGAUGGAAAUGCUUUAUUUAAAGAGGAAAAACUAGAGGAGGCAAUGCAACAGUAUGAAAUGGUUACGCACUUGUAAUUCUUGCAUAUUUUAUUUGUGGCAGAUGAGCAUUUUUAUAUUUCCUUUCUGGCAUGAUUCUGGUGGGUUUUCUCAGGCUAUAGCAUAUAUGGGUGACGACUUCAUGUUCUAGUUGUUUGGGAAGUACAGGGACAUGGCAUUGGCCGUUAAAAAUCCAUGCCACCUUAACAUGGCAGCGUCUUUUAUAAAGCUCAAGCGUUAUGAAGAAGGCAUUGGACAAUGCAGUAUUGUAAGUAUGCUGCUAUCACAAGAAAGCCAUCUAAUUUCAUGUGUUCAGCGGUUGUGCUAUUCAUCAUUAGAUACUAGAAAGUUGGGUUUGUAGGCUUAUUUGGGAGUACAACUGCAUCCCAAGAAGUUUGAAUCUUCAUUCACUUUAACCUGCUAUUUUGGAUUGCCGUAGAAAAUGAAAAUGCUCUUAUUAUGGACCAGCGAAAAGUUGGUAGCCUUACCGGCACCAUUCUUCAUUCAAUAAUCGAAUUCUAGGUCCUAUGCGACUCGUAGGAUCUCUUUAUUAUGUUACUACCCAUGCUUCAUCCUGUCGUUCAAACUAUGUGGCUGUUAUAACUAUAACUUGUCAAUGCAACUAACGUCUAAUAAUUGAUUUUUCUGCGUCGUAUGGAGUCAGGUGAUAUUUACCUUUUUCAUGAAUACCCAUAAAUUGUCAAUGCAACUAAUGUCUAUUAAUUGAUUUUUCUGCUUCGCUUGGAGUCGGCAGAUAUUUAACUUUUCAUGAAUACCCUCAAAUUGUCAAUGCAACUGUGUUAACUGUAAUGGAUGAAUGAAUGCUCGCAGGUACUGGCAGAGGAUGAAAACAACGCAAAGCGCUAUUUAAGCGAGGAAAAGCCAGAGCAGAGCUUGGGCAGACAGGUGCUGCUCCGGAAGACUUUCUAAAGGCGCGCAAAUUUGCACCGCAAGACAAAGCUAUUGCAAGAAACAAAAAGAAAUCUACAAGGGAAUUUUCGGAGCAACCCCAGAACCUAAACCCAAACGGGAUAAUUGGUUGAUCAUCUUUUGGCACUGGCCGUUGUCAUUGUUCUAUCGUCUCUUCGGGCGCGAAAGGUAUAAAGCUGAGUAGUCAAAGAUCUUAAGCUCUUGAAUUGCAUGAUAAAUGAGGAAAUCCGUGUGUU
rnacentral:lncRNA from 1 species